rnacentral:lncRNA from 1 species
AGAAAGUUGAAGCACGGUUAAAUUGGGAAAAUCCAUGAAGAACUCUGGAAAUGGACCAGCAGCUGCAUCAAAGUUUCCUUGGAGGUUGAUCACAACAAGAGAAUGGAGUCUCGAGAGCGCUUUAUGAAUAGGACCACUCAGGGAACAAUCAGCCAAACUAAGUACCUGAAGUUGAGGAACAUAUGCAGCAAGAGAUGUGCCCCACUCUUCUCCACUAUUAGACAAAUCCACCGAGUCAAGGUAGAGCUCUCUUAAGUUGCUGAGGUUUGCCACAAAGGUAUCAAAACUUGAUUCCCAUAAAUUGUUAUAAUAAUCAUAAUAGUUUGGACCAUAAAAACCGAGAGAAUAAUCAAUAUUGUAUGUUGAAAGAUCCAAUGAGAGAAGGUUCACUAGUUUACUGAUGCUAGGAGGUAUCUGACCAUAUAAUCCUGAAUUGGAAAGGUUUAGGUGGGUUAAAAAAGUGAACCUCUCAAAACCAGCAGAUUGGAUGUUGUCUCCACCGAUGUCAUUCAUGCUAAGGUCGAGUCGCCAAAGUGAUAUGAGGCUGAAGAGUGCAGGGUCCAAGCCAUGACUUGACAAGCAACGGUUGUUGAGGUCGAGAAUGGUGACAUGGCCAGACGAAGGGUCACAGCCAACACCCUCCCAGAGACAACAGUCGGUACCAUUUCGCCAUGAUGAAAGCCUGGUAGUGGAUCUGCUGAAGGAGAAGGACUUCUUCAGCUGGAGGAGCGCCUUAGCUUGGUUUGGAUGGCACAAAAAUGAGACAGGGAGGUGAGUGAGGUUACCACCAUCAGCGCGGUGGGCAAUGGAGGUGGAGAGUAGUGUGUGGAGCUGAGCAAGAAAGAGCAGUAACACCCAGCCGAUGGAAGCCAUAGCAACUUAGUAUGAGCCGACGAUAGGCUUACAAAGAGGCACAAGGCAGAUACAUAAUGGAUUGUCUAGUCUAGUAAUGCGCGACAGAUUGUUAUGCAGCUUCCAGCAGCUGUCAAGUCUUUGUCCAUUAAUAAAUUAAUUAAUUUACGAGUACCAUGGCUAAGCUGUACGCAAUUGCGACACCUGAGGAGACUUGACUGUACCAUGGGCUAGCUGUACGCAAUUGCUACACCUGAGGAGACUUGACUAGCCUUUCGUCAAAUGCUGUUGGUAUCAUCCACUGCUACAACAGUGACCGGUAAUUGGAAGUCUCACUAUAGCAAGACUUCCAAGUCAACUAAGCCGGCCGCUACAUUCUGAGGAAGGUGGAAUUGAAGAUCAAAUCAAGUCGGGCGUUGGGAAGAAUUAGUCCGCACUCCGCUGAUAACAACAUCGAAUAUACUGAUCUGAUGUGCUUCAUUUUUUUUUGGGUUGGAGUGGAGCGGCAUCAAGAUCCUACUGCUGUGGAAAACACUGAAUUGACUCGUUUUAUCUCCCACAAAACGUGGCUGAAGAUGAUAGUGGUGCUUCAAGAAACAGCGAGAUGGAGCAAGUAAAAAUGCAGUUGAGCCGCAGCUAAAACUUGUCGAGGUUACCACGAUGCUCGUGAAUCAUAGUAUUCCAGCCGCGGUAGUUCUCGUCUUGUCGAAGGAGAUGUUGCAGUGUUCACGUCUAGAGCUCAUCCAAUCCAUGGCGUUCCUCUGGCCGAGUCGUCGAUACGAAGGAGACGUCGCGUCACAUGCGUGUUCCUCAUGUCACCUUUGCCUACGACCAAUAAGACGAUGACACCAGAACCUUUUUAUUUUUUCCCCUAAUCAGCAGCUUUCAAAGCGGGCGCCUGCGGACAGCACUGUCCGCGUCAGAUUUGGCACACAUUAGCCGCAGUUGCACUCGUCCACGUCCGGUCCUCCCCCACCCCACCCCACCACCACCACCACCACUGAUUGCCGAAGCUCCCUACACUACAGGGUAAGGAACAGCUAAGAUCUGAGCAAGUAAAGUCGGGAUAUUUAAUUAUUUGCCAUUCUUAUAACGAAUUCCUACAUAUCUGUCAUUGAAGAAAGAAUUAGUCUAUACUUUUACCAUUUUUGCUGAUGUGGUGAGCCACAUCCUCGUGCUAGCAUGAAUUGAGCAUGGCAAUGACCAUAGUGCCCCUGCCUCCCUCACGUUAGCCAUCCCCUUCCCUCUAUCCUACCACUAAUGGAUGGGGACUCACAUGUCAGGGUCAUCUUCAACCUAUUGCCGCAUGGUCUUCCGCUGUUGUGCGGCUCCUCUACGGUACAUCACGGGGGAGGAUACCACGACUUGGAGGUGUCGGGUGGACUACAUUUUCACUCAGAAGGACCUUAAUCUAGGACAGCGUCGUUGGUUGGAGUUGAUCAAGGACUAUGAUCUGGAAAUUCACUAUGAUCCUGGUAAAGCAAAUUUGGUUGUAGAUGCCUUGAGUUGGAAGGGUCAUGCUAACAUAGCUUUGGCAUUUCAGCUGCCUGAAGAGUUGAUGAAGGAGUUUGAGAAACUUAACUUGGGGAUAGUUGCCCAUACUGAAGGAGUGACUAUGGAAAGAAAUACGGAAUGGACAGCUUGAGGAUGUUGAGAUCAAGGAGAUCAAGGAACUUAUGAAGGAAGGGAAGGCUCCAGAAUUCAUAGAGGAUGAUCAAGUGACUAUAUGGCUCAGAAAGAGGAUUUGUGUACCGAAUGUGGGAGAUCUCAGAGACACCAUCUUGAGGAAAGCUUGUGAUUCAGCCUACUCAAUUCGUCCUGGGAGAACCAAGAUGUAUCAAGACCUCAAGAAGAAGUAUUGGUGGUAUGGGAUGAAGAAGGAUGUAGCUGCACAUGUGGCCCUAUGUGAUAGAUGCUAGAGAGUUAAGGCUGAACACCAAAGACCAGCUCGAUUGCUUCAACCAUUAAAGGUUCCUGAAUGGAAGUGGGAGGAAAUCAAUAUAGAUUUCAUUGUUUGUUUGCCCCGCACCUAAGAUGGAUAUGAUUCAAUAUGUUUUAUAGUGGGUCAAUUGACCAAGGUAGCUCACUUCAUCCGAGUGAGAACCACCUAUGCUGGGUCCAAGAUGGCAAAGCUGUAUAUAUCAAGGAUUGUGUGUUUGCAUGGUGUACCCAAGAAGAUAGUGUCUGAUAGAGGUACUUAGUUCACAUCCUGUUUCUAGUAGAAGCUGCAUGAAUCCAUGGGUACAAAGCUAAAUUUCAGCUCAUCUUAUCAUUCUUAGACAGAUGGACAGAUUGAUAGGACAAAUUAGAUUCUAGAGGAUAUGUUGAGAGCCUGCGCUCUAAAACAUGGAGGUAUUUGGGAUAAAAGUUUGCCUUAUGCUGAGUUCUCUUAUAACAACAACUACCAAGCCAGUCUCAAGAUGUCACCCUUUGAGGCUCUAUAUGGAAGGAAGUGCAGAACCCCUCUGUAUUGGAGUGAGACAGGAGAGAGUCAAUUAUUUGGGCCAGAGAUUAUCCAAGAAGCUGAAAGGCAAGUUCAGAUAAUUAGAGAGAAUAUGAGGACAGCUCAGUCCAGGUAGAAGAGUUAUGCUGAUACUAAAAGGAGAGAAUUGAUCUUUUAGGAAGGUGAUUAUGUGUAUCUUAAAGUGUCACCCAUUAGAGGCUUACGCAAAUUUAAGGUUAAAGGGAAGUUGCCACCUCACUUUAUUGGACCCUUCAAAAUUCUAAAGAGAAUGGGGAAGUAGCUUAUUGGUUGGUGUUACCCAAUCAGCUCUCAGAUGUGCAUGAUGUGUUUCAUAUCUCUCAGCUAAAGAAGUGUCUCAGAGUUCCAGAGGAAUAGAUACCGAUGGAGGAUUUAAAUGUAAAGGAUGAUCUCACCUACACUGAAUACCCUAUAAAAAUCUUGGAUACUCUAGCACGUGUUACCAGGAAUAGAGUGAUCAAGAUGUGUAAGGUACAAUGGAGCUACCAUGCAGAGGAUGAGGCAACAUGGGAAAGAGAGGAUGAACUGAAGGAGGAAUUUCCCCAGCUCUUUGCUAAUCCAUCCGAAUCUCGAGGACGAGAUUCUUCUUAAGAGGGUAGGAUUUGUAACACCCUAAUUUUCAACUUUUGCAAUUUAAUAAAAUUUGUUAGAAAUUAGGUGCAUGUGUCUAAGGAUUUUAAGGUUGCAGUUAAAUUUUCUUAGGCAAUUAAAUCUUUUUCAAAAUAAAGUAAUGAAUCAUAGGAGUUUAUUAUUGCAUUCGUGCUGGUGCAUUAUUUUUGGUUGCUUGAAUUCAAAUUUGUGUUUGAAUUCAGUUUUGAAUUUAUGUUUGUUUUCCCUUCAAACAAUAGGAAACCCUUUUCGUUUUCCCUCCUUUUCUUCUCUCUCUUUCGGCCCGUCUCCUUUUUCCGGCCCAACUCAGCCCGGCGCCCCACUCCUCCUCCGCCUGUCGCAUGCCACAGCCCAGCAGCAGCCCAACUCCCAUGUCGGUUCGUUCCGCCUCGGCCCAACACCACGCGCCCGCCGCCACCCGAUGACAGGCGGGGCCCGCCUGUCAUCUCCUUCCUUCGGUCGCCCACGCCGCAACCGACUCGGGGUCGAUCCCGAAUCCUCUGUGCUCACCUCCACUUGGCCCGCACGCCAAGGUGCCUCCUUCCAGGCCUAUAAAAGCACCGCCACAUCUCCUGCACCUCGCACCAAACCCUAGCUCCAAGCCACAGCGCUAACGCUGCAACCCUAGCUAGCCGCCCGCUGUCGUCGAUUUGUGCCGCCGCCGCCUUUCCGUCGCCAAGAAUACCCCCAGGAGCUUUGCCGCAAGGUGAGGAAGCCCCUGGUGCGGGUCUCGUGCGCUCCCAUGCCUCUCUCCGGGCGCACGAGCUCGUUGGAGUUGGGCAAGCUCGGCCGGGCCACCUCGUUGAGCCUCCGGCCACCACUAGCACCCAAUCCUCCUCCUCAACACCCUAGAUUGACUCUUCGUGUUAAAAACCAUGCCCAGAAACUCAAUUCCGAGCAAAGUUCAGCGUGUCGCUGCUCGUCGUCAUCGCGCGCUGCUCGCGUCCGCCGCCCACGCGCCGUCCAUGUCCUCUCGGCAGCCGCUAGCUGUACGAUCUGCUUUGGACAGCUCAGAUCCGAUCUAACCCGAGUCAAACCAACACGUACUAGUCAACCCCCAUGCCGCACCGUUCAUUUUGCUAAAUAGUCCCUAGGUUUUAGGGGUUUUGCACCCAAGGUCCAGAGUAGUUCAAAGAUCUUUAGAUCUCGGUCCUUUUUCUUCUGUUCUAGCCCUUGAUCUUUUGCAAAAUAGUGCCCACAAUCCUAGACUCUCUCUUUUGUGCGUUAAACCUUUAGUUUAUACGCAUAUUUAUGUUUUAGCCCUCGGUUUCUUCGAGCUUAACCCCUAAAAGUUUUAAAUCUUUGCCAGCAAGCCCUUGCACCUUGUUUAGUGCACAUCUUUAGCGUUUUAGGUCCAUUUUAAGUGCUUCCUACGUCUAUGAGUUCAUCUUUACGCAUAGAUUAGUUUUAUGAUCUUGUUUCUCUCUGUUGUUACUGAUUGAUGUAAUAUUUUCUUAUUUUAUUCCUUUGCUUGCUUGUACGUGAUCGUGUGAUGCAUUAGAAGGACUGUAGCUCGAGGGAUUCAGAGGUCAAGACUUUGAAGACUACGAGCAGCUGGAGCAAAUCCAAGAAGGCAAGUCAUGCCCUUGAUCACAACUUGAAGCUAUGAAACUUUUUAAUUUCCUAUUUAAUAACAUUUAUGCCAUGCACUUUAAGUUACAAACAUGAUGUGUCCUAAUUAAGGAGGAGUGACUAGUUUUAUUCCCAAUACCUCGAUCAACCCGGGCUUACAUAAUGUUGGGUAGUAUAUGCUUAGUUGCUCAACUUGGGUAUGGUGGUAUUAAUGAACUCAAUGGUUAAACUUGUUUUAUUUAUGAUAUGCCUAUCAUUAACACAAAAUCACCAUACUUAAUUAGAACAUGGAGAACCAACUGGGCAAACAGUACAACCACAAGAACUAAAUGGCUCUGGUCUUGACUAAUUAAUUAGAGAUUUUAGUCUGGGGUAAUCUUACCGAAAGGGCAAGAUGGGCGGCGGCAAAUGGGGUAUAACCCGGUCCACUUGGGAAGUGAGCUUUGCCCUAACAUUAUGCCCACUGGCGAGGUUUAUACUCUGCUACUGAUCCGGAAACCUUAGCGGGUUACCACUUACUAGGGGCUCUUUGUGAAGAUCUCGUAGCGUCCCUAUGCAAUCGCACCUCGGUAGUGUGGUAUUGUGCAUAGCCUGCACAACAUGGUUGGGUAUAAAGUUCUUUUGAACUUUUACGCGACUUGUGGGUAAAGAUGUGCAAGCUCUAUAGAGUGUAAAACUGACCGAUCAGUCAUGCUCACGGUCAAGAGCGGCCUGGACCCUCACAUGAUUAAAUUAUCGGAAGUUGAAUUAAAUUGUUAUUAUUUAUUUCUGUUAUCUUUAUUUAUGUUCACAUUGAAUGUGGGUGGUAUAAACUUACCGUUUAGUAAAUGCUAAUAAAACUUGACCAGCCAAGUAAAUGCUAAUAAAACUUGACCAGCCAAUUAAAAUGCUUGACUUGCUAAUCAAUCUUAACCUAUCAUUGAAUGGCCAUACACUACACAUUCCUCACGCUUGCUAAGUACCAACCAUAAGUGUACUUACCCUUGCUAAAAUCGCUGCUCAGAACAAGUCAACGCUGUGGAUGUCUUUCAAGAUUGGGAGGAGUACUAGGCGCGUACGUGUUUCUCCAGUCAUCUGCCUGUGGAGUCGCCGUUUUCGUUGAAGAUCCACUGCGACAAUAAUACUCUUUUUGCCAUUCGGUUUAAAAGACUAUCGAUCAUGUAAUAAUUAUAUACUCUCUCUACAUUAUGGCAUUAUCUUUGUUACUCACUAAAGUCAUCGCAUAUGUGUAAUUUGAUUCUGAUGUACAUGUGAUUCAUGCAUCUGGUUUUGCCUUUAAAAUAGAGAUACAUGGCCUUUUAUAUUGUUUCUGGACAUGCUGAGAUAUCUGGUGUCCCUAAGAUAGGAUGCCCAGUUGGGUGGAACGGAAGAGAAUCCGUUGUUGGAAUAUCCCAAGAAAGAAGCUGAUGCGUUUGGCAUUGGGAUCUGCCCUAAAAGCCUAUUGAAACUAAGAUCAAGCACUAGUAGUGAUUUACUAAAAGGGAGAACAUCCGAAGCAAGUUGCAUGCCCGUAAGCACGUUAUGCGAAAGAUUCAAAUAAUAAAGGCUACUACUGCUCCAUGUCUCCCAGAUCCGAUUUGGUAUAUCCCCACUGAUUUUAUUAGAUGAAAGAUCCAAAUAUUGUAUAUUUUUAAGACACAUCAAAGAUGUUGGGAAUCGAAUUAUAUUGCAAGACGCGAGCCCUAAAUAGUAAAGUCUGGCCAAAUAGGUAGCCAAAGGAUUAUUACCAUCUGCAUCCGUGACAUGCAACUCAUUGUAGGAAAGAUACAAACUGGUGAGAUCAGUUGAUCUCCAAAAAUGGGAGAGGUCCACGGAACCUAUCAACUUGUUUCGAGCUAACAUCUAUAAGUACCAAACUUGUUAGUUGAAAGAAGGCCUUGGGAAUAAAACCUGACAGAACAUUGUUGCUCAAGCGCACUUUCGCCAACCGUGAUUCUGCCUCGUCAAAGCCAUAUAUGGGGCCAGAAAGUUGGUUGUAAGAAAGAUCCAGGACACUUAAUGCAGGAAGACUGAAAAUAGAUGGUGGAAUCUCUCGUGCAAAGACAAUAGAAAACAUUAAGUUAGAAAGUGUCUCCUCUUCUAGAAAUAUCUGAAUUCAGAAAAUGAUGGCUCCUAUUUUGUUCAGAACAUGAUAAGUUAUGCCACUGAUACUGUACCAUCGAAAAAGCUCCCAAGUCUAGUUAUUUUAUCCUUAGAAAGUUGCAUGACAUAGACUCUAAAGCGAACACUUUAUGUGGUUACACUUAAAGAUUGCUUUGUUUCACCACUCAGUCCAACUGCAGAACGUGCGGCUAGCGGCUUUCACCGAGGAGCAAACUGGAGGGCAAGAGGAGAAAAUCACCAGAAUCAAGUAAGCUGGGGUAGCAAAUCGCCCAUUUGUUCCUGUUUUGUUGGCGUGCUGUUUAUGGGUAGUGUUGUUUAUUUUUAGGUGUAUGCAAAAUGUAUUCUUGAUGAAAUAUGUUGCAUCACAUAUUCUCGAAUAAAAAAGUGAAAACAUUGGUGCUCUGUUGAAUUUCAAUUAUAUUGCUGGAAUUCCUUCCUCCAUUUUUUUUCUUUUUCCUUUUCUUGAUUUUCAAUUAUGUUUGAUGGAAUUUCUUUGAUUCAAAUUUGACUAUAAUUUAUUGAGCUUCAUGCACCAAUCAGUUGCACCUAAAGUCUUAACCCGAUUGGGAAGGACGACAGUUCUAUUAUACUUCAACAUGAUUAACACUCGAAUUCCAAGGAAAACCACUUCAAAUCCCAACAGCCAAGUGGAGCCACAUCACAUUUCGAAGGGGAGAAUGGAGCAUCUGAUUAGAGAAAAGAUACUUCCAAAAUUUGAUUUCUCUGACUUAGAUCAAUCCGUUGACUGUAUUAAGGGAAAAUUUGCAAAACAAAUUAAAAAGGAUGGAGCUAAGCACAGUUCAGGAUUAUUAGAAAUAAUUCAAACUCAUAUAUACGGUCCAUUUAAUGUAAGAUCAGUGGAUGGUUAUAAUUAUUUCAUUACCUUCACUGCUGAUUUCUCCCGCUAUGGAUACAUCUAUCCCAUACUUGAAAAGUCUGAAGCACUUGAUAAGUUUAAAAUCUUUAAAGAUGAAGUAGAAAAUCAGCAUGACUUAAAGAUCAAAGUGGUAAGAUCAGACAGGGAAGGGGAGUAUUAUGGGAAACACUCCACAUAUGGACAAAUUCUGGGACCCUUUGCCAGAUUUAUCCAAGAUAAUGGUAUAGCGGCUCAGUAUUCCACUCCUGGUGAGCCUCAGCAAAAUGGUGUUGCUGAGAGAAGAAAUCGCACUCUUAUGAACAUGAUGGAUAGUAUGCUCAGUAACUCUACGCUGCCAGUGAGUUUGUGGAUGAAAGCUUUAAAGACUGCCGCGCACAUUAAUAAUCGUGUUCCUAGUAAGUCAGUUCCUAAGACUCCUUAUGAGCUUUAGACUGGUAGGAAGCCUAGUAUGAAUUAUUUACAUAUAUGGGGCUGUGCAGCUAAAGCAAAGAUUUUUAAUCCACAACUUGGGAAAUUAGAUCUAAGACUGAAAGUUGUUAUUUUAUUGGAUAUCUAGAAAAGUCAAAGGGGUACCGCUUUUAUUGUUCUAAGCGUACCACUAAGUGUGUGGAGACAAGGCAUGCUGUUUUCUUAGAGGAAACUCGAUGCACUGAGGCUAGGAAAAUUCAUCUUAAGGAGAUUCGGACUUAUGAGCCAUUACCCAUAAGAUAGAAUUAUUAUGCUUCUAUGCCAUAUACCAUAGUUACAUCUCAGGUGGUAGAACUUCCAGUAGAAAAUGUGGGAGUAACACCUACCUUAAGUGAUAAUGUAGAUGCACAUGUGAUACGUGAGCAUCAAGAUGAAGAUGUGGUAGAACCUGCUGGUGGAUUGCAAGGGGAGGCAACUGAUGAGCCCGAGGUGAUUCAGCAGGAACCGGCUCAAGUAGAAGCACCACAAGAAGUAACACCACAACAUCUGAGAAGGUCAACAUGUGAGAGGAAGUCCACCCGUUCCGAUGAGUAUGUGUACAUAAGUGAAGAAGGGCACAACAUGGGGAAGGUGGACGGUCCAAACUCAUUUAAGGAGUCCAUAAGAAGUGAACACUUGCAUAAGUGGAGCGAGGCCAUGGAAGAAGAGUUGAAGUCCAUGGAAGCAAAUAGAGUAUGGGACUUAGUAGAAAUUGCUGAAGGAGCCAAAACAGUAGGCUGUAAAUGGGUCUACAAAAUGAAAUAUGACUCUAAAGGUUAGAUUGAAAGGUUCAAAGCAAGACUCGUGGCUAAGGGCUUCACUCAAGUAGAAGGAGUCGAUUAUAAUGAAACCUUCUCGGCUAUCUCAAAGAAAGAUUCAUUUAGAAUCGUUAUGGUUUUAGUAGCUCAUUAUGAUCUUGAGCUACAUCAGAUGGACAUUAAGACUGUGUUCCUUAAUGGUGACUUGCAUGAGAAUGUAUACAUGAAGCAACCUGAAGGUUUCGUCGUGCUAGGCAAGGAACAUUUGGGAUGCAAACUAUGAAAAUCCAUUUAUGGAUUGAAACAAGCAUGCAGACAAUGAUACCUUAAGUUUGAUGAAGUAAUUAAGAGAAUUGGCUUCAUUGAAAAUAAGAAAGACAACUGCAUAUAUGUUAAGACUAAGGGGAGCUCUAUAAUGAUCCUAGUGCUUUAUGUGCAUGACAUCCUAUUAGGAAGCAGCGAUAAGAACUUGCUGCAUGAGACAAAGGGCUUUCUCUCAUCGAACUUUGAUAUGAAGCACCUCGGUGAUGCCGCUUAUGUCUUAGGCAUUGAGAUUCACCGAGACAGGUCCAAGGGUGUACUAGAACUCUCUCAAAGAGCUUACAUAGAGAAGGUCCUUGAAAGAUAUAAUAUGCAGCAAUGUUCAGGCACAACUGCUCUAGUUAUCAAGGACGAUAAGUUUGGGUCAUCCCAAAGUCCUAGGAAUCAAUUAGAAAUUGAUCAAAUAAGAACGAUUCCUUAUGGUUCAGCUGUCGGAAGUAUAAUGUAUGCAAAAGUGUGUACACGCCCUAACUUGGCCUUUAUAAGCGGGAUGCUUGGAAGCUAUCAGUCUAAUCCAGGAAUAGGCCAUUGGAAAGGAGUUAAGAAAGCUUUGUGUUACAUGCAAGCACUAAGAAUUACAUGCUAAUGUACAGGAGAACUGAGAAAUUAGAGAUAAUCAGCUAUUCAAAUGCUAAUUUUGAGGGUUGUGUUGGCACAAAGAGAUCCACAUUAGGUUAUGUCUUCACACUUGCAAAUGGGGCUAUAUCGUGGAAAAGCUCCAAACAAACAUUAAAAGCUGCAUCGAUGAUGCAAGCUGAGUUUGUGGCAUGUUAUGAAGCUGUGGGACAAGCUGUAUGGCUUAAGAGUUUCAUCCUAGGAUUAAGACUGGUAGACAACAUAAGUAGGCCACUAAAAUUAUACUACGAUAAUAAGUCAAUAAUUUUCUAUUCGAAUAACAACAAGUCAAGUGAUGCUGCAAAGCACAUUGAAAUUAAGUAUCUUGAUGUGAAAGAUAGAAUCCAAGAUAAUACCAUUGAGUUAGAGCAUAUAAGUACUAAGAAAAUGCUUGCGGAUCCAUUAACAAAGGCUUACCUCCCAUUAUAUUCAUUGAACAUGUUGCCGGUAUGGGAUUAUCGGAUAGCCUGUGAUCUUGGAGGGUCAUAAGACAACCGCCUCCCAUCAUGAUAGGUAGUUUUAUACAUUGUGGAUAACUGUGUCACAGUGGGAUUUUAAUCAUCAUUGUCACACAUUGUCUCCCUACAUAAUUCUGCUUUAAGAAUGGCAUAAGUUAUAGGCCUUUAGACCAAAGGGGAGAACGUUUGGAAAAAUAAUGUGGUGGUCAAAAGGCCGAGAGGAAAACGGGAAGGAUAAGAUUGAUGCCUCCCGAUCACAGUGGCGCUGGAGUUGGCCAAAGGCCAUCACCGCACCACCGUCGCUGUCCAUGGACAGACGAGGUGGAGACCUGAAGGGAGAUGUGAUCUACUCCGAGCUAGUACACCUAUGACAUCCGUCAUCCCGGCCUCGUCGAAGACCCUAAUGGCCAGAUCAUCACAAGCCGUGGCAGCUGGUUGUACUCUAACAUCUUCAUUGAGUGGUGUUCACGUUCUAGAUGUGCAAAGAUCCUGUUUUAGUUAAGAUUAAGUAAUGUAGAUUCCUACAGAGUUAAUGAAGCCAACCUCUCGAUUCCAGUAGCAAGGAUGUUGUCUGAUGGCAUAUCUUCAUCUUGUGCCCCACUAACAUCAUUCAUGCUAAGGUGAAGGCUAUUAGGCGGUGUAUAGCCGUAUAUAGCCGAUUUAUAGCUUUUCAUGUAUACUGAUUGUAUUCCUUGUAUACCAAACCAUAUUGGCUAUAUAAUAGAGGUCACCCCCCUCAUUAGGGUGCAUGGUGUUUUCCCAAACUCUAUCUCUCUACAUGGUAUCAUGAGACCAGGAUCAAUCUGACUGGGACUUUCCUUCCGCUCCACCUCUUCCCGACGCGCCUAACACUAGGUGCACCUCCUGUGCAGUGGCACUUCUCCCCUGCACCGGCGCCUCUCCCCACCUCCCUUCCUCCCAUGGCCAACGAUUCCUCUGCCAAGUCCUCCCUGUCCGGUGGCGGCCUUCUGUCCACUGGUGGCCCCAGGCUGGCGCCUGGCGAUGGCUCCCUGCCCAUCUCUGGUGACACCACCACCCCACUAGACCUGAACCAUUGGGCGGCUCAGGCGCCCUCCCUGCUGCUAGUGACGGCCCUGCACUGCCCCCGUGGCGGCAGUCUUCUCCUCCACCAGGCGCCGCCGGCCAUCAUCCACCGUUACGCCAUGAUCUCUGUCAAGGCUCACGUCCCCAUGACGUGGACGAUGAAAACCUUUGGCUACUCCAAGUGGGCUUUAUUCUUCAAAUCCAUGUGUGGAAAGUUCGGCCUCAAGUCACACAUCGACAGCACCGUGGUGUCCCAUCCUGACGAUUCCGAUUGGGAUCAAGCGGAUUGCUGCAUCCUCUUCUAGAUCUUUGGCUUUGUCUACAACUCCAUCGUGGACCUCGCCAUGGAGGACCACGAGUAGACCGCCAGGGCCCUCUAGCUCACCAUUGAAGGCCUCUUCCGCGCCAACAGGCAAUUUCGGGCGAUCUUCCUUAGCUACGACUUUCACUCCAUGACCCAGAGGGACAUUGGUCACCCCGUUCAGGACUCCCAGUUGGUCCUGAAUCUUCUCCAUGGCCUCAACCCGCACUACUCCAACACCACUGACGACAUCACCAACUCCCCCGCCAGCUUCCCGUCCUUCGCCCAGGCUUGUGACAUGCUCGCCUUGAAGGAGCUUCGCCUCGCCAACUUGCUGCUUACGUGCUGCUCUACGUCGAUGACAUCAUCCUCACCGCCUCAUCUUCGAUGCUCCUCCAGCACAUCAUGGCUAGUUUUCACUCUGAGUUUGCCAUGACGGAUCUUGGUGAUCUUCAUCACUUUCUCAGCAUCUCCAUCACGCGCUCCACUGACGGCCUGUUCCUAUCCUAGUGACAGUACACCCUGGACCUCCUCCAGCAUGCCAGCAUGGCUAAGUGUCACUCUACGGCGAGUCCUGUUGACACUCAUGCCAAGCUCUCGGCGACCGACAGCAACAAGCUCAAGGAUGGCUCUGAGUACAGGAGUCUUGCAGGGGCUCUCCAGUACCUCACCUUGACUCGACUUGACCUGGUAUAUGUAGUUCAGCAGGUGUGCCUCUUCAUGCACGAUCCCUGCGAGCCUCAUCUCACACUGAUCAAGCACAUCCUGCGCUAUGUGAAGGGCACCCUGUCCUCCGAGCUUCACAUCGGCACCGGCCAUGUCCAGUCCCUGACAGCCUACUCCGAUGCGGAUUGGGCUGGCUGCCCGGACUCUUGAUGCUCGACCUCCAGCUUCUGAGUCUAUCUUGGGGAUAACUUGGUGUCUUGGUUCUCCAAGCACCAGAGCAUAGUGUCUCGGUCCAGUGCUGAGGCUGAAUACCGGGUUGUGGCUCACGCUGUUGUAGAGUGUUGCUAACUUCGACAACUUCUUCAGGAGCUAUGUCCCCCUCGCUUUGGCCACUGUUGUCUACUGUGACAAUGUGAGUGUUGUCUAUAUGACAGCCAAUCCGGUUCAUCAUCGAUGCAGAAGCAUAUCAAGAUUGACAUCCACUUCGUCCGGGAGAAGGUUGCUUUAGGAUAGGUCCGAGUGCUUCACGUGCCUUCGUCCCAUCAGUUCAUGGACAUCAUGACAAAAGGCCUUCCAGUUCAGCUGUUCACUGACUUUAGGUCCAGUCUUUGCAUCCGGGAACCUCCCGCUGCGACUGCGGGUGGGUAUUAGGCAAUGUAUAGCUGUAUAUAGCUGAUUUAUAGCUUUCCAUGUAUACUAAUUGUAUUCCUUGUAUACCAAACCAGAUUGGCUAUAUGAUAGAGGUCACGUCCCUCAUUAGGGUGUGUGGUGUUUUCCUAAACUCUAUCUCUCUACAAAAGCGACAAAGGGUUGUCAAGCUGAAGACUGCAGGGUCCAAGCCAUUAUUGGACAAGCCACGAUUGUUGAGGUCAAGUACGGUGACAUUACUGGAGGCGUCGUUGCAGCCAACACCUUCCUAGAGACAGCACUCGGUACCAUCUCACCAUGAUGAAAGCCUUGUGGUCGAUUCAUGGAAGGAGAAUGACUUCUUCAGCUGGAGGAGCACCUUAGCUUGGUCUGGAUGGCACAAAAAGGGAAGAUGAGUGAGGUUGCCACCAUCAGCAUGGUGAGGUGGCAGGGAGUGUGAGGAGCUGUGCAAGACAGAGCAGUAACGCCCAGCCGGUGGAAGCCAUGGUCCAAUGGAGGUAUGAGCUGACAAGCGUCAAAAUGGCACAGAUAUAUAAUGGUAGUCUAGUCUAGUAAUGGGUGACAGAAUUGUUGUACAUCUUGUGAAGCGGUAGUUUCACACAAGGCUUCUUCCAUGAGCUUAAGUGAUGGUCGCAAUUCAGAAUCUCCAAGUCUCUGCCCCUGUAAACACGCCAAUCAAGUAAGGGUAAGAUACAGACGUACACUAGCAAUGGAUCAUGACAGUAAGUUAUGGAAGAGACUUGUUACAACUUAUGAGACUUUCCAUAGUUGCUGUCGGUAUUGUUCAGCACCACUGGACAUAAUUGCGACCUGGGAAGUGGAGCUCCAACUAUCAAGGCUUCCAUUUCAGAAAGAAAAAAAAGGACUUCCAAGUCAAGUAAAGUGGCUACGAACCGAGGAAGGUGGAGCUGAAGCACAAAUCAACUGGAUAAACAGUAAAAAGAAAGUAGAGUAAAAUUCACAAAACAUACCUCAAGCUUGUAGUUUUCUAAUACCAGAAAAACUCAAGUUUUCCGAAAUUCGCUGUUAAAAAAUGAAAAAAAGAAAACGAAGAGCAACGCUUUAUCUUUCAGCAUGCAAAAACUGGUAGCAGGUUAGGAUAUAAAUGAGGCAUGCAUCAGCAAUGCUAGAGCGAGGAUGCAGAACAAACAUUUAACGGUUUUCCAAAGUUGCAACGACGAUUGAAUUUAUCUUGUCCCUGGCGCAAUAUAACAGCACGAGCAUCCCAUGUUACAACAUUUGAAGCAUAACAGAGCCAACAUCCAAACAUUCAACAUUCAGUUAACACCAACCGUUCUGACUACAGCACAACCAGGUUGCAGUCUUGAACAACCAUAACACUAACCAGUUCAGAACCAAAUUAUCAGUCCCGCAUUUUCACUGGUAGCAGAGCAGCAGCACUUGCUUCAGUUUUUGAAGCUGCCAUGAUCCACUUCGUCCCAUCGUCAGAUGGUGCCAUCCUCACCAGCUCCAAGGAUAGUGCUAGAAAAGGAAGACAACGUCACAUUUUUAAUCAACCCAAUGCAAAAACAGAAAAAGAAAUUAAGCAAGAACAUUACACGCAAUUGAGAAUUUCUCCAUCAGUAAAAAAGAAAACUAGAAUAGGCAAUACACCAAGAGGAGCAUUAGAGUGAAGUACCUUCCAUCAAAAGACACUGCAGUCUGCCUUAUUGGUGAUCUGUAUUGCUGAUUAUAUAGCCUGAAAAUGAUACAGUAUUUGCAUCCAGAAGCAUAAGAGUUACUAAUACGCAGCACCAAUAAAAGUGGAGGACAAGAAUAACUGAAAUUCUUGCAUUAAAAAUUACCGGGCAAUUAGGACAGGAGGGCUUGACUGUACUUCCCACACAUAGAUUUUGCCUUCACGAUUUCCUGUUUGAAGCGGAGGAUGAUUAAUCAGCAAACGUUUCUAUGAAAAUCCAGUCAUAUAUUUUAAGUGUGAACAUUUUGCCAUGCCAAAACCUCUUUAUAACUUCUGGUGUGUGAAAUUUACAAAUCAAUAACUUAAAUAUAACUUUUAUGUCAGAAAACAGCCCAGAUCAUAGAUAUUACCUAUUGCCAACUGAUUGAAGUGAAAAUCGCACGAAAAUUUUAUAAACCAGAUGUCACACUCUGGCACAGGGUACUUCUGAAGAAUAUCGAUGCUUCCCUAUAUGAGGAAAGAGAAAGUCAUAUUACUUCAGAGGAAUGGGCAGUCAACGACUAGAAAUCAAAGAAACCGCUGGAAGUUAAAUUCAAGAAAAGUUAAAUUGUAUCACCUCCCUAGGACUUUGUUCUUUUGUUUUUGGUUCCCAAAGCACAAUUUCAUUCUCAACACUCUGCAAAUCCAAGCUAGCAUAGAUCAGAUUCCUCAUUAUACAGGAACCAAAACUGGCACUGGGAAAGAAAAGGUUGAAAGACUGAACCCAUGCACAGUACAAGAAUACAGGAUCCAGAUACAGUGGUAUUUUGAAGCAUCAAAAGAAUGACGACUGUACUACUACUAUAGCAGCAAUUUGUAUCCAUUUAAGGGAAGGAAUUUCACCUUUGACAGGAUGAAGUCACCAAGCCAUCUUGUACAAUCAACAUAGUUAGAGUGUACUGCAGCAAUCAACACCUGCAAGGAAAGAAACAGGUUGGUUUGAUGGCAUGAGGAUUAACCACCAACAGUAGUUUGCAAAGGAAUAGAUCUAAGAUUAUUAUAGAUGCUAAACAUACCGGAAACUGGACAUAUUUUGUUGGAAACUUUGAUGGAAGGUCAGUCCAGGAAUAUGAUUUGUCAACAUAUUGCCAAAAUUCUGUGACAACAUUGGGAAACUCUAUCAAUGAUAUGCAGCAUGCAAAUGUAAACAUGAUGCUACUUUGAAGUAGUUUUCCAACCUUUCAUUGACCAGAUUUUCACAGUGUUGUCCAUGCCACAACUUGCAAAACGCUCAAUAUCACUAGGGUGGAAGUCCUUCUGCCAAAAUAAUGUAUUUUGAUCAGUACAUUUAUGCCUAACGUAAUGGAAGUACAAAAGCCAUAGUAGUCACCACUCACCAGGACUAUAUUUAUCCCUGAUGUAAUGCUCAAUAACAAACAGUAACAUCAGAAGCUGAAAGAGUGGUAGCUUCAGGGCACUUUGAGCAAGUAAUAUUCUGAAACAAUACCAUAAGAGGAGGCAGGAGCUACUUACAACACUCAACACUUCAUUGCGAUGACCUCCAGCUCCAGCAAAUACCAAGAUGCAGAUCCCUGUAUGGACAUUCCAUAGCCUAACAGAUUCAUCCUAUUCAAUAAUGUCAUAUGAAACAGUGUCAGAACAAUUAUAAGAAAGUACAUUCAGCCUAAGAACAGGUUAUCUGCUAACCUUGCUUGCAGAGAAAUGAUGAGCGAAGGCUUCAACGCUUGAGUCCUUAUCUCAUUUAUUGAGUCACCAUGGCCAACAAAGCUCUGUAGAAUUCCAUAAACAGAAAUAACAAAUAAACACGUGCACAGUCUAAUUCAUAGGAUAGGAUAGUAUUUAUUGGCAUGCCCAGUCUCCUGACUAUAUGUAUAACGCCAAAAUAGAUACACUAGGUUGAACGUGUCUUGACUAUGACGGACAUGCUGAAGUAUCCAAAAACCAGAAUCUUCUGUGAGCAAAAGUUACAGUUUGCUAGUGGUAUUAAUGCAUAGCAAACAGACAAUUCCAUAAUCAAACCAAAUUCAAAUGACCUUCUGGAUCGGAUAUCAUAGAUGGUAUCUGUCAGGUAAGCAACUGAAGUACUGAUUUAUGCAAAUGAAGCUUCAUUCAAGUUUGACGUAGGAACAAAGACAAGGCUAGGGGUACUAUACCUUAGCUAACUUCUCCGUAGCACAGUUGAUGAGCCGAAUGAUCCCAUUGCUUCCUGCUGCUCAAUGACUCCUUUCUUGGUGACCAGUGUGGCAUCCAAGGUAUCAAUCAGCUCUUCCUUCUCCUUGAGCAAGGUGUUCUUCUCCUCUAUCACCCUGUCCCUAGCCUUCAGUGCCUCCUCCAUCCGAACAACUCUUGCCUCCAGCGUGGCAAUCCUCAGCGAGUCCCUCUCGUCGUAGUUGUCCAGUGCAGUGUCCACCUUGUGCUGCAAGCGACGGUUCGUCUGGUCCAGGUCAGUCAAAUAGUGCUCAAGUCCCAUUAUCUUGCCCUCAAGCAUGGCGUCGGUACCGAUGCAGUUGUCCCAACCCUUGCGAAGUACCUCCACCUCUCUGUCAUUCCAGAACAGUGCCAAAUCCUGAGCGUGAAUGCAGUGGGAGGCCACGUAAAACUUCUCGUUGGGCUCUGCAUAAACAUCCUCAUAGUACUGACGGGCUAAACUCUCGAAGUCCCUCAGCCCACGGCAAGCCCUGGUUAGGCAGCGGUAGGGAGUCUGAGCCAACCUGUCAAGGAGCUGCGCAUGCACCUCACGCACGGCCCUUCUGGCGGCAGUCCGGUGAGCCUUUGACACUAACAACUCAAACCUUGGUAGAAGAAUAAGCAAAGUCUAGUUAGAAAUAGCGGUAGUCAACAGCACUGUCCAUAGCCAGUGAACAUGGAUUAUAGCUAUAGCUUUAUACACCCUGCAAAGGAUGUACAACUGUACCCACACGGAUGGAGUCUAAACGGUGGAGAUCCGUCAAAACCCCACCUAACAGCCGGAGCCCUAGUAGGUAGAUAGCUCUCUCCUAUUUCCUCAAGUUUGGUCAGAGUAGGCCAAUACCUCGAACUCAUUACACGAUCCUCCAAUCCACCUACAGGCUGAGCAGUAUCCACCACUAGUCUCGGACCGAACCCUUCCCAUAAUGUAAGCGAGUGGUAUGUACGUAAAAUAGCUGUUGUGACUAGUGGUAAACUAACUCAGUGUUUAAGCGGCUGAGAGCGAGCACUCUACUCCAUAAGUAUGUGCCAAAGUACCUGCAACGUACAAGUACGCCACCUGCUCUUUAGUAACAAACAAGGUACCCGCUGUAACACCUAGUGUUAAUGACAACUUAAGUAUGACAUUAAGAAGCUAAUGGUGAAGUUGGAUUAAAGGAAGGUAAUUUGAGCCAAAAAUCAAAUUUGAGCCGAAUUCGACCAAAUUUGGAAUUUGGAGUUUCAAAUUUGGAUAAAUUUGGCAAAAAUAUGAAAUAGAGUCUUGAGAGUAUUCAGAACUCAAAGGAAUGAAUCUUGAAGUCUAAAUCAAGUCAUAAAGCUCUCAUAAAUACAAUCGAAGAGGGAGUCAGCAAAGUCACUAUUCGUCGUCCGAAAACGCGCAACUCUGAAAUUAAUAUUGAGUACACAACUUUGGAGCCAAUUCCUGGAGAAUUUCUCCUGUAAGUGAGCAGAUAUUUUUGGACAUUAGUGAAAUAUGGACUAUGGAGAAGGUAAAUGAAAUGUUGUUGUCCAGAGAAAGUGGAAGAUUUGAAUUUAAAAUGAAGCCCAAAAUCAGCAAAUCAGUAGAUUUCAGCCUUCUCGCCAAGAAAAAUCUUAAGUCUGAAAACAGCAUUGACUAGCCAUGUUUGGAGUGAAUUUUAGAAAAAUCUAGUGUAAAAGAUAUAUGAGUUCAUGUGCAAAAUAGAAUCUUUGUUAGUUGUAGAACAAGUAUGGGCAAGGGUCAAGCUGCAUGGAACAAGUUUGCCUAAUUUAAAUCAAGCUCAAAGAGGUAUAAAUGGCCUUGCACCGUACCUGACGAAACUGAAUCAUUGAGGUUCAGUUACAGAAGCUUCUGGUCGAACUUCAAGCUUCAAAAUUUCAGUGUUAGGGUGCUCAUUUCGGUUGGAGGUCAAUCUAUCAAAUGAAGUACUUGGGCUACUCUACAAGUUUGCUUAAGGAACAUUUGGACCUUCGGAUUUGAAAUUGGUCGAUGGGGAAGUCUGAAUUUUGGAGAAGAAGAAGAAGAAAGAGGGAAACAGGCGAGCAGGAACAGAGCCGUGCUGCCGCCGGCACCUCUGCCCGCCGGCCAGCGCAACAAUCCAAAUCGCGCCACGCACGCCUUCAAGUCGUCGAUGUGGCCGUCAUGCACGCGGUAGAAGUUCGUAUUUGUACCGCUCCCAUCCUCAUCCGUUCACCCUGCCGCCAUUCUUUUCACCGUCACAAAGCAGAGCUCGGGUGACCGGCACUGCCGCCGGCCGAUUCCACCGCACCGCCGCUCUAAUCCUCGAUCCCUUCCACCUGAAGCUCCCCUAGCCCCUCGCCGACACCCUACACCGCCCCGUCCACCAGUUUUCCCGCCGGCGAGCCACACCCGCCGCAUCUCCUAUCCGCCCGCCGCCGCUACUGCCCCUCCAGUGAGCCCUCCGCGCCGCCCCUUCUCCACUCUUGUGCUCGGGUUUAGAGGCUCCUUAGGUCGUGAAGACGCCGUAGGACGCAUCCGCCGGCCGCUUGCGCCGCCGCCAGACCUAGAAUCCGGCCGGCCUUCGGCCAUGGCCGCCGCCGCCCGUGCAGGGCCCGGCUUAGGCCGCCUCCGGGUGAGCUAGCGCCACCUGCAGGUGCGCUGGGGCCUAGGGGUGCUCCCCGGCCUGGCCCCGCCGUCGGCAGGCCACCGGCCGUUGAGCCGCCGGAGCCACCCGCGGGGCACCCUGUUUUGGGUCGGGCAGGGGAGGCCUGGCCAGGUUGGCCCCACGCAUCGGUGAGGAUAGGGUAGGGGGGCGGUAGCAAUAGGAUUCCAGGGGGUUUUUCCGAUAAGGUUGGAAUUUUUGGAUUUAAAAAUAAAUUUAAAUAACUGCCAACCCAUUUAAUUCACUGUAAAUUGUAUAGGUACCCAAAAAUAGUGAAAUAAAUUUCUUUAGGUUUAUUUUAAUCUCCUUUACACAUUAAAAUUGUUAAAACAUAUUUAUAGAAACCUUUUGAGUAUUUAUUUAGUGCCUUUAAUUAAAGUUGUUAAAUAAAUACUUAAUAAUUCCAAAAUACAUAAAAUAUGAAAUAAUGCUUUUAUAAUUACAAAUUAACCAUAAUCUAUAGUAAUUAGGAGUUUAAGAUUAGAAAUUAAUUAUGAUGAUUUUCAAAAAUAAAAACAAAAGGCUUACGUUUUUAAAUAAAAGAUAAAGAUUAAGUAGUUAUUUAAUGCUUUUCCUUAAAAUAUUUAAAUAAAUGCUUAAGCUUUAUAAAUAAAUAAAAUUCUGAAUAAUGUUUUGAUUAAUUCCAAACAAAUGUUAAUCUAUAGUUUUACAUUUUCUUUUACAUUAGAAAUUAUUUCAAAUGAUUUUCAAAAAUAAAAAGAAAAGUCUAAAAUGGGUUUAAAUAAGGGAGUUUAAAUCGCGAGUUACACGUUAUGGGUAGAGUUUUGUUGGCUUGCAACUUUAUCAUGAAGUUAAGUUGUCUAAGUCACUGUUGGCUUGCAACUUUAUCAUGAAAGAAGUUGUAGAGUCCUGUGCUUAAAAAGUUGCAUCUCUGACUCAUGCAUACGCUUUAUCGUAGAUACUGAAGCUCCAGAAGCGGAAUUUCUAGAAAUUUCUGAAGAACCUUCGGAAUUUGAGGAGAUCGUUGAGUUGAUCCCUUGUGAAGCCAGUCCGUCGAGCAACGCUAACAUUUUUACAGAUCAAGGCAAGCCCCGGUGCAUCUAUGCCUAUCUAUUUUGGAGUUAUUAUUUCAUGUGUCCAACUAUUGGUUAUUUCUUUAUGAAUGCAUUAAGUCUAGGAGUUGAUUGAAACCUUACUUUUAUGCACAAUCCAACCUUGUUAUUAAGGACAUCUUUGCCACUUGUCAAUAAUUAGUAAGUAUCCCAUGCUUAGCAAAGCAUAGUCGCGCUACCUCUACCAUUCCUGAGAACCUAUGGUACUCAGCAGCCUAAGGUAACAUUGUCAUACAUAUGUAUAUCAAAGAAAUGACCGGUUUUGGAAGAUAGUGGACGGAAGCUUGGAUGGAAUCAAGAAAGGAGUCUUGAGUUCCGUAGUUCUGUCUACUCGAUUAAUUUGAUUAAGGACCGAUCGUUGUUUUAACCCAUGAUCAAGUGAUAUUACCUGGUUGCUUACUGCUAUAUGGGAACCAGCAAGCCCGGUAGGUUAGUUGGCUCUCUGAUCGGAAAUAUUUCGUACCCGUGCUUGGCGUGCAGUGGAAGGGCAGGGCGUAGCCGGAAACUCAUAGUGGAGAUCGCUAGACGUGGGGUUCCAUGUGGGGGUGCGGCCCUGGGUUCAAGUAGUCAUAUUUCCGAUCGUUGGGUACAUCUAAUCGAAAGGUCGUUAUGUGCAACCCGGACAGUUGUACAUGGCUGGUGGUCAGGUAUCUCCUUGUAACGACCCUGGUCAAAUCAUUCGAGUUAAUCUUAAUCUGAAGCCCAAAUUCCUCUGUCUCAGCUCUUCCCGAGCAGGAGUGCUCCACUCCAGUUCCCGGUCCCGGCCCCUGAAGACCCCAACCAACCCCGUCGGUUCCUUCUGAGUUCCCUAAGGCAGUGCUCCUUUCAAUCUUGGAGCUGUGGGACAACCGAGACUGACCGGUGGACCCGCAAAUCUUUUCCCGGAUUUCCCGAGGCAAACGCACUCGAGCGGCCUGCACCGCUUCAGAGCUCCCCCGCCGCAUGGCUCAACUUCUCCGACGCCCGCCGCUUCGCCCAGUCGCCGACCGCGACAGGAUGGAUUCCCGCGCCCUCCUCCCCAAUCGCAGCGGAAGCCCCUCUGCAACCCUUUCUGCAGCGCCUCGUCUCACUCGCGCCCUCGGACACGUGUGUUGAUUCAUACGAAGGGUGGUAUGGUUCGAUUCCAACGAGCCUAUCAUCACGGUUGUUCGCCCACGUCUAUUAUACGUGCGCAGAUUCCACAUCUCGAGUAUGCGAAGGGUUAUACGGUUCCAUUCAAAGGGGACCUAUUUCCAUGGUUGUUGCGCUAUCCAUGCAGCCUUAAACACAUGGGUGCCGUUUCUAUAGUGAACGGUAAUGCUUGGGGACGCUUUCGUGGGUGCUGGCACGAAAGGUUCAUGUGGUUGUGUUUUCUGCAGGUACACUAACCGCGUUCGCUUAGGAGACACUACUAGAACCCGACUAGAUAUUAUAGGGAGAGACGUACUGGUUGCCUUGACACCGGCACUGACUGCGUAAGACCAAAGUUUUGGCAGUUGUUUUGGUUGAGAGGAUGAAGUAGGCCAUGCAUGCGACAUGAACUAAAAUCUUUGAACCCACCUCUCUAAAACAACCUUGCCUUGGUUAAAGCCCUUCUUCGGUUUAAGGAUUUCUAGCUUCCUUUCUAGCUUGUGCUUUGGUCAAAUCCGAGUACUUUUUCUGCCUGACCUGUUCUUCUUCUUAGAGUUUCUAUCUCACGUCAGUUCAGUUUUUGGUUCCAGAUGGCUGCCCUCGGACACGUGUUGUACAGCGCUGACGGCAUGUCCCACUCUACGUCCCUACACUUUGAGGGUUUUCCUGCUAUUCUGUGGGACACCUUAAGGUGGUUUGGGUAUCAGUCCCCGCCUUUGUACAUGGGAUGGAUGUACCAGGAGCACGGAGUACAGAGGUGCAACAUGCAGGUGGUGAUACCUCCACCCCCUGUGCAGCCCGAGUGGUCCCAGCUCGAAGUCUUGACUUGCGGGCACGCUCUGGAGGAUACAUGGGAGUCAGCUGCUCUGCUGAUCCUCACCCACUUCUGUUGACUACACCCGCUUGAGGUCACUUUGGACCCAAUCGGCUUGUUCCCCGCUAGGGAUCGGCUAGACCCGGCGUGGCUUGAUCACGUCAACAACAUGGAAGUGUUGGCAGCCUCUCAUGCGCUGGUCACCAUCUCUACCACCACCAGAUGCAUGUCAGCCUUGUAUCAGCUGAUUGAGCUUCAAGGCCGAGCGAUGGCUGUCUUAGCUCGGAUAGCCAUAGACACCCAAGGGCUUUUCAACGCCGCUAAAAGAGACUUGGUGGGACAGUCGCAUCAGCUUAUCCAAAGAGGCAUACAGAUCCAUGACAUGCAAGACAGAAUCUCCAAGCUCGAGGGAGAAGUGACGGACCUGGUGGAUGGCAUGAUCGAGCUUGCCGAAGAAAAGAUGGAGGUCGAGAUGGAGCUAGCAGUUGCUAAUGCUCAUUUGGACGAGCAUCACGCCGAGCUUGAUGCUAUACAUGCCCUUGAGAUGCAGCUGGAUGAACAAGAAGAUCCUGAGGAGGUCAUGGGAGCGUCCAGCAUGGACAUUGAGGAUGGCGACGCCCCUUCUCCGACUCAUAGUGUUCCCUCAUAGGUUGAGAGCUGUAGGAAUCUAAUCUUUUGUUAUACUCAUUGGCAACCUAUGUUUUGGAUAGUGAUGUAAUAGGUUAGCCUUGAGUUGAGUAUUCCUCCUGUGUUUUGGGGAACAACAAUGCAAUGACCUCAGUGAAAUCAGAUCUUAACUUGACCUUUGACUCUUUUUGCGACACGCUUGGAUGCCAGGUUGUGUGAGUUUUGUCCUGUGACCACACACCCAUCUUCUGUGGGUCUGUCCAAAGCUUGGCCGACCCUGAGUCGCAAGGUCGGAUGCGCUCGACCCCUCGAGGCAGUUCUCCGCCUCGCCCGACCCCUUGCUGUGCAGUUUGCUUCGCCCGACCACUGGUUUCACUGUUUCGCUUAGCCCGACCCGGGCACUAAAGGUCGGAUAUAGUGGAACUCCUCGGAUGUGGUUAUGGUUCGCCUGAAGUUGUGUGCAGAACUAAGAUAGUUGCUAACUAAGAUGGCAAGAGGAAGUGUGUAUCUCUUUAAUAAGGACAUGUUAUUGUGUUGCAGUAUCGGCAAGAGUCGCAUUUGAGGAUUUAACUUAUACGUUCCCACAUAAUGGGAAUACUUCUGAGGAUAUGGAAUUAAUGGAACGUUGACUCUUGCAGAUGGCGCAUCGCACCCGAUCUAGCUCUAUGCCCAGCGGUAGUGAGCAGAGGCAGGAUCUUCCUCCGCCUCCGCCCCCACCUUCGCUGGAAGCCCUCCUAGCGGCUCAAACUGAGCUGCUAAGGCACAUUGUACACGGACAACAACAGCAGCCUCGUGGAGGGAGAGCCCAUCAACAACCCCAAGUUGCUCGUUAUGAGGACUUCUUGAGCACGCAACCCCCUUUGUUCCAGAAGACAUAAGACCCGCUCGACGCCGAUGCCUGGAUUCGUGCCAUCGAAUCCAAGUUCUCCCUCCUCACCGCCCAUUGCUCGGAGGAGAAGAAGGCUCGGUUCGCCGCGCAACAACUGCGUGGUUCUACCCUCCUUUGGUGGGAUCACUACCACGCCAUGCAGCCGGUCGACCACGUCGUCAGCUGGGAGAAGUUUAAGACGGUGUUCAGGGGCCAUCAUAUCCCUGAAGGUCUCCUGGAGCGUAAGCUCAACGAGUUCCUGGCCCUUACCCAGGGAAAUCGAGAUGUCCUGCUGUGGCGGAACCACCUCGGAUUAGCUUGAUUAAGCAGGGUUAAGCCGCCUAACAUGCGACACUCCUGCCUAAACCGAGUUAAUACGAAGUGCCGUCGGAUUUCAUCCGAUUUAACCACUUAAACAGAAUCGAGUUCAGCAAACCCACACGAAGGUGAGCGGUUACAGAGAAUACAACAAGUCCACUGAGUUGAACAAGUUUUACCCAUUUGGUUCGGCCAUAAAAUCCAACAUCAGAGUUUUACAAGUUUUCAAGGAAACAACAGAGAAAACACUAGCGGAAGACUUCGUCGGGGUCGGACAUCCUUGGUGAGGCCAACCGGGACAUCACUAGCUCCUUCCCUCGCCGUCCGAGGAAGGAUCCCACUCGACCGUCCAGCCUGGCGGGAGCUGGGGCGGCCAAGCACCAACCAGAGAGGGGUCGGAAGCAGCAACUUCACCUGAAAACAGGAGCCACAACAAGGCUGAGCUACUAAGCUCAACAAGACUUAACCGAUAGGAGGAAGGGCUACUCCUCCUUCUAGACAUGCAAGGCUGUUUGGCUGAGGGGGUUGUUUGCCAAAAGCACUAAGUAACCCUAUUUUCAAGUUUUAGCUCCGGUUCUAGGUUCAUUUACCAAUCUAGGUUGUGCCACCUAUACUAAGCAUUCAUAGAAUCAAACAAGAUGUAUAGAUACAACAACAAACAUUGCCAUCAUCAGAUUCCUCAUUUACUCAGGGUGACAUAGCGAUCAAGCAAUCUCAAACUAUGAAAGGCAGACGAAUCGAUUCAAGUUCUUUAACCAUGCAUGGUGAACCUAGCCUCACGACAUCCGCGCACCCGGAGGUCGCUUCCUGUGUCGGCCUUCCCCAUCAAUCCCCUAACCCGUGUCGGGCCCAUUUCCUUUGGUGCAAGGUUCCACAGACCCGGCCUCUGCCAUUCUGUGACCACGCUUGCCACCACGUGCGACAACCAGCAGGGGAAACUCCGUUCCAAGAACAAUGGGGCGAUCGCUCACGUAUAGGUUCAAUCCGGUACUAGGCUUCCUCAUCCCAUACUAAGUAUGAGGCUAGUACUUUCAAACACUUGAUCACGAACACCACCACUGUCGGGCCUUAGCAAGUUUUCAUAGACAGACGUGGCAACCAUCUGACCACCAAAAAGUUACCAAAACCCUGCCCCGUCCAUCGUCCUUAUAGUUAUAACAGGACAGUAAACAUGCAACUCCUACAACUCGCGAGAGAUAGGAAAUCACUCGACUUUUACCGUCUCCUAGUUAAGCAAUGCAGCUACUCGGUCCAACAGCUAGUGCUCAGAUCACUGGGAUAACUAAGUCAUGCAUCUAGGGUUUCACACAACUCCUAUACGUAAAUGCACAAGCAUGUUACAGAAGGCAUGCGCAAGUCUGGUAAAACACAUAGGACUUUCAUGCAACCGGGGCUUGCCUUCAAGCAAGGAGGACGGAAACUGCUCGACUUCGGGGGCGACUUCGGCUUCGGAGGACAGGAGCUCGGCUACAGCUUCUUCUUCUGGCGCCGGGUGAAGCUCGUAGAAGCCGUCGGCGAGGUGCAGCUCUACACGAAUGCAAUGCAGGGGUUAGCAUAGACAGUUACUUCAACAGCAACACUGGCUCGCCUGAGCCCAGAAACUCGCGACAAAGAGCAGGAGGUUAAGGCGGUUCGAGAGCUGAUGAUGAUCAAGGGGUAAGGGUAGGAAGGAACUAGUGGUCUGAUCCUUGAACUAGAGGAUGUGAUAAACUGGGGGUCCUUAGACGCAAGCGUUGAAGGGUUCCCAAGUUUUACACAUACACCCUCGAGUUGAAGAAAAAGAUCACAGCCAAGCCCUCGGGCGAGACGGACAAGGGUCGGCGGAACAGACAGGGUCGGGCGAGACGGAACCGGGGUCGGGCGGAUAGGAGGGGUCGGGCGAGGCGGACUGGGGUCGGCAACUCACCUUCUUCCUGAAAGGAAAGCUUGGGGUCGGAACGAAGCGGACUUGGGCGGAGGGACUACGGUUUGAUCAGAAGCUAAGACCGGCGAUGCUCCGGCGGCGGCGCUGCUUCUUGCGGAUCACAAGAGAGCUUUUACGCAGCACGGAGGAGCAAGCUGCUGGGUGACUUGGAGAAGAACUGAGGGAGAACUGAGAGAAGAACUCCUCAAGAACUGGGUGGGUGGCGCUAGGAGCUUGAGCAGGGAGCUAGAGGAGGCUGAAGGCAACGAGAGCGGAGGGAACUCCAGCGACGGGGGCAUUCCUUUUAUAGCUGCUGGAGCAGAGGAAAGGAAACGGCACGGAGAGAGAGAAGGAGAGCGGCGCGAAGGCCGGGGAGAGGCAAUGGAGUGCUCUGCUGGGGCGGCGAUUAAGCAAAGAGGGCGGUGGUGCAGAACUCCGGGGGUGACGCCAGCAAUCAUGGCGUUCUGCCGUCAGGGCGGCGUAGGAGCGGGUAGACUGGUGGUUGAGAUUUGGCGGAAAGCGGGCGUCAUCGUGCGGAAGAUGUGAUAGAAGUGACCGGCUUAACGGCGCUAGAAUCGAGGGUGCUCGGGUGAGAAGGCAGGCGGACGCGGGCGCGUGGGAGAGUGCGGAACAACAGAUUGUCGGGCGGCUUCUGACAGAGCGGGGGAAAGGAACUGUCGCGGCCGCGGUCGGGGUUGGCGGUGGAGGAAUCAUCGUGUAGCGGCGACCAGGCGGCGCAACUGUGGCUGAAGGGACGGAAAAGACGGGCGACAUCGGGCUCUGGGGCUGGGAUCUGGUGGCGUGAUGAUGGGCGCGGGAGGCGAGGUUCUGCAGAAAGGGGUGCAGAGGGCUUCCGCUGCCAUUGGGGAAAGGGGGCACGGGAACCCACUCGGUCGCUGGCCAGAGACAAAACUGAGCGGCAGGCGUCGGAGAAGACGAGCCACGCGGCAGGAAGACUCUGAAGCAGCCAAGCAACUCGAGUGCGGCUGUCGCGGGGGAUCUGGAAAAGAUCUCGCGGGUCCACCAGUGGAUAGAUCGGACGGGUGAGGAAGAUUAACAGAAUCCGACGGUGGGCUGAGCUCGCCGGGGUCAGGAGAGGAGCGAAGCCGGAAGGGGUCGGAUCUCAGGGGUCGGGACCGGCGGGAAACUGAGCACUUAGGUGCGGUCAAGCAAGACAGCUGACUAAGGUUAAGGGCUGUGAUCAAGACUAACUGGAAGGCUUAGGGGUCGGUCGUUACAGCCUACCCCUCUUAAAAAGAAUCUCGUCCCGAGAUUUAGAGAUCAAGGGGGUGUGUUGUCCUUACCUCCUUAAGAGGAUAGAAAACCUGGGAAACGCUUGCUCAGAUAUUUGUCCGUUUCCCAUGUUGCUUCAUCCUCGGUGUGGUUUCUCCAGAGGAUCUUGUACAUCUUUACCACUUGGCGUCGGGUGUGCCUUUCCUUUUGGUCAAGAACUCGAUCUGGGUACUCGGCGUAGGUCAGGUCGGGCUCUACCUGAAGCUGUUCUUGCUCUAAGAUCUCUGCUAGAACUCGGACACAUUUCUUCAGUUGAGACACAUGGAAAACAUCAUGUAUUGCCGACAGCUGCUCUGGGAGUUGGAUCCGGUAAGCAACGGGUCCACAUAUCUCCACAAUCUCAUAAGGGCCAAUAUAGCGGGGAGCUAACUUGCCUUUUAUUCCAAACCGCUGCACUCCUUUGGUCGGGGAGACUCGAAGGUACACAUGAUCACCAAGGUCAAAUUGCAGGGGUCUUCUCCGCUGGUCGGAGUAACUCUUUUGUCGAGAUUGGGCGGCCUUGAGAUUUGCUUUAAUUACCUUCACUUGCUCUUCGGCUUCUGCCACUAAAUCAGGGCCAUAGACCUGUCUUUCUCCUGGUUGGGACCAGUUCAGGGGUGUCCUGCAUCUUCGGCCAUACAGAGCUUCAAACGGUGCCAUUUUCAAACUGGCUUGGUAGCUGUUAUUGUAGGAGAAUUCUGCUAAGGGCAGACACUUGUCCCAGUUCUUAUCAUAGUGGAUAACACAAGCUCUUAACAUGUCUUCAAGAAUCUGGUUGACUCUCUCAGUUUGGCCAUCGGUUUGAGGAUGAUAUGUUGAGCUUCGGAUGAGCUUGGUGCCCAUAGAUGCUUGUAGCUGCUCCCAAAAACAUGCCACAAACUGAACUCCUCGAUCAGAGACGAUAGUCUUGGGUACACUAUGUAGGGAAACUAUACGGUCGAGGUACAACUCUGCAUACUGCUUGACUGUGUAGGUGGCGCGAAUAGGAAGGAAAUGUGUUGUCUUGGUCAGACGGUCCACUAUAACCCAGAUGGAAUCAUAUCUUUGUGUUGUAAGGGGUAACCCAACUAUGAAGUCCAUGCUGAUGUCUUCCCAUUUCCAAGAGGGAAUAGGUAGCGGCUGCAAGGUUCCUGCUACCUUCAAAUGACUGGCCUUGACACGUUGACAGGUGUCACAUUCUGAAACAUAACGAGCUAUCUCUGGUUUCAUUCCAUUCCACCAAAAGGUUUGACGAAGAUCAUGGUACAUCUUAUUGCUGCCAGGAUGGAUCGAGAACUUGGAGAGAUGAGCUUCAUCUAGGAUUUGCUUCCUUAACUCGGGGUCGGCGGGCACUACUAGCCGGUUUCCAUAAUACACACCUCCUGUUUUGUCCUGAUGGAAAUGGUUAUAUCCCUCAUCCUUUACUGAGAUCUUACCGAUGAUCCAUUGUACUUCUGUAUCUCUUACCUGUGCUGACCGAACUUGGUCUUCCAAAACUGAGUCAAGGAUGAUGUGACCAAGGGUUCCUUGAGGAAUAAUCUCCAGACUUAGUUUUCCCAUCUCAUGACACAGAGUCUUGGUGAAGGCUGUUGACAACAAGCAGUUGCAAUGGGGUUUGCGGCUGAGGGCAUCAGCUACCACAUUGGCUUUGCCAGGAUGAUAGUGUACUUCCAAUUCAUAAUCCUUUAUCAACUCCAGCCAUCUUCUCUGACGCAUGUUGAGGUCGGCUUGAGUGAAGAUGUACUUGAGGCUCUUGUGGUCGGUGUAGAUGUUGCAGUGAGUUCCCAUUAGGUAGUGCCUCCAUAUCUUCAAGGCAUGUAUCACUGCUACCAACUCAAGGUCAUGUGUCGGGUAGCUUAGCUCAUCAGGUCGUAACGCACGUGAGGCAUAGGCAAUGACUCGGCUGUCUUGCAUAAGAACACAUCCGAGUCCAGUGCCAGAGGCGUCACAGUAUACGUGUAACGACCGACCCCUAAUCUUUCCCAGUUAGGCUUGAUCUCAGCCCUUAACCUCAGUCAGUUGCUCUGUUGACCGCACUUAAGUGCUCAGUCUUCCGCCAGUUCCGACCCCUGAGGUCCGACCCCUACCGUUCGUUCCUUUUUCCCGACCCUGGCGAGUUCAGCCCUCCGUCGGAUCCUGCUAAUCUUCCUCACCCGUCCGAUCUUUUCCCCCGGUGGACCCGUGAGAUCUUUUCCAGAUCCCCCGCACCAGCCGCACUCGAGUUGCAUGGCCGCCUCAGAGCUUUCCUGCCGCGUGGCUCGUCUUCUCCGAUGCCACCGCUCAGUUUUGUCUCUGGCAAGCGACCAAGUGGGUUCCCGCGCCCUUUUCCCCAAUAGCAGUGGAAGCCCUCUGCACCCCUUUCUGCAGAUCCUCGCUCCCCGCGCCCAUCAUCACGAUACCAGAUCUCGGCCCUGGAGACCGAUGUCGCCCAUCUUUUCCGUCCUUUCCAGCAACAGUUGCGCCGCCCGGUCGUCGCUACACGACGAUUCCCCAACCGCCAACCCCGACCGCGGCCGCGACAGUUCCUUUCCCCGCCCUGUCAGACGCCGCCCGACAAUCUGUUGUUCCGCGCUCUCCCCCGCGCCGCGUCCGCUUGUUCUCCCACCUGUGCGCCCUUGAUUCUAGUGCCGUUUAACCGGUCGCUUCUAUCACUUCUUCCGCACGACGACGCCCGCUCUCCGCCAAAUCCCAACCACCGGUCUACCCGCGCCUACGCUGCCCUGACGGAGUAGCGCAAUGAUCGCUGGCGUCACCCCCGGAGUUCUGCAGCACCGUCCGGUUUGCUCAAUCGCCGCCACGGCAGAGCACUCCAUUGCUUCUCCCCGGCCUUCGCGCCGCUCCCCUUCUCUCUCUCCGCGACGUUUCCGUUCCUCUGCUCCAGCAGCUAUAAAAGGAAGGCCCCUGUCACCGGAGUUCCCUCCGCCUUUGUUGCCCUUAGUUUCCUCUAGCUCCCUGCUCAAGCUCCUAGCGCCAUCCGCCCAGUCUUGAAAAGUUCAUCUCCCUAUUCCUUCUCAGUUCAUCCAAGUCACCAACAGCGUGCUCCCUUGUGCUGCGUAAGAGCUCUCUUGUGAUCCGCAAGCAGCACCACCGCCGGAGUAUCGCCGGCCUUAGUCCCUGCUCAAAGCUUUAGUUCCGCGCCCAAGUCUGCCUCUUCCCGACCCCAAGCUUUCCUUUCAGGAAGAAGGUGAGUGCCGACCCUAAGUCCGCUUCGCCCAACCCCUCCUAUCCGCCCGACCCCAGUUCCGUCUCGUCCGACCCUGUCUGUUCGCCGACCCUUGUCCGCCUCGCCCGAGGGUCUGGCUGUGAUCUUUUCUUCAACUCGAGGGUGUAAGUGUAAAACGUGGGAACCCUUCAGCGCUUCCGUCUGAGGAUCCCAGUUAUCACAUCCUCUAGUUCAAGGAUCAGACCACUAGUCUCCUUCCUAUCCUUACCUGUUGAUCAUCAUCAGCUCUCUCAAACAGCCUCCACCUCCUGCUCUUUGUCGCAAGUUUCUGGGCGCAGGAGAGCCAGUGUUGCUGUCGACUUAAACGUUAAGCUAACCCUUGCAUUGCAUUCGUGUAGAGUUGCAUCUCGCUGACGGCUUCUACGAGCUGCACCCGGCGCCCGAAGAAGAAGCUGUAGCCGAGUUCCUGCCCGCUGAAGUCGAAGCCGCCCCCGAAGUUGAGCAGUUCCAGCCUUCUUUGUUUGCAGGCAAGCACCGGUUGCAUGAAAAUCCUACGUGUUUUUGCCAGACUUGCACAUGCCUUCCGAAUAGCAUGUUUGUGCAUUUACGUUUAGGAGUUGUGUGAAACCCUAGAUGCAUGACUUAGUAACCCUUGAUAUGAGCACUAGCUGUUGGACCGAGUAGCUGCAUUGCUUAAAUAGGAAACGGUAAAAGCCGAGUGAUCUCCUGUCACUCGCGAGUUGUAGGAGUUGCAUGUGUUACUCUCCUGUUACAACUAUAAGGACGAUGGACGGGGCAGGGUUUGGUAACUCUUUGGUGGUCGGAUGGUUGCCCCGUCUGUCUAUGAAAACUUGCUAAGGCCCGACAGUGGUGGUGUUCGUGAUCAAGUGUUUGAAAGUACUAGCCUCAUACUUAGUAUGGGAUGAGGAAGCCUAGUACCUGAUUGAACCUAGACGUGAGCGGUCGCCCCAUUGUUCUUGGAACGGAGUUUCCCCUGCUGGUUGUCGCACGUGGUGGCAAAGCGUGGUCACAUAACGGCAGAGACCGGGUCUGUGGAACCUUGCACCAAAGGAAAUGGGCCCGACACGGGUUAGGGGAUUGAUGGGGAAGGUCGACACGUGAAGCGACCUCCGGGUGCGCGGAUGUCGUGAGGCUAGGUUCACCAUGCAUGGUUAAAGAACUCGAAUCGAUUCGUCUGCCUCUCACAGUUUGAGAUUUCUUGAUCGCUAUGUCACCCUGAGUAAAUGAGGAAUCUGAUGAUGGCAAUGUUGUUGUUUUUAUCUACACCCUUGUUUGGCUUGAUGGUUGCUUAGAAUAGGUUGCACAACCUAGACUGGUAAGUAAAUCUAGAACCGGAGCUAAAACUUGAAAAUAGGUUACUUAGUGCUUUUGGCGAAACAAACCCCUCAGCCAAGAAGCCUUGCAUGUCUAGUUGGGAGAGUAGUUGACUCCUCCCCGGUUAAGUCUUGUUGAGCUUAGUAGCUCAGCCUUGUUGUGGCUCCUGUUUUCAGGUGAAGUUGCAGUUCCCGACCCCUCCCUUGUUGGCGCUUGGCCGCCCCAGCUUCCGCCAGGCUGGACGGUCGAGUGGGACCCCUCCUCGGACGGCGAGGAGAGGACUCAGUGAUGUUCUGACUGGCCUCGCCCAGACGUCCGACCCCGACGAAGUCUUCCGCUAGCGUUUCCCUGUUGUUUUCUUGAAAACUUGUAAAGCUCUGAUGUUGGAUUUUAUGGUCGAAUUAAGUGGGUAAAACUUGUUCAACUCAGUGGACUCGUUGUAUUCUCUGUAACCGCUCACCUUCGUGUGGGUUUGCUGAACUCGAUCCUGUUUAAGUGGUCAAAUCGGAUGAAGUCCGACGGCGCUUCGUGUUAGCUCGAGUUAAUCAAGAGUGUCGCAUGUUAGGCGGCUAAACUCUGAUUAAUCAAGCUGAUCCGAGGUGGUUCCACCACAGCUUGGUACCAGAGCCGAGUUUAGCAUAUCAGAGAACCCGAUGAGCCCGAAACACUUCUUUGAAAUUAAAAGUUGCAAGGACCUUUCGAAAAUCUCGUACCAACGUUAAGGAUGACUUAGUGCGAGAGGCCCUAGGGGAUUUUGGGGUUGUUUUAGGUGACUAAUAAGUAUCUGGUUAUGUUGCUAACCCCUCCAGCACUUCGCCACGUCUAUUAUACGUGUGCCGAGUUCCGCAUCACGAGCAUGCGAGGGUUGAUAGGGAGUUCCAUUCAAGGGACCCUAUCUUCGCGGUUGUUUUCGCCCACAUCUAUUAUACGUGCGCAGGUUCCGUAUGUGAUCCAUACGAAGGUUGAUAUGGUUCGAUUCCAACGAACCUAUUGGCACGGUUGUUUCGCCACAUUUGUCAUACGUGUGCCGAUGCCGCAUCACAAGUAUGCGAAGGGUUAUAUGGUUCUAUUCGGAAGGAACCUAUUUCCACGGUUGAGUGCUGUCCAUGCAGCCUUAAACGCAUGGGUGCCGUUCCUAUAGUGAACGGUAAUGUUUGGGAACGCUUUCAUGGGUGCUGGCACGAAAGGUUCGGGUGUGUGUUUUCUGCAGGUUGCUAACCGCGCUCGUUAAGACGUUGCUAGAACCGACUAGAUAAUAUAGGGAGAGACGUAUUGUUGCCUUGUCACCGGCACUGACCGCGUAAGACCCAAGGUUUGGGCAGUUGUUUUUGGUUAAGAGCAUAGUAGGCCGUGCAUGCGUCAUACAAAAUCGGUAAUGUUCUCUUCUCAACAGCAACCCUGUCCGACAGAGUUCUUUUGGAUCUAAGGAUUUCUAGCUCCCCUUAGUUGCUCUCGGUUAAGCCCUUCUGCUUCUCUAUCCGACCCCUGAUCUUCGGAGUUAUCUCACGUGGCUUCGGUUUUCUUGGUUCCAGAUGGCUGCUCCCGGGCAUGUGGUGUUUGGAGCGGACGGUACCUUCCAAUCAACAUGCCUACAUUUCGAGGGGUUUCCCGCGAUCUUGUGGGAUACGUUGAGAUGGUUUGGGUAUCAGUCCACACCCCUGUAUUCUGGGCGGCUGUAUGUGGAGCAGGGCAUCCAGACGUGCCAGGUGCAAGCACUGGUGCCACCCCCUUUUGCGCGGCCCGACUGGCCCUCUCUGGGCAUCAUAGCCUACGGUCUUUCUCCGGAAGAUACGUGGGAAUCCGCCGCUCUCCAGUUGCUCACGCAGUUCUGUCAGUUCCACCCUGUGGAGAUCACCCUGGACCCGAUCGGACUUUUUCCCGUCAGAAGUCGGAUGGACCCGGCCUGGCUGGACCGCAUCGGAAACCUCGAGGUGUUGGCCACUACUUGUGCCACACUCACCAUCUCCACCAACAUCCGUUGCAUGGCUGCUUUCUACCAGCUGAUAGAGCUCCAAGGAAGGGCCAUGACUCUCUUUGCCCGGACUGCUGCAGACACCGACGGGUACCUCCAGGCAGCUAGAAGAGACCUGGUAGGCCAAACCUACCAGCUGAUCCAACGUGGAAUCCAGAUCCAUGACAUGCAAGACCGGAUCUCCGAGCUGGAAGGAGAAGUUGCCGACCUUGUGGACGGUAUGAUCGAGCUCUCCGAGGAGAAAAUGGAGGUGGAAAUGGAGUUGGCCGUUGCCAAUGCCCACCUAGAGGAGCACCAAGCUGAGCUUGAAGAUAUGCAUGCCCUCAACAUGCAGCUUGAAGCUCAGGAGGACCCUGAGGAAGACGAGGGAGCGUCCAGCAUGGACAUAGAAGAAAAUGGCGCCCCUUCUCCGACUCAUAGUGUCCAGUGGUAGCUUAAGGGUUCUCGGGGAACCUUCUUUCUUUUGUUGUACUCCUCGGCAGCCUAGUUUUGGAAAGUUGUAAUAGGUUAUCCUUGAGUUGAGUACUCCCUGUGUUGAAACGUCGUUGUGUAUAAAGUCAACCCAGUGCAGUGCAUAGUUUCAUCCUUUUCGUAUGAUGUGGAUGCUAAAGUUAAGAAAGUGGUGCCGUGACCCUGUGUUGUUUUCGGGGAGCCUGUUCAGUUGGCCGACCCUAGUUUGCGAACCAGAGUGCGCCGACCCUUAAGACAGUUACCGCCUUGUCCGACCCUCUUUGAGUACGGACCGUAUCCGAUCCCUCGGUUCGAGUGGACCCGACCCUAGGAGUCUGUAUGUGGUGUGGUUACCUGAGGUGGAGUACCAGGGCAAGUAAGGGCUAUCUGUGAUGAAAAUGGGAGGAAUGUGCUUCCUCUGUAAGGACGUAUGAUGCACCAUUGGCAAGAGUCGCAUUAAAGGACUUAAUUCAUACGUUCCCAAUUGCUGGAGUACCCCUAAGGUUAUGAGAUUGAUGGGCGUUAACUCUUGCAGAUGGCGCACCGCACAAGGUCUGGAACUAUGCCCAGUGGCAGGGAUCAGCAACAAGAUCUUCCCCCGCCCCCGCCACCAUUGCCAUUGGAGGCAAUCCUAGCAACUCAAACCGAGCUGCUCAGGCAUCUGGUACAAGGACAACAGCAGCCACACGGUGGUAGAGCACAGCAGCAGCAGCAUGUCGCAAGAUAUGAGGACUUUUUGGGGACACAGCCCCCGCUGUUCCAAAAGACCCAAGAACCGCUCGACGCUGACGCAUGGGUUCGUACGAUCGAAUCCAAGUUCGAGCUCCUUACCGCUCCAUGCCCUGACAACAACAAGGCGCGGUUCGCAGCUCAGCAGCUGCAUGGUUCCGCACGGCUUUGGUGGGACCACUACCAUGCCAUGCUACCUGCUGACCACGUAGUCAGUUGGAACGAGUUUAAGACGGCGUUCAAGGCGCAUCACAUUCCUGAAGGUCUCCUGGAGCGCAAGCUCAACGAGUUUCUAUCCCUCACCCAGGGAACUAGGGAUGUGCUGCACUACGCCCAGGCGUUUAACGACCUGUGCCGUUAUGCGGGAUAUCACGCGGACACCGAUGAGAAGAAGCAGGACAGAUUCCGCCGAGGUUUGAGCUUGGAGCUCAGGGAAAGGCUGAAUCCCAUCCGAGUGGACACCUAUAACGAGUUGGUCAACCUGGCCAUCUCCCAGGAGGAUUGCAUGCAAGCUCUAAAGGCCGACCAGAAGAGGAAAGCCUCUGUGGCUCUUCCGAGCCCGCCAGCCCGAAGGUUUCGGAUGAUCCCUCCACAAGCCCCUGGCCGACCCCAACAGUCAGGGAAAUGGAUCGCCCGACCCCCGCCGGCAACAAUGCCUAGUUCUCCAGGCUUCCAACCACAAGUACCCCGGCCGACCUUGCCAACGCCACCUCGUCCAGCAGCCAGUAACAGAUGUUUUACCUGCGGCAAUGAGGGGCAUUUUGCAAGGGAUUGCCCCAGGAGCAAGACUCAGCAGCAAGGCCAGAACCCCAUGGCAGCCAGAGGGAGAAGGCCCAAGGUGCAAGUCCGACAAGGCCGACUCAACUACACCAGCUUGACCGAACUUCCCGAAGGUGCGUCAGUAAUGAUGGGUACUUUCCUUGUUUUAAAUCAAGCUGUUGUGGUGUUGUUUGAUUCGGGAGCCUCUCAUAGCUUUAUCGGGAGUAAGGCAAGGGAAAGGUGUGGGCUAAGUGUAGGUCACACUAAGGAACCCUAUGUGAUCGCCACUCCUGGAGGGAGGAUAACGUCGGAUCAGAUCGUUAUUCUGGUACCUCUCCAGCUAGGCCCCACCCUUUUCAAGGAAAACCUUAUCCUCCUUGACCUUGAAGGCCUAGACGUCAUCCUUGGCAUGGAUUGGAUGGCCCGACAUCGUGUUGUUUUAGAUACCUCAGCCCGAUCUCUUUUCAUCAGCUCGCCCUCUCAUGGCAGUGCUACCCUAUCCUUGACCCAUCCUGAGUCUUUGACCCCUUGUGCGUUUUCUCUCUUGGGAACCCGUUUAGAAGACCUCCCUGUUAUCUGUGAGUAUCCAGAUGUGUUUCCAGAGGACUUGCCAGGCAUGCCACCUGACAGAGAAGUGGAGUUUUCUAUAGAGUUAGUUCCUGGCACAGCUCCGAUAUCUAAGAGACCCUAUCGGAUGCCACCCGCUGAGUUAGCAGUGUUAAAGACCCAGUUGCAUGAUCUGUUGGAAAAGGGCUUCAUUCGACCCAGUACGUCAUCUUGGGGAUGCCCCGCCCUGUUUGUGAAGAAGAAAGACGGCAGUUUACGGAUGUGUGUGGAUUACCGACCCCUCAAUGCGGUAACAGUUAAGAACAAGUACCCACUGCCCCGCAUUGAUGUCUUGUUCGACCAGUUAGCCGGAGCAAAAGUGUUCUCCAAGAUCGAUCUUCAUUCUGGUUAUCACCAAAUCAAGAUUCGACCUUGUGACGUACCCAAGACAGCUUUCUCUACCAGAUAUGGAUUGUAUGAGUACCUAGUCAUGUCCUUUGGACUCACCAAUGCACCCGCUUACUUCAUGUACCUUAUGAACUCGGUGUUCAUGCCCGAGCUGGACAAGUUUGUAGUGGUGUUCAUUGAUGAUAUCCUAGUGUACUCAAAGGACAAGGAAGAGCAUGCCAACCAUCUUCAUAUAGUUCUUCAGCGACUGAGAGAUCACCAGCUUUAUGCAAAGUUCUCCAAGUGUGAGUUUUGGUUGGAUAGUGUCAAGUUUCUAGGACACGCUAUCUCCAAGGACGGUAUUGCCGUGGAUCCCAGUAAGGUGCAAGAGGUCAUGGAAUGGAAGUCUCCUGUCUCGGUACACCAGAUCCGGAGUUUCCUCGGACUGGUAGGGUACUAUCGGCGUUUUAUACCGGAUUUCUCCAAGAUAGCUAAGCCGAUGACCGAGUUGUUGAAGAAAGAGGCCAAGUUUGUGUGGGACACCAAGUGCGAAGAAGCUUUCAAAACCCUGAAGCACUUGUUAACCACCGCCCCAGUUUUGGCUCAACCCGACCCCUCUAGGCCGUACGACGUAUACUGUGACGCCUCUGGCACUGGACUCGGGUGUGUUCUUAUGCAAGACAACCGAGUCAUUGCCUAUGCCUCACGUGCGUUGCGACCUCAUGAGCUGAACUACCCGACACAUGACCUUGAGUUGGCAGCAGUGAUACACGCCUUGAAAUUAUGGAGGCACUACUUAAUGGGAGCUCACUGCAACAUCUAUACCGACCACAAGAGCCUCAAGUACAUCUUCACGCAAGCCGACCUCAACAUGCGUCAGAGAAGAUGGCUGGAGUUGAUAAAGGAUUAUGACUUGGAAGUGCACUAUCAUCCUGGCAAGGCCAAUGUGGUGGCCGACGCCCUCAGUCGCAAACCUCAGUGCAACUGUUUGUUGUCCACCGCCUUCACCGACACUUUGUGUCACGAGAUGGGAAAACUAAGUCUAGAGCUUGUUCCCCAUGGAACCCUUGAUCACAUCAUCCUUGACUCAGUUUUAGAGGACCAGAUUCAGUCAGCCCAAGCUAAGGAUGAAGAAGUAAAACGGAUCAUCAGUAAGGUCUUGGUAAAAGACGAGGGAUAUAAGCUUUUCCGGCAGGACCAAACGGGAGGUGUGUACUAUGGAAACCGACUAGUAGUGCCCGCCGACCCCGAGUUAAGGAAGCAAAUCCUAGAUGAAGCUCAUCUUUCCAAGUUCUCCAUCCACCCUGGCAGCAACAAGAUGUACCAUGAUCUCCGUCAGACCUUUUGGUGGAGUGGGAUGAAACCGGAGAUAGCUCGUUAUGUUUCAGAAUGCGACACUUGUCAACGUGUCAAGGCCAGUCACUUGAAGGUAGCAGGAACCUUGCAGCCGCUACCCAUCCCCUCUUGGAAAUGGGAAGACAUCAGCAUGGACUUCAUAGUUGGGUUACCCCUUACAACUCAACAGUAUGAUUCUAUCUGGGUUAUAGUGGACCGUCUGACCAAGAAGGCACAUUUCUUUCCUGUUCGUACCACCUACACAGUCAAGCAAUAUGCAGAGUUGUACCUCGACCGUAUCGUUUCUCUACAUGGUGUACCCAAGACCAUCAUCUCGGACAGAGGAGUUCAGUUUGUGGCACGUUUUUGGGAGCAACUACAAGCAUCUAUGGGCACCAAGCUCAUCCGAAGCUCAACAUACCAUCCCCAAACCGAUGGCCAAACCGAGAGAGUCAACCAGAUCCUUGAAGACAUGUUAAGAGCCUGUGUUAUCCAUUAUGACAAAAACUGGGACAAGUGCCUGCCCUUAGCAGAGUUCUCCUACAAUAACAGCUACCAGUCCAGUUUGAAGAUGGCACCGUUUGAAGCCUUGUACGGCCGAAGAUGCAGGACACCCUUGAACUGGUCCCAACCAGGAGAGAGACAGGUUUAUGGCCCUGACUUAGUGGCAGAAGCCGAGGAACAAGUGAAGGUAAUUCAGGCAAAUCUCAAGGCUGCCCAAUCUCGACAGAAGGGUUACUCUGACCAGCGGAGAAGACCCCUGCAGUUCAACCUUUGUGACCAUGUGUACCUUAGAGUUUCCCCAACCAAAGGAGUGCAACGGUUUGGAAUAAAGGGCAAGUUAGCUCCCCGCUAUGUUGGCCCUUACGAGAUUAUGGAGAAGUGUGGACCCGUUGCUUACCGGAUCCAACUCCCAGAACAGCUAUCAGCCAUACAUGAUGUUUUCCAUGUGUCUCAGUUGAAGAAAUGCGUCCGAGUUCCAGCAGAGAUCCUAAAACAAGAACAACUUCAAGUAGAACCUGACCUGACCUACGCCGAGUACCCAGAUCGAGUUCUUGACCAUAAGGAAAGGCACACCCGACGUCAAGUGGUGAGGAUGUACAAGAUCCUCUGGAGAAACCACACCGAAGAUGAAGCGACAUGGGAGACGGAAGAAUAUCUGAACAAGCGUUUUCCAGGUUUUCUAUCUCAUCCAGGAGGUAAGAGCAGCACACCCUUGAUCUUGAAUCUCGGGACGAGAUUCCUUUUAAGAGGGGUAGGCUAUAACGACCGACCCCUAAUCUUUCCCAGUUAGGCUUGAUCUCAGCCCUUAACCUUAGUCAGUUGCUCUGUUGACCGCACUUAAGUGCUCAGUCUUCCGCCAGUUCCGACCCCUGAGGUCCGACCCCUACCGUUCGUUCCUUUUUCCCGACCCUGGCGAGUUCAGCCCUCCGUCGGAUCCUGCUAAUCUUCCUCACCCGUCCGAUCUUUUCCCCCGGUGGACCCGUGAGAUCUUUUCCAGAUCCCCCGCACCAGCCGCACUCGAGUUGCAUGGCCGCCUCAGAGCUUUCCUGCCGCGUGGCUCGUCUUCUCCGAUGCCACCGCUCAGUUUUGUCUCUGGCAAGCGACCAAGUGGGUUCCCGCGCCCUUUUCCCCAAUAGCAGCGGAAGCCCUCUGCACCCCUUUCUGCAGAUCCUCGCUCCCCGCGCCCAUCAUCACGAUACCAGAUCUCGGCCCCGGAGACCGAUGUCGCCCGUCUUUUCCAUCCUUUCCAGCAACAGUUGCGCCGUCCGGUCGUCGCUACACGACGAUUCCCCAACCGCCAACCCCGACCGCGGCCGCGACAGUUCCUUUCCCCGCCCUGUCAGACGCCGCCCGACAAUCUGUUGUUCCGCGCUCUCCCCCACGCCGCGUCCGCUUGUUCUCCCACCUGUGCGCCCUUGAUUCUAGCGCCGUUUAACCGGUCGCUUCUAUCACUUCUUCCGCACGACGACGCCCGCUCUCCGCCAAAUCCCAACCACCGGUCUACCCGCGCCUACGCCGCCCUGACGGAGUAGCGCAAUGAUCGCUGGCGUCACCCCCGGAGUUCUGUAGCACCGUCCGGUUUGCUCAAUCGCCGCCACAGCAGAGCACUCCAUUGCUUCUCCCCGGCCUUCGCGCCGCUCCCCUUCUCUCUCUCCGCGACGUUUCCGUUCCUCUGCUCCAGCAGCUAUAAAAGGAAGGCCCCUGUCGCCGGAGUUCCCUCCGCCUUUGUUGCCCUUAGUUUCCUCUAGCUCCCUGCUCAAGCUCCUAGCGCCAUCCGCCCAGUCUUGAAAAGUUCAUCUCCCCAUUCCUUCUCAGUUCAUCCAAGUCACCAACAGCGUGCUCCCUUGUGCUGCGUAAGAGCUCUCUUGUGAUCCGCAAGCAGCACCGCCGCCGGAGUAUCGCCGGCCUUAGUCCCUGCUCAAAGCUUUAGUUCCGCGCCCAAGUCUGCCUCUUCCCGACCCCAAGCUUUCCUUUCAGGAAGAAGGUGAGUGCCGACCCUAAGUCCGCUUCGCCCGACCCCUCCUAUCCGCCCGACCCCAGUUCCGUCUCGUCCGACCCUGUCUGUUCGCCGACCCUUGUCCGCCUCGCCCGAGGGUCUGGCUGUGAUCUUUUCUUCAACUCGAGGGUGUAAGUGUAAAACGUGGGAACCCUUCAGCGCUUCCGUCUGAGGAUCCCAGUUAUCACAUCCUCUAGUUCAAGGAUCAGACCACUAGUCUCCUUCCUAUCCUUACCUGUUGAUCAUCAUCAGCUCUCUCAAACAGCCUCCACCUCCUGCUCUUUGUCGCAAGUUUCUGGGCGCAGGAGAGCCAGUGUUGCUGUCGACUUAAACGUUAAGCUAACCCUUGCAUUGCAUUCGUGUAGAGUUGCAUCUCGCUGACGGCUUCUACGAGCUGCACCCGGCGCCCGAAGAAGAAGCUGUAGCCGAGUUCCUGCCCGCUGAAGUCGAAGCCGCCCCCGAAGUUGAGCAGUUCCAGCCUUCUUUGUUUGCAGGCAAGCACCGGUUGCAUGAAAAUCCUACGUGUUUUUGCCAGACUUGCACAUGCCUUCCGAAUAGCAUGUUUGUGCAUUUACGUUUAGGAGUUGUGUGAAACCCUAGAUGCAUGACUUAGUAACCCUUGAUAUGAGCACUAGCUGUUGGACCGAGUAGCUGCAUUGCUUAAAUAGGAAACGGUAAAAGCCGAGUGAUCUCCUGUCACUCGCGAGUUGUAGGAGUUGCAUGUGUUACUCUCCUGUUACAACUAUAAGGACGAUGGACGGGGCAGGGUUUGGUAACUCUUUGGUGGUCGGAUGGUUGCCCCGUCUGUCUAUGAAAACUUGCUAAGGCCUGACAGUGGUGGUGUUCGUGAUCAAGUGUUUGAAAGUACUAGCCUCAUACUUAGUAUGGGAUGAGGAAGCCUAGUACCUGAUUGAACCUAGACGUGAGCGGUCGCCCCAUUGUUCUUGGAACGGAGUUUCCCCUGCUGGUUGUCGCACGUGGUGGCAAAGCGUGGUCACAUAACGGCAGAGACCGGGUCUGUGGAACCUUGCACCAAAGGAAAUGGGCCCGACACGGGUUAGGGGAUUGAUGGGGAAGGCCGACACGUAAAGCGACCUCCGGGUGCACGGAUGUCGUGAGGCUAGGUUCACCAUGCAUGGUUAAAGAACUCGAAUCGAUUCGUCUGCCUCUCACAGUUUGAGAUUUCUUGAUCGCUAUGUCACCCUGAGUAAAUGAGGAAUCUGAUGAUGGCAAUGUUGUUGUUUUUAUCUACACCCUUGUUUGGCUUGAUGGUUGCUUAGAAUAGGUUGCACAACCUAGACUGGUAAGUAAAUCUAGAACCGGAGCUAAAACUUGAAAAUAGGUUACUUAGUGCUUUUGGUAAAACAAACCCCUCAGCCAAGAAGCCUUGCAUGUCUAGUUGGGAGAGUAGUUGACUCCUCCCCGGUUAAGUCUUGUUGAGCUUAGUAGCUCAGCCUUGUUGUGGCUCCUGUUUUCAGGUGAAGUUGCAGUUCCCGACCCCUCCCUUGUUGGCGCUUGGCCGCCCCAGCUUCCGCCAGGCUGGACGGUCGAGUGGGACCCCUCCUCGGACGGCGAGGAGAGGACUCAGUGAUGUUCUGGCUGGCCUCGCCCAGACGUCCGACCCCGACGAAGUCUUCCGCUAGCGUUUCCCUGUUGUUUUCUUGAAAACUUGUAAAGCUCUGAUGUUGGAUUUUAUGGUCGAAUUAAGUGGGUAAAACUUGUUCAACUCAGUGGACUCGUUGUAUUCUCUGUAACCGCUCACCUUCGUGUGGGUUUGCUGAACUCGAUCCUGUUUAAGUGGUCAAAUCGGAUGAAGUCCGACGGCGCUUCGUGUUAGCUCGAGUUAAUCAAGAGUGUCGCAUGUUAGGCGGCUAAACUUUGAUUAAUCAAGCUGAUCCGAGGUGGUUCCGCCACAAUACGUCAUACGGCCUAGAGGGGUCGGGCUGAGCCAACAAGGGGGCGGUGGUCAGCAAGUGCUUCAGGGUCUUGAAAGCCUCUUCACACUUGGUGUCCCACACAAAUUUGACCUCUUUCUUCAGCAACUCGGUCAUCGGCUUAGCUAUCUUGGAGAAAUCCGGUAUGAAACGCCGAUAGUAACCUGCCAAUCCAAGGAAACUCCUGAUUUGGUGUACUGAGGUAGGAGACUUCCAUUCCAUGACUUCUUGUACCUUGCUGGGAUCCACGGCAAUACCAUCCUUGGAGAUAGUGUGUCCGAGAAACUUGACACUAUCUAACAAAACUCACACUUGGAGAACUUGGCAUAGAGCUGGUGAUCUCUCAGCCGUUGGAGAACUAUAUGAAGAUGGUCGGCGUGCUCUUCCUCGUUCUUCGAGUAAACUAGGAUAUCAUCAAUGAACACCACCACAAACUUGUCCAGCUCGGGCAUAAACACCGAGUUCAUAAGGUACAUGAAAUAGGCGGGUGCAUUGGUGAGUCCAAAGGAUAUGACUAGGUACUCGUACAGUCCAUAUCUGGUAGAGAAAGUUGUCUUGGGUAUGUCGCAGGGUCGAAUCUUUAUUUGGUGAUAACCAGAACGAAGAUCGAUCUUGGAGAACACUUUUGCUCCGGCUAACUGAUCGAACAAGACAUCAAUGCGUGGCAGCGAGUACUUGUUCUUGACUGUCACAGCAUUGAGGGGUCGGUAAUCCACACACAUACGUAGACUGCCAUCUUUCUUCUUCACAAACAGGGCGGGGCAACCCCAAGAUGAUGUACUGGGUCGAAUGAAGCCCUUUUCCAACAGAUCAUGCAACUGGGUCUUCAACAUGGCUAACUCAGCGGGUGGCAUCCGAUAGGGUCUCUUAGAUAUCGGGGCUGUGCCAGGAAUCAACUCUAUGGAAAACUCCACUUCUCUAUCAGGUGGCAUACCCGGCAAAUCUUCUGGAAACACAUCAGGGUACUCACAGAUAAUAGGGAGGUCUUCUAGACGGGAUCCCAAGAGAGGGUAGGCACAAGGAGUCGAAGACUCAGGAUGGGUCAAGGAUACGGUAGAACUACCAUGGGAGGGUGAGCUGUGUUGGGAUACGAGGUAGGCUACACUAGCGCAAUUCAAAAAAAUCUACCGCGUAUAACCAGGAAGAACUGCCGUAUAAGGAUCACGGGAUUACCACUCGACGCACUACUGGUGCGGAAGAUGUAGAUAUGCGUCGAUGCAGUGAAGACAAUCACGUAGUCGUACGUAGUCGAUCACGUGCAGCAGCUCCUCAGCAGCUCGUCCACGUGCAGCAAGAUCGCCUCCGGUACCGUGGCUCGUCGUCGGCUCGUCGUGGCUCGUCGACGGCUCGUCCAAGUGCUGCAGGCGCAACACCUCCAAGGUAUCCACAUGUGCAGGGAGGAAGCAUCGCAAGUCGGACUGCUAGAUCUGCGAGUUGCAACAGGCGAGGGCGUGGGAGGCGCGGCAGGUGUGUUUCGCCAAAAAGGUGUAAACCCUAGGGCGCCCCCACCCCUCUAUUUAUAGAGGUUCCUGAUGGGCCUCUGGAUCCGAGGCCCAUUAGUACUCCUAAACCUAAUCCAACUCGGAUCAGAUCCGAAUUGGGCUUCCAGCCCCUUAAGUGUGUGACCCUAUGGGUUCGGAUACGUAUAGACAUGGCCCGAGUACUCCUACUCGGCCCAAUAGUCGGUAGCGGCCUCUAGCAAGACGUGCCAACUCCUAUACGCACACAAAGAUCAUAUCAGACGAACCAUCACAACAUAAUAUACAUGCUAUUCCCUUUGCCUCACGAUAUUUGGUCUAGCUUCAAGCCGACCGCUCUUUCUCGAUCCUGUGAUUCGGAAUCCCUUUGUAGGUUAACUCUUAACCGUACGUAGCAUGGCCAUGCAUUUUCGGAUCCGAUCACUCGAGGGGCCCAGAGAUAUCACUCUCAAUCAGAGAGGGGCAAAUCCCAUCUUGACUGACCAUGUCUCAUAGCAUGCUUCUUGACAAACCCGAAAGCUACCUUUAUAACUACCGUGUUACGGUGUAGCGUUUGAUAGCCCCUAAGUAGGUCGAUCCACAUCUAGAAUACAUGUGACAAUCUCAGGUCUAAGGACAAAGCGUAUAUGUUGUUUUAAAGAGAGAACUACUUCUCGUGUUGGGUCAGUCCUAACACAUGUCUCCACAUGUGUCCACAUUAUUAGUUCAACAUCUCGAUGUCCAUGACUUGUGAAACAUAGUCAUCAACUAAUACAUGUGCUAGUCUAAUAUUCAUGUGUGUCCUCACAUGAACUCCGACUAGGGACAACUUUAGAAUAACCAUACAAGGAAAGAGUUUCACAUACAAUUCACAUAAUUGCAAAUCAAUUCAAGUAGCCUUCAAUGGAUAUUCAAUGAACACAACAUACAAAUCAUGGAUACAAAUGGAAUAUCAUCAUCUCUAUGAUUGCCUCUAGGGCAUACCUCCAACAGUCUCCCACUUGCACUAGAGUCAAUCUAGAAGGUACCUAAUACCCAUAGCUCUUACAUGCGCAUCAUGCUUAGCCUGCGGGAGUGGUUUUGUCAACGGAUCAGAAAUGUUCAGAUCCGUGUGUAUUUUGCAUAUCUUGAUCUCACCCCGGUUAACGAAGUCUCGAAUGAGAUGAAAUCGCUGCAUUACGUGUUUGUUCUUCUAGUGGUUCCUUGGCUCCUUUGCUUGCGCAAUUGCCCCAUUGUUAUCACAGUAGAGAUUCAAUGGGCUGGACGCACUCGGGAACACACCAAGCUCAAUGAGGAAAUUCCUUAUCCAAACACCUUCCUUCGCGGCUUCCGAAGCCGCGAUGUACUCGGCUUUUGUCGUAGAAUCGGCCACCGUCUCCUGCUUGGAACUCUUCCAACUAACAGCACCACCAUUUAGCGUGAACACAAAUCCUGAUUGUGACUUUGAAUCAUCUCUGUCGGUUUGGAAACUAGCAUCGGUGUAACUUGUUACAACGAGCUCCUCCUCACCUCCAUAGACGAGGAACAUAUCUUUAGUCCUUCUCAAGUACUUAAGAAUAUUUUUCACCGCUGUCCAGUGACUCUCACCCGGAUCAGAUUGGUGUCUGCUUGUCAUACUUAGCGCAUAUGAAACAUCUGGGCGAGUACUUAUCAUUGCAUACAUGAUAGAUCCAAUAGCCGAGGCGUAUGGCACUCUACUCAUGCGAUCCUGCUCAUCAGUAGUCGAAGGACACUGAGUCUUGCUGAGAUGUAUGCCAUGUGACAUAGGCAAGAACCCUUUCUUUGCCUCUUCCAUGCUGAACCGCUUCAACACUUUGUCAAUGUAAGUAUCUUGGCUUAAACCUAUAAGCCUUCUUGAUCUAUCUCUAUAGAUCUUAAUGCCCAGAAUAUAUGCCGCUUCCCCUAAGUCCUUCAUCGAAAAACUAUUUUUCAGUGAAGUCUUUACAGACUCAAGCAUAGGAAUGUUAUUUCCAAUCAGUAAUAUGUCAUCCACAUAUAAGAUUAGAAAUACUACAGAGCUCCCACUAACCUUCUUGUAAACACAAAACUCUUCUUCGUUCUUGGUGAAGUCAAACCCUUUGACCACUUCAUCAAAACGAAUGUUCCAACUCCUAGAUGCUUGCUUCAAUCCAUAAAUGGAUCUCUGAAGCUUGCAUACCUUUCCAGCAUUUUUCGGAUCGACAAAACCCUCGGGCUGUAUCAUAUACACGUCCUCAGCUAGGUUUCCAUUCAGGAAAGCUGUCUUGACAUCCAUCUGCCAUAUCUCAUAAUCGAAAUAUGCAGCUAUAGCUAGAAUAAUCCGAAUGGACUUAAGCAUCACUACGGGCGAGAAGGUCUCGUCGUAGUCAACUCCUUGAACUUGUCGAAAACCUUUUGCGACAAGUCGUGCUUUAUAGAUGUGAACAUUUCCAUCCAUGUCCUUUUUCUUCUUAUAGAUCCACUUGCACUCUAUGGCUUUAACACCAUCAGGCGGGUCAACCAAGUUCCAAACUUGAUUGUCUCCCAUGGACUCUAUUUCGGAUUGCAUGGCAUUCUGCCAUUUUUCGGAGUCUGGGUCCAUCAUUGCUUCUGCAUAUGUCGCAGGCUCAUCAUUGUCCAACAAUAAUAUUUCCCGCAUUUCGCGGAGCCUUGCCGACCUUCGUGGUUGUGGCGGUGCUUCUCUUGCCAUGGGUAUCUCAACUUGUUCUGCUACGUUAGCAUCACUUAUUGAUUCUUGCCCAAUCGGCUCAUCUUGAACUUCUUCAAGAUGCACUGUCUUUCCACUAUUUUCUCCUUUGAGAAACUCUUUCUCUAGAAAAACCCCGUUCCGAGCGACAAACACUUUGCCUUCUGAUCGGUUGUAGAAAUAAUAUCCCAAAGUUUCCUUUGGAUAUCCCACGAAAAUGCACUUAUCCAACUUGGGUGUGAUCUUGUCCGACUGAAGUCGCUUGACAAACACUUCACAUCCCCAAAUCUUUAGAAAAGACAAACUAGGAACCUUUCCAGUCCAUAUCUCAUAUGGUGUCUUAGCUACGGAUUUAGAUGGUACCCUAUUAAGUGUGAAAGCUGCUGUUUCUAGAGCGUAUCCCCAAAAUGACAACGGUAGGUCCGACUGGCUCAUCAUUGAUUGAACCAUGUCUAACAAAGUUCGAUUACGUCGCUCGGACACACCGUUUCUCUGAGGUGUUCCAGGCGGCAUAAGUUGUGGAACAAUUCCGCAACUCUUUAGAUGAUUGCUAAACUCGUGGCUCAAAUACUCACCUCCACGAUCAGAUCGUAAGGCCUUAAUUUUCUUGCCACGCUAAUUUUCAACUUCAUUAUGAAAUUCCUUGAACUUUUCAAAGGUUUCAGACUUGUGCCUCAUCAAGUAGACAUAGCCAUAUCUACUAAAAUCAUCAGUGAAAGUUAUGAAGUAUUGGAAUCCUCCUCUAGCCGUCGUGCUCAUUGGUCCGCAUACAUCACUAUGUAUGAGUUCCAACAAGUCUACUGCUCUCUCAGGAAAACCUGUGAAAGGCGUCUUGGUCAUCUUGCCUAGCAAGCAAGCCUCACAUGUCUCGUAUGAUUCAAAAUCAAACGAAGUUAGAAGUCCAUCAGAAUGGAGCUUCUUCAUGCGCUUUUCACUUAUAUGACCCAAACGACAAUGCCACCAGUAGGUAGGACUCAAAUCAUUAGGCCGAGGCCUUUUAGCACUUACAUUACAGACAGGUGAACCAUCAAGAUGUAAAACAAAUAAUCCAUUCACAAUGGGUGCAAAAGCCAUAAACAUAUUAUUCUUAGAGAUCACACAACCAUUAUUUUCACUCGCAAAUGAAUAACCAUCCUUCAUCAAGCAUGAAGGAGACAAAAUGUUUCGACUUAAACUAGGAACAAAAUAACAAUUAUUCAACUCCAUAAUAAAUCCUGACGGGAGGUGGAGUUGCAUCGUCCCGACGGUCAACGCAGCAACUCUUGCAUUAUUGCCCACGCGGAAAUCAACUUCUCCUCUUUCCACGCUUCUACUUCUUAUCAUUCCCUGCAUCGAAUUGCAAAUAUGAGCAACCGAUCCGGUAUCAAAUACCAAAGAAUUAAUAAUUGUAUCAGCGAGAAAUAUGUUGUCUAUAACAUUAACAACAAGCGUACCUGAGGUAGAAGUACUCUUACUUCCGCCAUUCUUCAAGGAAGCUAGGUACUGCUUGCAGUUUCUCUUCCAGUGACCAAGUUCAUGACAGUAAAAGCACUCUUUGUCUGGAGCAGGUCCAGGUCCAGCUUUAACCUUGGGCGGUGGGUUUGGCUUGGACGUUCCAGCCUUGGCCUUCUUCUUCCAAGAAUUGCCCUUCUUCUUAAAGCUGGGCUUGUUCUGUAUCGCCAUCACAUGGCUGGUACUAGCGCUUUUCUUGAUGUCAGGCUCUGCUAUUUUAAGCAUGCCACACAGCUCAUUCAGACCCUUCUCCGUCCCAUGCAUAUGGUAGUUCGAGAUGAAGUUCCCAUAGCUAGGCGGAAGAGACGAAAGAAUGAAAUCAGUGGCCAACUCUUGGCCCAGUGGGAAGCCUAGCUUCUCCAACCGUUGAGUGUAACCAACCAUCUUGAUUACGUGUGGUCCUACUGCUGCGCCUUCUGCUAGCUUGCUCUCAACAAAGGCCUUAGACACAUUGAACCUUUCAGUCCUGGCCUGUGUUUGGAACAUGUCUCUAAGCGCCACGAUCAUAUCGUGCGCCUCAUGGUUUGUUUCGAACUGCAUCUGCAGCUCGGGUUCCAUGCAAGCAAGCAUAAGGCAGCUUACUUCGAGGUUAGCAUCACAUGCUUUCUUGUAAGCAUUCUUAGCAGCAGCGGGUGCAUCAUCAGCAGGUUCUUCUGGUAGUGGGUUUUCUAGAACAUCUUCCUUUUUCUCAGCCCUGAGAACAAUUCUCAGGUUACGGAUCCAAUUCGAGUAGUUUGUUCCAUUCAACUUGUCCUUCUCAAGGACCGAACGCAAAGCAAACGAUGUGGUGGUGUUGCUAGGUGCCAUUUAAUCUACAACAAAAGUAAUGCAAAAUACACUAAGACAAACAUAUCCAUGAUAGAGCAAAUUAUAUUAAACUACUUUAACAGAAUCUACUCCCACUAAAAUCAAUAUCCCUCUAUUGAAACUUAGUGAUUCAGGAUCCACAACUAACAAGUCUACUAGUGAGCUUUAGCAUCACCGCUAGCAAACGAGGUAGAUCGGUAAGCAACUUUUGCUAAUCAUAUCACAUAUGACUCCUGUUGUUGGGUGACAUCUCUAUGUCUCGGCGCCCAACCUUUAUGCCCCAAGGUCCUUAACCGUUAAGAUAACCUUGUUAAGCAAACCAACCCUUAUGCGUGUAAGUGUCCGACACAAACCCGUCUAGUCAAGGAAAACUAGUGGCACCCUAAUUUCAUAGACCCACCACUAAUUGUACAAGACAUGGGAUGGUGCAAGUUUUAGUUGGGAGGGCAUACUAACUUAAACUUUGUGAGGGAUCGUUCUACUUCUAACAUCACAGCAUGCAGAAAGUAAAACAUAAACAGAAUAGCAUUCACACAGUUGUGACACAGUAUGGCCCAUUUUCAUAUGGUGAUCUCCAUCUCCAUAGAACCUGUUCACCAUGGUGAUCUCCAUCUCCAUGUUCCAUGUGCGCCAUCCUCCUGGUGAUGAGUCCUCCAAGAACUAGAGCAUGCUAUUACGCCUAAUAGCUAGUAAAGAAUCUAGUAAUGAAGAUUACAUAGUUGCUUGGAUCAUCACAGAUUGGUACGCAGACCAUUAAAUACAAUAAAGUGACAACACAUAUGGCUCCUGCCGUGUUGCCGUACGCGCGACACGCAGGUCACGAAUGAGUUACACACAUGCAUCACAUACACAAGGGGGCCAUACUGAUCACAAGAUACAUACAUACAUCCUGCAAAAGAGAGUUAGGCGUCCUAACGUUCCAAACUUCGGAGGCCCAAAACUCCAUCUUCCAAGCCGAAUUUGGGAAAUCUAAUCUCGCCGAAAAUGGCGAAGCGGUUGAAAUUCAUGUGUAACUUUUUCUAUAGAUCAAUUUUCGUAUAAAAAUCGCCCCGAUCCGAGAUCGUACCGAAAAGUUACGGCUGAUUUACCGAAGCAUACGCAUACGGCAAAAUCCCGACCCCGGCAGUAGAUCCCAUCUACUAUUGCACAUCUAAUGUGCCUGGCGUAUGACCCUGGAUCUCGAUUCGACCAAUCAUAUUGAUCUUCCCUCACUGCAACUGGAUUUACGUGUAUCACUUAACUCCGAUGGCGGAAACCGACCGGUAGGAGUAUGUCGUUACACUACCAUUGCAACAAGGGCACGAAACCAGGACAUAGAUCAAACUGAAAACUCGCAUAUCUCCAUAUGCACACAUCCCGAAUCCAAAACUAAGCAGCUACGGCUCUGAUACCACUGUUGGGAUACGAGGUAGGCUACACUAGCGCAAUUCAAAAAAAUCUACCGCGUAUAACCAGGAAGAACUGCCGUAUAAGGAUCACGGGAUUACCACUCGACGCACUACUGGUGCGGAAGAUGUAGAUAUGCGUCGAUGCAGUGAAGACGAUCACGUAGUCGUACGUAGUCGAUCAACGUAGUCGUACGUAGUCGAUCACGUCCAGCAGCUCCUCAGCAGCUCCUCCACGUGCAGCAAGAUCGCCUCCGGUACCGCGGCUCGUCGUCGGCUCGUCGUGGCUCAUCGGCGGCUCGUCGACGGCUCGUCCAAGUGCUGCAGGCGCAACACCUCCAAGGUAUCCACACGUGCAGGGAGGAAGCGUCGCAAGUCGGACUGCUAGAUCCGCGAGUUGCAACAGGCGAGGGCGUGGGAGGCGCGGCAGGUGUGUUUCGCCAAAAAGGUGUAAACCCUAGGGCGUCCCCACCCCUCUAUUUAUAGAGGUUCCUGAUGGGCCUCUGGAUCCGAGGCCCAUUAGUACUCCUAAACCUAAUCCAACUCGGAUCAGAUCCGAAUUGGGCUUUCAGCCCCUUAAGUGUGUGACCCUAUGGGUUCGGAUACGUAUAGACAUGGCCCGAGUACUCCUACUCGGCCCAAUAGUCGGUAGCGGCCUCUAGCAAGACGUGCCAACUCCUAUACGCACACGAAGAUCAUAUCAGACGAACCAUCACAACAUAAUAUACAUGCUAUUCCCUUUGCCUCACGAUAUUUGGUCUAGCUUCAAGCCGACCGCUCUUUCUUGAUCCUGUGAUUCGGAAUCCCUUUGUAGGUUAACUCUUAACCGUACGUAGCAUGGCCAUGCAUUUUCGGAUCCGAUCACUCGAGGGGCCCAGAGAUAUCACUCUCAAUCAGAGAGGGGCAAAUCUCAUCUUGACUGACCAUGUCUCAUAGCAUGCUUCUUGACAAACCCGAAAGCUACCUUUAUAACUACCCUGUUACGGUGUAGCGUUUGAUAGCCCCUAAGUAGGUCAAUCCACAUCUAGAAUACAUGCGACAAUCUCAGGUCUAAGGACAAAGCGUAUAUGUUAUUUUAAAGAGAGAACUACUUCUCGUGUUGGGUCAGUCCUAACACAUGUCUCCACAUGUGUCCACAUUAUUAGUUCAACAUCUCCAUGUCCAUGACUUGUGAAACAUAGUCAUCAACUAAUACAUGUGCUAGUCUAAUAUUCAUGUGUGUCCUCACAUGAACUCCAACUAGGGACAACUUUAGAAUAACCAUACAAGUAAAGAGUUUCACAUACAAUUCACAUAAUUGCAAAUCAAUUCAAGUAGCCUUUAAUGGAUAUUCAAUGAACACAAUAUACAAAUCAUGGAUACAAAUGGAAUAUCAUCAUCUCUAUGAUUGCCUCUAGGGCAUACCUCCAACAAGCUGAUGUAAAGAGAUCGGGCUGAUGUAUCUAGAACAACAUGAUGUCGGGCCAUCCAAUCCAUACCAAGGAUGACAUCUUCUAGGUCAAGGAUGAUAAGGUUUUCCUUGAAGAGGGUGGGACCUAGCUGGAGAGGUACAAGAAUAACGACCUGAUCUGACGUUAUCCUUCCUCCAGGAGUGGCAAUCACAUAGGGUUCCUUAGCGUGACCGACACUUAGCCCACAUCUUUCCCUUGCCUUACUCCCGAUAAAGCUAUGAGAGGCUCCCGAAUCAAACAACACAACAACAGCUUGAUUUAAAACAAGGAAAGUACCCGUCAUUACUGGCGCACCUUCGGGGAGCUCAGUCAAGCUGGUGUAGUUGAGUCGGCCUUGCCGGACUUGCACCUUGGGCCUUCUUCCUCUGGCUGCCAUGGGGUUCUGACCUUGCUGUGGAUUCUUGUUCCUGGGGCAGUCCUUCGCGAAAUGUCCUUCAUUGCCGCAGGUAAAACAACGAUUACUGGCUGCAGGGCGGGGUGGCGUUGGCAGGGUCGGCCGGGGCACUUGCGGUUGGAAGCCUGGAAAACGAGGCAUUGUCGCCGACGGGGGUCGGGCGAUCCAUUUCCCUGACGGCUGGGGUCGGCCAGGGGCUUGUGGAGGGAUCAUCCGGAACCUUCGAGUCGGUGGACUCGGAAAUGCCACAGAGGCUUUCCUCUUCUGGUCAGCCUUGAGGGCUUGCAUGCAGUCCUCCUGAGAGAUGGCCAGGUUGACCAACUCGUUGUAGGUGUCCACCUUGAUGGGGUUCAACCUUUCCCUGAGCUCCAAGCUCAGUCCUCGGCGGAAUCUGUCCUGCUUCUUCUCGUCUGUGUCCGCAUGAUAGCCAGCAUAACGCCAUAGGUCAUUGAAAGAUUGGGCGUAAUGCAGCACAUCCCGAGUUCCUUGGGUGAGGGCCAAAAACUCGUUGAGCUUGCGCUCCAGGAGACCUUCGGGAAUGUGAUGCGCCUUGAACGCCAUCUUGAACUCGUUCCAGCUGACCACGUGGCCAGCCGGCAGCAUGGCAUGGUAGUGGUCCCACCAAAGCCGUGCGGAGCCACGCAGCUGCUGAGCUGCGAACCGCGCCUUGUUGUGAUCGGGGCAUGGAGCGGUGAGGAGCUCGAACUUGGAUUCGAUUGUACGAACCCAUGCGUCAGCAUCGAGCGGUUCUUGUGUCUUUUGGAACAGCGGGGGCUGUGUCCCCAGGAAGUCCUCAUACCGCGCGAUAUGCGGCUGCGGUUGUGCUCUUCCACCAUGUGGCUGUUGUUGCUGUCCUUUCACCAGAUGCCUUAGCAACUCAGUUUGAGUUGCUAGGAUUGCCUCCAAUGGCGAUGGGGGCGGGGGCGGGGGAAGAUCCUGUCGCUGUUCACUACCGCUGGACACAGCACCAGACCUAGUGCGGUGCGCCAUCUGCAAGAGUUAACGCCCCAUUAAUUUCAUGACCUUAGGUAUACUCCAACAAAUGGAACGUAUGGAUUAAAUCCCUUAAUGCGACUCUUGCCAAUAGUGCAUCACACGUCCUCAUAGAGAAAGCACAUUCCUCUCAUUCUCAGCAUAGAUAACCUCUACUUGACCUGGUACUCCACUUCAGGCAACACAUGCCACAUACAGACUACAGACUCCUACGAUCUGAUCCACUCAAUCCAAGGGGUCGGACACGGUCCGUACUUGAAAAGGGUUGGACGAGGCGGAGACUGCCUCAAAGGGUCGGCGCACUCGGCCUCACAAACUGGGGUCGGCCAACUGAACAGAUCCUCAGAACACAGCAUAUGGUCACGGCACAACUUACUCAACCUAGCAUCCACGCCAUACAAAGAUGAGAAAGCUAUGCACCGGGGUUACUUUAUAUACAACGGUGUUUCAACACAGGGAGCACUCAACUCGAGGCUAACCUAUUACAACUUUUCCAAAAUCUAGGCUGCCGAGGAGUACAACAAAAAGAUGGUUCCCUGAGAACCCUUAAGCUACCAAUGGACACUAUGAGUCGGAGAAGGGGCGCCAUCUUCUUCUAUGUCCAUGUUGGACGCUCCCUCAUCUUCCUCAGGGUCCUCCUGUGCUUCGAGCUGCAUGUUGAGGGCAUGCAUAUCCUCGAGCUCGGCUUGGUGCUCCUCUAGGUGGGCAUUGGCAACUGCCAACUCCAUUUCCACCUCCAUGUUUUCCUCUGAGAGCUCUAUCAUGCCGUCCAUGAGGUCGGCAACUUCUCCUUCUAGCUCAGAGAUCCGAUCUUGCAUAUCGUGGAUCUGGAUACCACGCUGGAUCAGCUGGUAGGUUUGGCCUACCAUAUCUCUUCUUGCUGCCUGGAGGUGACCGUGGGUAUCUGCUGCCGUCCAGGCGAAAAGGGUCAUGGCUCUCCCCUGAAGCUCUAUCAACCGGUAGAGAGCGGCCAUGCACCGGAUGUUGGUGGAGAUGGUAACCAUGGCACAGGUGGUGGCUAACACCUCGAUGUUCCCGACACGGUCAAGCCAGGCCGGGUCCAGCCGGUUCCUGAAGGGGAAGAGGCCGAUCGGGUCUAGCGUGAUCUCCACGGGAUGCAGCUGACAGAACUGGGUGAGCAACUGAAGGGCGGCAGACUCCCAUGUAUCUUCCGGGGCAAGACCAUAGGCUAUUAUGCCCAGAGAGGGCCAGUCGGGCCGGGCAAGGGGAGGUGGUACCAACGCUUGCACCUGGCACGUCUGAAGGCCCUGUUCCAGAUAUAACCGCCCGGCAUACAAGGGCGGGGACUGAUACCCAAACCACUUCAGCGUAUCCCACAGAAUCGUGGGAAACCCCUCGAAAUGCAGGCACGUUGACUGGAAGGUACCGUCCGCUCCAAAAACAACAUGUCCGGGAGCAGCCAUCUGGAACCAAGAAAACCGGAAACCACGUGAGAUAAACUCCAAGGAUCAGGGGUCGGAUAGAGAAGCAUACGGGUUUAACCGAGAGCACUAAGAGAAACUAGAAAUCCUUAGAUCCAGAAGAACUCUUUUGAACAGGGUUGCUGUUGAGAAAGGGAACCGUACGACCUUGAAGAUGUGACACAUGCACGGCCUACCUUACUCUUAACCAAAAACAACUGCCCGAAACUCGGGUCUUACGCGGUCAGUGCCGGUGACAAGGCAACAAUACGUCUCUCCCUAUAAUAACUAGUCGGUUCUAGUAACGUCUCCUAAACGAACGCGGUUAGCAACCUGCAGAAAACACCACACACGAACCUUUCGUGCCAGCACCCACGAAAGCGUUCUCAAACAUUACCGCUCCCUAUAGGAACGGCACCCAUGCGUUUAAGGCUGCAUGGAUAGCACUCAACCGUGGAAAUAGGCUCCCUUUGAAUGGAUCCGUAUAACCCUUCGCAUACUCGUGAUGCGGAAUCGGCACACGUAUGACAAACGUGGCGAAACAACCGUGCUGAUAGGUUCGUUGGAAUCGAACCGUACCAACCUUCGUAUGGAACACAUACGGAACCUGCGCACGUGUAAUAGACGUGGGCGAAAACAACCGCGAAGAUAGGGUCCUUCGAAUGGAGCUCCCUAUCAACCCUCGCAUGCUCGUGAUGCGGAACUCGGCACACGUAUGAUAGACGUGGCGAAGUGCUGGAAGAGUUAGCAAAAUAACCAAAUAUUUAUUAGUCACCUAAAACAACCCCAAAAUCCCCUAGGGCCUCUCGCACUAAGUCAUCCUUAACGAUUGUACGAGAUUUUUCAAAAGUUUCUUGCAACUUUUAUCCCUUUCAAAGAAUGUUUAGGGCUUGUUGGGUUCUCUGAAAUGCUAAACACGGCUCUGAUACCAGCUGUGGCGGAACCACCUCGGAUUAGCUUGAUUAAGCAGGGUUAAACCGCCUAACAUGCGACACUCCUGCCUAAACCGAGUUAAUACGAAGUGCCGUCGGAUUUCAUCCGAUUUAACCACUUAAACAGGAUCGAGUUCAGCAAACCCACACGAAGGUGAGCGGUUACAGAGAAUACAACAAGUCCACUGAGUUGAACAAGUUUUACCCAUUUGGUUUGGCCAUAAAAUCCAACAUCAGAGUUUUACAAGUUUUCAAGGAAACAACAGAGAAAACACUAGCGGAAGACUUCGUCGGGGUCGGACAUCCUUGGUGAGGCCAACCGGGACAUCACUGGCUCCUUCCCUCGCCGUCCGAGGAAGGAUCCCACUCGACCGUCCAGCCUGGCGGGAGCUGGGGCGGCCAAGCACCAACCAGAGAGGGGUCGGAAGCAGCAACUUCACCUGAAAACAGGAGCCACAACAAGGCUGAGCUACUAAGCUCAACAAGACUUAACCGAUAGGAGGAAGGGCUACUCCUCCUUCUAGACAUGCAAGGCUGUUUGGCUGAGGGGGUUGUUUGCCAAAAGCACUAAGUAACCCUAUUUUCAAGUUUUAGCUCCGGUUCUAGGUUCAUUUACCAAUCUAGGUUGUGCCACCUAUUCUAAGCAUUCAUAGAAUCAAACAAGAUGUAUAGAUACAACAACAAACAUUGCCAUCAUCAGAUUCCUCAUUUACUCAGGGUGACAUAGCGAUCAAGCAAUCUCAAACUGUGAGAGGCAGACGAAUCGAUUCGAGUUCUUUAAUCAUGCAUGGUGAACCUAGCCUCACGACAUCCACGCACCCGGAGGUCGCUUCCUGUGUCGGCCUUCCCCAUCAAUCCCCUAACCCGUGUCGGGCCCAUUUCCUUUGGUGCAAGGUUCCACAGACCCGGCGUCUGCCAUUCUGUGACCACGCUUGCCACCACGUGCGACAACCAGCAGGGGAAACUCCGUUCCAAGAACAAUGGGGCGACCACUCACGUCUAGGUUCAAUCCGGUACUAGGCUUCCUCAUCCCAUACUAAGUAUGAGGCUAGUACUUUCAAACACUUGAUCACGAACACCACCACUGUCGGGCCUUAGCAAGAUUUCAUAGACAAACGGGGCAACCAUCCGACCACCAAAAAGUUACCAAAACCUUGCCCCGUCCAUCGUCCUUAUAGUUAUAACAGGAGAGUAAACAUGCAACUCCUACAACUCGCGAGAGACAGGAAAUCACUCGACUUCUACCGUCUCCUAGUUAAGCAAUGCAGCUACUCGGUCCAACAGCUAGUGCUCAGAUCACUGGGAUGUGCAAAUGCACAAGCAUGUUACAGAAGGCAUGCGCAAGUCUGGUAAAACACAUAGGACUUUCAUGCAACCGGGGCUUGCCUUCAAGCAAGGAGGACGGAAACUGCUCGACUUCGGGGGCGACUUCGGCUUCGGAGGACAGGAGCUCGGCUACAGCUUUUUCUUCUGGCGCCGGGUGAAGCUCGUAGAAGCCGUCGGCGAGGUGCAGCUCUACACGAAUGCAAUGCAGGGGUUAGCAUAGACAGUUACUUCAACAGCAACACUGGCUCGCCUGAGCCCAGAAACUCGCGACAAAGAGCAGGAGGUUAAGGUGGUUCGAGAGCUGAUGAUGAUCAAGAGGUAAGGGUAGGAAGGAACUAGUGGUCUGAUCCUUGAACUAGAGGAUGUGAUAAACUGGGGGUCCUUAGACGCAAGCGUUGAAGGGUUCCCAAGUUUUACACAUACACCCUCGAGUUGAAGAAAAAGAUCACAGCCAAGCCCUCGGGCGAGGCGGACAAGGGUCGGCGGAACAGACAGGGUCGGGCGAGACGAAACCGGGGUCGGGCGGAUAGGAGGGGUCGGGCGAGGCGGACUGGGGUCGGCAACUCACCUUCUUCCUGAAAGGAAAGCUUGGGGUCGGAACGAAGCAGACUUGGGCGGAGGGACUACGGUUUGAUCAGAAGCUAAGACCGGCGAUGCUCCGGCGGCGGCGCUGCUUCUUGCGGAUCACAAGAGAGCUUUUACGCAGCACGGAGGAGCAAGCUGCUGGGUGACUUGGAGAAGAACUGAGGGAGAACUGAGAGAAGAACUCCUCAAGAACUGGGUGGGUGGCGCUAGGAGCUUGAGCAGGGAGCUAGACGAGGCUGAAGGCAACGAGAGCGGAGGGAACUCCGGCGACGGGGGCAUUCCUUUUAUAGCUGCUGGAGCAGAGGAAAGGAAACGGCGCGGAGAGAGAGAAGGGGAGCGGCGCGAAGGCCGGGGAGAGGCAAUGGAGUGCUCUGCCGGGGCGGCGAUUGAGCAAAGAGGGCGGUGGUGCAGAACUCCGGGGGUGACGCCAGCAAUCAUGGCGUUCUGCCGUCAGGGUGGCGUAGGAGUGGGUAGACUGGUGGUUGAGAUUUGGCGGAAAGUGGGCGUCGUCGUGCGGAAGAUGUGAUAGAAGUGACCGGCUUAACGAAACUAGAAUCGAGGGCGCUCGGGUGAGAAGGCAGGCGGACGCGGGCGCGGGGGAGAGCGCGGAACAACAGAUUGUCGGGCGGCUUCGAACAGAGCGGGGGAAAGGAACUGUCGCGGCCGCGGUCGGGGUUGGCGGUGGAGGAAUCGUCGUGUAGCGGCGACCAGGCAGCGCAACUGUGGCUGAAGGGACGGAAAAGACGGGCGACAUUGGGCUCUGGGGCCGGGAUCUGGUGGCGUGAUGAUGGGCGCGGGAGGCGAGGUUCUGCAGAAAGGGGUGCAGAGGGCUUCCGCUGCCAUUGGGGAAAGGGGCGCGGGAACCCACUCGGUCGCUGUCCAGAGACAAAACUGAGCGGCAGGCGUUGGAGAAGACGAGCCACGAGGCAGGAAGACUCUGAAGCAGCCAUGCAACUCGAGUGCGGCUGUCGCGGGGGAUCUGGAAAAGAUCUCGCGGGUCCACCAGUGGAUAGAUCGGACGGGUGAGGAAGAUUAACAAAAUCUGACGGUGGGCUGAGCUCGUCGGGGUCGGGAGAGGAGCGAAGCCGGAAGGGGUUGGAUCUCAGGGGUCGGGACCGGCGGGAAACUGAGCACUUAGGUGCGGUCAAGCAAGACAGCUGACUAAGGUUAAGGGCUGCGAUCAAGACUAACUAGAAGGCUUAGGGGUCGGUCGUUACACCUGCACUAUGCGCAGGCCUUCAAUGAUCUGUGCCGAUACGCUGGGUAUCAUGCGGACACAGAUUAGAAGAAGCAGGACAGGUUCCACAGAGGGUUAAGCUUGGAGCUCAGAGAGAGAUUAAACCCAAUAAGGGUGAAUACGUACAACGAGUUGGUCAACUUGGCCAUCUCACAAGAGGACUGCAUGAAGGCUCUGGUAGCCGAGAGGAAGAGGAAGGCUCCACUGCCAACGCCCAGCCCACCUACACAACGUUUCAGAAUGGUUCCACCACAGGCACCCAGCCGACCUCAGCAGCCGGGAAGAUGGGUUGCCCGACCCCCACCAGCGGUAGCACUUCAUUUUCCGGGAUUUCAACCUCAGGCUCCGCGGCCGACCCUACCGCCACCACCGUGCCCUGCAAAUGGUAACCACUGCUUCACCUGCGGCAAUUUGGGGCAUUUCGCCAAGGACUGCCCCAGGAAUCAGAAUCAGCGCCAAGGGCAAAGCAAUGCGAUGCUCAAUAAAGGGAAGAGGCCCAAGAUGCAAGUUCGCCAAGGUCGGUUGAACUUCACCAAUGCAGCAGAGCUUCCUGAAGGUGCACCGAUAAUGACGGGUACCUUUCUUAUUCACAGUCUUUCAGCUUUGGUUUUGUUUGACUCAGGAGCCUCACAUAGUUUUAUUGGAAGAAAGACUAGUGACAAAUAUGGGUUAAAGGAAUGCCAAACAAGAGGAUCUUUUAGGAUAUCCACCCCGGGUGGGGUAAUCACAUCUGAUAGGAUGAGUGUCAAUGUGCCUAUCUAGCUAGGCCGAACCCUUUUUAAGGAGAAUCUUGUUAUUCUCGAUCUGGAGGGGAUUGAUGUCAUCCUAGGAAUGGAUUGGAUGACAAGGCACCAGGUUGUGUUAGAUAUUCCAGCCCGAGCUAUCCAUGUCAACUCACCCCACCAAGGCCCCUCUGUUGUCCAAUUGCCUCGCCGAGAAGAUGUGAAUUCUUGUGCGUAUCCCGCAAUUGAGACCCAAUUGAAGGACAUCCCUGUAGUCUGUGAGUACCCCGACGUGUUUCCCGAUGUUUUGCCGGGCAUGCCGCCCGAUAGAGAUGUGGAGUUUUCCAUAGAGUUGAUCCCCGGCACCGCCCCUAUCUCCAAAAGACCUUAUCAGAUGCCACCCGCUGAGUUGGCCGAGUUAAAAACCUAUUUGAAGGAUCUGUUGGAAAAAGGCUUUAUCCGACCCAGCACUUCACCUUGGGGUUGCCCAGCCCUGUUUGUGAAGAAGAAGGAUGGGAGUCUACGCAUGUGUGUGGACUACCGACCUCUCAAUGCGGUGACUGUCAAGAACAAGUAUCCACUUCCCCGCAUUGAUGUUCUGUUUGAUCAGUUAGCUGGAGCAAGAGUAUUCUCCAAGAUCGAUCUUCGUUCCGGUUAUCACCAAAUCAAGAUCAGACCCUGUAACAUUCGCAAUACUACCUUCUCCACAAGAUAUGGACUCUACUAGUACCUGGUUAUGCCUUUUGGAGUCACCAAUGCACCCGCUUACUUCAUGUAUCUCAUGAAUUCGGUGUUCAUGCCCGAGUUAGACAAGUUUGUGGUGGUGUUCAUUGAUGAUAUCCUAGUGUACUCGAAGAACGAAGAAGAACAUGCCGAUCAUCUUCAUGUGGUUCUUCAACGGUUGAAGGAUCAUCAGCUUUAUGCCAAGUUCUCCAAGUGUGAAUUUUGGUUAGAUAGUGUCAAGUUCUUGGGACACACUAUCUCUUGGAAUGGCAUAGCCGUUGACCCCAGCAAGGUACAGGAAGUCAUGGACUGGAAGCCUCCCACUUCAGUUCACCAGAUCCGAAGUUUUCUUGGAUUGGCAGGCUACUAUCGGCGCUUCAUUCUAGAUUUCUCCAAGAUAGCUAAGCCGAUGACCGAGCUGUUGAAGAAAAAGAGGUCAAAUUUGUAUGGAACGACAAGUGUGUAGAAGCCUUCAACACCUUGAAACACUUGCUAACCUCAGCCCCGGUUUUGGCUCAACCCGACACUUCUAAGUCGUUUGACGUAUACUGUGACGCCUCUGGCACUGGACUUGGGUGUGUUCUUAUGCAAGACAAUCGAGUCAUUGCCUAUGCCUCACGGGCGUUACGACCUCAUGAGCUGAACUAUCCGACCCAUGAUCUUGAGUUGGCAGCAGUGAUUCAUGCCUUAAAAAUAUGGAGACACUAUCUGAUGGGCACCCACUGUAACAUCUACAUCGAUCACAAGAGCCUCAAGUACAUCUUCACUCAGGCCGACCUCAACAUGCGCCAAAGAAGAUGGUUGGAGUUGAUAAAGGAUUACAAUUUGGAGGUGCAUUAUCACCCCGGCAAGGCCAACGUAGUGGCAGAUGCUCUUAGCCGCAAGACCCAUUGCAAUUGCUUGUUGGCAACCAACUUCACAGAGACUCUGUGCCAUGAGGUGGGAAAACUUAAUUUGGAAAUUGUCUCCCAUGGAACCCUCGGACACAUCUCACCCUUGAGUCUGCUUUGGAGGACCAAAUUGGGACGGCACAGUUAGAAUAUGAGGAAGUAAGGCGAACCAAAAGAAAGAUUUCAUGGAAGGAUGAGAGGUAUAAGCAAUUCUGACAGAAUGAGAAUGGGAGAGUGUACUUUGAGAACCGACUCAUUGUUCCGUCCGACCCCACCCUUAGGAAGCAACUCCUAGAUGAAGCUCAUCUCUCCAAGUUCUCAAUCCAUCCUGGCAGCAAUAAGAUGUAUCAUGAUCUCCGUCAAAUCUUCUGGUGGAGUGGAAUGAAACCUGAGAUUGCACGAUAUGUUUCAGAAUACGACACCUGUCAAUGUGUCAAAGCCAGCCAUUUAAAGGUAGCAGGUACCCUGCAACCCCUACCUAUUCCCUCUUGGAAAUGGCAAGACAUCAGCAUGGACUUCAUUGUUGGACUACCCCUUAUCGCAGCGGCAUGAUUCCAUUUGGGUGAUUGUGGAUCAUCUUACCAAGACUGCCUACUUUCUUCCGGUUCACACCACCUACACGGCCAAGAAAUAUGCAGAGUUGUAUCUUGACCGCAUUGUUUCCUUGCACGGUGUGCCUAGGACGAUCAUAUUUGAUCGAGGAGCUCAGUUUGUAGCGCGUUUUUGGGAACAGCUACAAGCAUCAAUGGGCACCAAGCUCAUUCGUAGCUCGACUUACCACCCUCAAACCGAUGGUCAAACUGAAAGGGUAAAUCAGAUCCUUGAAGACAUGUUGAGAGCUUGUGUCAUCCAUUAUGACAAAAAUUGGGAUAAGUGCUUACCAUUGGCAGAGUUCUCCUAUAACAAUAGCUACCAGACUAGCUUGAAGAUGGCACGAUUUGAAGCCCUAUAUGGUCGGAAAUGUCGGACACCGUUGAAUUGGUCACAAGAUGGUGAAAGACAGACCUAUGGCCCUGACUUAGUAGUAGAAGAAGAAGAACAAGUGAAGAUAAUUCAAGCAAAUCUCAAGGCCGCCCAAUCUUGACAGAAGAGUUACUCCGACACGAGAAGAAGACCCCUGCAAUUUGAUAUUGGUGAUCAUGUGUAUCUUCGAGUCUCCCCGACCAAAGGAGUGCAACGGUUUGGAGUAAAAGGGAAAUUGGCUCCCCGUUACAUUGGCCCUUAUGAGAUUGUGGAAAUUUGCAGACCCGUUGCUUACCGGAUCCAACUACUCGGGCAGCUCUCGGCCCUUCAUGAUGUUUUCCAUGUCUCCCAACUGAAGAAAUGUGUCCAAGUCCCAACUGAGAUCUUAGGGCAGGAGCAACUUCAAAUCGAACCCGACCUGACCUAUGCUGAGUACCCGGCCAAAGUUCUUAACCGUAAGGAGAGGCACACCCGACGACAAGUGGUGAAAAUGUACAAAAUCCUAUGGAAUAACCACACAGAGGAUGAAGCAACAUGGGAAACAGAAGAGUAUCUGAACAAGCAUUUCCAAGGUUUUCUUUUCAGCCAAGGAGGUAAGGACUGCACACCCCCAGUGGUCGCUCUUACACUCGAAUCUCGAGACGAGAUUUAUUUUAAGAGGGGUAGGCUGUAACGACCCUGGUCAAAUCAUUCGAGUUAAUCUAAAUUGGAAGCCCAAAUUCCUCUGUCUCAGCUCUUCCCGAGCAGGAGUGCUCCACUCCAGUUCCCGGUCCCGACCCUUGAAGACCCGAACCAACCCCGUCGGUUCCUUCUGAGUUCCCCGAGGCAGUGCUUCUUUCAAUCUUGGAGCUGUGGGACAACCGAGACUGAUCGGUGGACCCGCAAAUCUUUUCCCCGGAUCUCCCGAGGCAAACGCACUCGAGCGGCCUGCACCGCUUCAGAGCUCCCCCGCCGCGUGGCUCAACUUCUCCGACACCCGCCGCUUCGCCCAUUCGCCGGCCGCGACAGGAUGGAUUCUCGCGCCCUCCUCCCCAUUCGCAGCGAAAGCCCCUCUGCAACCCUUUCUGCAACGCCUCAUCUCGCUCGCGCCCUCGCCGGUCGUGCCUUGGUGCUCCGUCGCCGCUGUGGCAGAGCUUUGCCGCCUGCUGCGUCAAACCGCCUCGCGGCUCGCGCCCAUCAUCAUCUCACCAGAUCCCCGGCUGCAAGGCCCGAUGCCUUCCGGCUUUUCCGCCGCCUCUCCAUAGUCGCGCCGCCCACGAACUCGCUACGCGACGAUUCCUCCAUCGCCAACCCCGACUCCGGCCGCGACAGUUGUUGGUAUACGAGGUACGCUACACUAGCGCAAUUCAAAAAUUCUACUGCGUAUAACCAGGAAGAACUGCCGUAUAAGGAUCACGAGAUUACCACUCGACGCACUACUGGUGCGGAAGAUGUAGAUAUGCGUCGAUGCAGUGAAGAUGAUCACGUAGUCGUACGUAGUCGAUCAACGUAAUCGUACGUAGUCGAUCACGUCCAGCAGCUCCUCAGCAGCUCGUCCACGUGCAGCAAGAUCGCCUCCGGUGCCGCGGCUCAUCGUCGGCUUGUCGUGGCUCAUCGGCGGCUCGUCGACGGCUCGUCCAAGUGCUGUAGGCGCAACACCUCCAAGGUAUCCACACAUGCAGGGAGGAAGCAUCGCAAGCCGGACUGCUAGAUCCGUGAGUUGCAACAGGCGAGGGCGUGGGAGGCGCGGCAGGUGUGUUUUGCCAAAAGGUGUAAACACUAGGGCGCCCCCACCCCUCUAGGUUCCUGACGGGCCUCUGGAUCCGAGGCCCAUUAGUACUUCUAAACCUAAUCCAACUCGGAUCAGAUCCGAAUUGGGCUUCCAGCCCCUUAAGUGUGUGAUCCUAUGGGUUCGGAUACGUAUAGACAUGGCCCGAGUACUCCUACUCGGCCCAAUAGUCGGUAGCGGCCUCUAGCAAGACGUGCCAACUCCUAUACGCACACGAAGAUCAUAUCAGACGAACCAUCACAACAUAAUAUACAUGCUAUUCCCUUUGCCUCACGAUAUUUGGUCUAGCUUCAAGCCAACCGCUCUUUCUCGAUCCUGUGAUCCGGAAUCCCUUUGUAGGUUAACUCUUAACCGUACGUAGCAUGGCCAUGCAUUUUUGGAUCCGAUCACUCGAGGGGCCCAGAGAUAUCACUCUCAAUCAGAGAGGGGCAAAUCCCAUCUUGAUUGACCAUGUCUCAUAGCAUGCUUCUUGACAAACCCGAAAGCUACCUUUAUAACUACCCUGUUACGACGUAGCGUUUGAUAGCCCCUAAGUAGGUCGAUCCACAUCUAGAAUACAUGCGACAAUCUCAGGUCUAAGGACAAAGCGUAUAUGUUGUUUAAAGAGAGAACUACUUCUCGUGUUGGGUCAGUCCUAGCACAUGUCUCCACAUGUGUCCACAUUAUUAGUUCAACAUCUCCAUGUCCAUGACUUGUGAAACAUAGUCAUCAACUAAUACAUGUGCUAGUCUAAUAUUCAUGUGUGUCCUCACAUGAACUCCGACUAGGGACAACUUUAGAAUAACCAUACAAGUAAAGAGUUUCACAUACAAUUCACAUAAUUGCAAAUCAAUUCAAGUAGCCUUUAAUGGAUAUUCAAUGAACACAAUAUACAAAUCAUGGAUACAAAUGGAAUAUCAUCAUCUCUAUGAUUGCCUCUAGGGCAUACCUCCAACAACAGUUCCUUGUCCGCCUUGCCAGAACUGUGCCCGGCAAACCGCUGUUUCGCGCUUGCCCGCGCAGCCGCAGCCCACCUGUCUUUUCACCUGUUGCAACCUCGCUUGUAGUGCCGUUCUCCCUAUCACACCAAUCAGAUCCGCCGCUCGAUGAUGCCCACCUCCGCCAAAUCUCAACCCCGGCAAAAUCGCGCCUGCGCCGCCUUGUCUCCAGUGCCCAAUAGCCGAGGACGCUAUCUCCGAAGUCCUGUUCCGCCGCCCAUCGCCGCUCAAUUGCCGCCAUGGCAGUGCACUCCAUCCUUUUCUUCCGGUCUUAGUGCUACUCCAACUCUCUCUCUUCCGUGCAGCUAUAAAAGGGAAUGCCAGAGUCCUACUUGAGUUCCCUUCGCCAUCGUUGCCUUGCCGCCUUGUUCCUCUGUUUCGUGCUCGAGCGCCGCCACCUAAGUUCUUGAGGAACUCUCAUCUCUGCUCAACACCCGCCCCUCCCAAUCCACCUAGCCGCCUGCUCCUCCGCGCUGUGCUAGAGCUUCCUUGUUGCUCACAAGAAGCUCCACCGCCGUCGGAGCACCGCCGGACAUCGCCGCCACCCAAGCCUUAGUGCUUAAGACCUUCCGCCCAAGUCUACUCCUUCCCGACCCCAAAGCUUCACCUAUAAACCGAAGGUAAGCUGCCGACCCCUCACCGGUUCGCCCGACCCUAUCUGUUCGCCCGACCCCUUUUCCGUCUCGCCCGACCCUGUCUGUUAGCCGACCCUUAUCUGCCUCGCCUGAGGACUUGGCUGUAUCCUUUCCUUGGCCCGAGGGUACCUGUGUAAAAGAGCGGGGACUUCUCUACGUUAAUUCUGAGGACCCCCAGCACAGCUAUUCCUCUAGCUUAAGGGUCAGAUCAUAAGUUUCUUCCCAUCCGACCCUUUUAUCUUGCUCUCCACCAACUAAAGUAAACUUCCCCACAUUUUCUGUAGCCUUGCUGCAAGUGUCCGAGCUUAACUGCAAGUGUUGUUGAAAUAACCGUCUAAACACUAACUCCUGCAUUGCAUUCGUGUAGAGUCGCACCUCGCUGACGGCGUCUACGAGCUACACCCAGUGCCAGAAGACGGAGCUGUAGCUGAGCUACCAGUUCCAGAAGCCGAAGUCACCCCAGCUGAAGACUAGUUCUCCUCCCCUCCGCUUGAAGGCAAGCCCCAGAGCAUGAACCCCAAAUUUUUCCCAAACUUGCGCAUGCCUUCUUUCUCAUGUUUGUGCAUUUACGUAAAGGAGUUGUUUGCAACCUUAGAUGCAUGACAUAGUUCCUUUGAUCUGAACACUAGUUUGUUAGGCCGAGUAGUUGCUAUGCUUAAAUAGGAAACGGUAAAAGUCGAGUGAUUUCCUGUCACUCGCGAGUUAUAGGAGUUGGUUGUUUUCCUUCUGUUACAACUAUAAGGAUGAUGGACGGGGCAGGGUUUUGGUUAACUCUUUUGGUGGUCGGUUGAUCACCCCGUCUGUCUAUGAAAUCUGUUAAGGCCCGACAGUGGUGGUGUUCGUGAUCAAGUAUUUGAAAGUACUAAUCUCAUACCUAGUAUGGGAUGGGGAAGCCUAGUACCUGAUUGAACUAGGGCGUGGCUUAUACCCCUGCUGUCCCUGGAACGAGGUUCCCAUGGUGCAUCAUGUGGGUGCAAGUGCGGUUACAGUACGGUAGAGGCCGGGACUGUGGAGCAUUGCAUGCCAAGGGAAGUUUGGACCUGACACGUGCUUGGGAAUUGAUGGGGACGGCCGACAUAGGAAGCGACCCUUGUGGUGCGUGGAUGUCAUGAGAUUAGGUUCGCCAUGCAUGGUUAAGAAACUCGAAUCGAUUCAUCUGCCUCUCACAGUUUGAGACUGCUUGAUCGCUAUGCUACACUGAGUAAUGAAAGAGUCUGAUGAUGACAUGGUCUUGAUGAUGAGCUUAUAUACAUAAAGUUGGAUCUAUGUUUGCUUAGAGUAAGAUGCCAACGUAGACUGGUUAAUGAACUUAGAAGUUGAGCUAUAACUUGAAAGCAAGGACCUAACAUAGUCGCUUUUGGCAAACAAACCCCUCAGCCAAAGAGCCUUGCAUGUCUAGACGUGGUGGAGUAGUUUUACCACCGGUCGGUUAAGUCUUGUUAAGCUUAGCCGCUCAGCCUUGUUUGUGGCUCUCUUUUUUAGGUGAAGUCGUAGCUCCUGAGUUUGCUCCUGUUGGCACUUGGCCGCCCCAGCUCCCUCCGGGUUGGACGGUCGAGUGGGAUCCCUCCUCAGACGGCGAGGAAAGGGAUCACUGAUGUCCUGAUCAGCCUCAUCAGGAACAUCCGACCCCGGCGCUAGCUUCCGCUAUUUUACCUUUCCGCUGCUUUUGAAUCUUGUAAAACUCUGACUUUCGUUUUGAUGUUGAACUAAAUUGUCAAACUUGUUUAACUCAGUGGAUUUGUUGUAUUCUCUGGAACCACUCACCUUCGUGUGAGUUUUGCUAACUCGGUCCUGUUAAGUGGUUAAAUCGGAUGAAAUCCGACGGCACUUCGAGUUAACUUGACUAAGGCAUGAGUGUCGCGUGUCAAGCGACUUAACCGUGCUUUAAUCAAGGUAAUCCGAGGUGGUUCCACCACACUCCUGCAGGAUGUAAAUCAGUCCGGAUCGCCGCAAUUCUCGGAUAUGAAUGCACUUGAUCAUUGCUUAAGCAUCGUAGUGUAACAAAGAGAAGGGAACCGUUGCUUUUGAAUAAAUAUGUUGAAUGACUUAGUUCCAUCUGGUUGAUAAAAUAUUUUUCAUCAUCUAGACUGGUCAGGUAACAGACUCAAUCUGAAAUAAAAGAUAAAACUAAGGUUUUACAUAUGGUAAGCUUUUUCGGCAAAAUGUGAGUCAGCGAGUACACCAUAAAGCCAUCAUACAGUAUGACAGAAAUAUUUAUAUUGGUUAGACAAGUCAGACUUGCUGAGUACUUUGUACUCAGGGGAUCCUUUGUUGUUGUUUUCAGAAACCCAGCAGGGACCCACCGAGGAGGAAGCACCGAAGAACUAGGGUAUCUUAAGAGUCUCAUGAUACCCUAGAAUAAACUUAGAUGUUUAAUUACUUACCUCGGACUGUUUUAUAUUUUAAACUCUUAGCAAUGGUUUAACUUGCACUGUUAAGUUUCCUCAAUCUAUGGUUUGUAAAUCGUACCUCGGUUAUGUAUGUAAAAAUGUAAUAUUUGUUGAUGCUAUCCCAUCGUGGAAGCGGUCCUGAUGUAUGGCUAUGGAACACCCUAUGGAGGUUUUCAAGGAGUUCUGUGAACAGAACCCUUGAUGGACUACCAGAUUUACACUAUUUUAAGUGCGUUUUGGAUAAUUGUUGUUCUGACAGCAAUUAGGUGCACUUAAGUCAGUUUAAGUUGGGCAGUUCCACCAUAGCUGGUAUCAGAGCCAUAGGUUGGGAUAAUCAACAGAUAUUACUAUUUAAAAAUUGAGACUCUAUUUUAAAUAAAGAAAACGUGAGUCUUAGGUGGCAGUAGUAUUAAUUGGUUUCUUGUUUUGCAGAUGCUAACUGUUUGCUGCGUGUCGCUAGUAUUCGGUAGCAUAUUACUAGGGAGGGAUUACGAUGCCAUCAAUUUUCCUACGAGUGUGUAUAUGAGUCUGAAAGCACGUAGGAAUCGCUGCAUCAUAAUUGCAUAGCAUGUUUUAAAAACUUUUGGGUUUGGUGACUGUCGUUAGACCUAAAACCCGUUCCGUGCGUUAGAAGUUAGACGUGGUCAGGACCGGUGCAAACAGGGGACCGAAGAAGAAAGUACCAAGGAAGAUGAAUAGACCUAGAAUCCUUUGAUGCAACCAGCUUCACUAUAAUACUAUGGAAGGACAAAAGAAUGAAAAUACUUCGGGAACGAGUAAGCCAAGGUGAUGUUACUUGUUUUACCCAGAAUGAAAAAGGGGUGCUCUAUUUCAAAAACUGAAUAGUAGUACCCAAGAAGAUGGGCUUGAGAAAAAAGAUCCUAGAUGAAACUCAUUUGUCAAGAUUCUCUAUCCACCUUGGAAGUACUAAGAUGUAUCAAGACCUGAAGCAAUGCUUUUGGUGGACAAGGAUGAAGAGGGAAAUAGCCAAGUAUGUAUCUGAAUGUGAUACAUGCCAAAGGGUGAAGGCCACACAUCAGAAAUCAGCUGGCUUAUUGCAACCCUUAACCAUUCGUAAAUGGAAGUGGGAAGACAUUUCCAUGGAUUUUAUAGUAGGAUUGCCUACUACCUCAAAGGGGUAUGAUUCCAUAUGGGUUAUCGUGGAUCGACUCACUAAGUCGGCUCAUUUUAUUCCUGUCAAGACUACUUACCGUAUGCCAGUUUAUGUGGAACUCUAUAUGUCUCGAGUAGUGUCAGCACCUCGAACAUGUCAACGCCUCAUGGCUCCACAUGGCAGCCACGUGGCCAUCUAGUCUACAUGGCACUGCCACAUGGCGCACACGUGGUCGUCCCCAGCCGGCCGGGAUCCAUGUGUCGGGCGGAUCCUGUGCGUGUGGCGGAACUGCUCAAAUUAACUUGGCUAAAGCACACUUAAGUCGCCUAACACACGAUCAUGUACUUUAAUCAAGUCAACUCGGUAGUCCGUCGGAUUUCAUCCGAUAAACCACUUAUCACAGGAUCGAGAAAGCAUAGCUCACACGAAGGUGAGUGGUUACAGAGAUUACAACAGUCUAUCCAUAUUAAACAAGUGCAUCAAAUUGCUACAACAUCCAGUUUGAAAUUCAAACAUAGUUUGCAGAGUUUCAAGCAGCAGAAAUAAAUAAGCGGAAGCUAACGUCGUUGUAGGAUAUCAUGACGAAGCCGAUCAUGACAUUAAUGAUCCCUGUCCUCACCGUCCGAGGAAGGAUCCUACUCGACCGUCCAUCUCGGAGGGAGUUGGGUGGGCCAAGUUCUACUUGCAGCGAGCUCAGGGGUAACAACAUCACCUGAAAAGAUGUGCCACAAGCAAGGCUGAGCAACUAUGCUCAACAAGACUUAACCGACGGGUGGUAACUACAUCCACCAACACCUAAACAUGCAAGCUUUUUGGUUUUGGGGUUUGUUUUUGCCAAAAGCGACUAGAGUAGGUCUUUACUUUCAAUAUUUUAGCACCAUGUUCUAGUUGAUUAACCAUUCUAGGUAAGCAACUAUACUAAGCAGGCAUAGCUUUUCAAGCAAUUAAUAACAAGUAACAACAUUUAAUCAUCGUCACAUUCCUUUCUUACUCAGUAUAGCAUAGCGAUCAAGUAGUCCCAAACUGUGAGAGGCAGACGAAUCGAUUCGAAUUUCUUAACCAUGCAUGGUGAACCUAAUCUCAUGACAUCCAUGCACCACGAAGGGCCGCUUCACUUGUCAGCCGUCCCCAUCGAUUCCCAGACCUGUGUUGGGCCCACUUCCCUUGGUACAAGGCUUCAUAGACCCGGCCUCUGUCGUUCUAUGACCGCACUUGUCACCACAUGCAGCCACAAGGGAAACUCCGUUCCAGAGACAGUGGGGCGAUCCACUCAUGUCCUGGUUCAAUCAGGUACUAGGCUUCCCAAUCCCAUACUAGGUAUGAGAUUAGUACUUUAAAACACUUGAUCACGAACACUAUCACAUCUCGACCUUAGUCAAUUUCAAGUAGACAGACGGGGCAAUCCACCGACCACCAAAAAUAGUUCACAGAGCCCUGCCCCGCCCAUCGUCCUUACAGUUGCAGCAAAAGAAAAGGGCAUUCAACUCCUAUAACUUGCGAGUGAUAGGCAAUCACUUGACUUUUACCGAGUCCUAUUAAGCACUGCAACUACUCAACUUAAUAUACUAGUGUUCACAACAAGGGUACUGAGUUCAUGCAUCUACGAUUUCAAUCAACUCCUGGAACAUAAAUGCACAAUCAAGCAAUCAAUUGUAUUUCAAUAUUUAAAGAUAGGAAUUCAUGCUCCGGGACUUGCUUUCGCACGGGGAGUUAGCGAACUAGUCCUCGGCUUGCUCUGGUGCAGGCUCAGCUCUGGCGUGGUGCAGAUCUGCUACGGCUUCUUCUUCCGGCGCUGGGUGCAGCUUGUACGUGCCGUCAGCAAGGUUCACUUCUACACGAAAUACAAAUGCAACAAGUUAAAUUUUCCAUGCUUUCACAUGCAGGAUGCAAAACAUGAGUUAUUGCCGGAGUAUAACUUACAUUUUGACCACAUUCACCUAAACAAGGUUCUAAACUUUUAUUAUCUUCAUGAGGUAAGGUGUGUUGUGGCAUAAAACCCGGCGUUGAUUUUAAUGGAGAUUGUGUACACAUAUAUGUGAAACGAGUUGAUUAACUUCAGAUUAGAAAGUUUGUUAAGUUUCUGAAUGUUUUUCUGUACCUCUUUCGAAAAUUACCAGUAUCAUUACUCAAAGUUUCUUUCAUCCAUUUAAUUAGGUCCAUCUUCCAAAUUUUAUGUCAUUAUCCAAACAGCAAGCUAUGAAGCUACAAAUUUAACAGCAACUUAACUUUGUCAUAGAUAAGCUACUGCAUAAAUUUGAGAUCCAUUGGAGGUGUAUAAAAAGAAUUAGAAUUACUUUAUUACCCUAAGGUAGCAUAUACUUAAACAUUUUUAAAACAUAAACCAUAACGAAACUGGUCAUGAAAUUUUAACAGUGAGUUAUAUGGGUGAUACAAAGCCUUUGGAGAAUUUUUCAUGAUUUUUAAUGAAGGACAUCUAUUUCACAUAUUUACCUCAUUUAUCUUUCUCUAAAAAGGAAAGUGAUUUUCUUUCUGCUUCUGACCAGGUUCUAUAACUUUCCAACAAACUACACUACACCACUGACCUAUUCCAAUUUGUUUCACAUUUUUAUCAUCUCUGGUUUAAAAAUUGUGCAAAAGAUUGUAGUUAUACAACUAGAACAGAGACUUCAACUUCUGAGCUAGGCUCCAAAUCAUUUUUCCAAGAUUCUAUUCUCUGAGACAAGCAAUUGAGAGUUGGAUUUACCUUUUUAGCAUUUUUCUGUGAUUUGCUAUGAUUUAAAUAGCUCAAACAAGGAUUAAAACAUAUAACAUUAAUUCUAACAGAGACAUGUGCAAACUUAUUUUUAUAUGAAACGACACACAACACUGAGUCUAACAAAAUUCAUCUUGCAUUUUUAUCAUUUUUACACUUUUCUAUGCCUUUUCAAAGUUUUAGCCUUUUUAGAUCUAGGAAAAAAAAAGAAAACCGAGGCAAACUUGCAAUCUAGCCCUCAAGUCUAUGGUUUAAUCACGUAAAGGUCCCUGGUUUUUGCGCCUACACCCCUGGACAGAUUCCCACCUUAAACAUAACUCCUGAACAUUAUCCCAUAACCCCCUAGACUUCUAUUCUUCUCAAAACUCACUGAUAUCUUCUUCCUUGGAACAGAUCGCACAGGCACAGGAUUGUCACACAUGGGGGCACACGGCCGGCCGGGGAGAGGGUAAAGAAGGUGUGGCGGCGCUAGGGGAGGGGGUGGUGCCAUGCCCAGGACAAGGGGUCUCCUUGGUGCGGCACAGGUAGGGAGGAAAGGGGCGGCACACAACAUCAUGGUUAGGAGCUCACCUAGGUUCCGUUUUAGCUGUUGGUUGUCGAUGAGGAAGGCCGGAAGGGGGCGUUCACGGUGAGGGUCAUGGCUGCAAUUGACAGUUUCUGAUCGGAGGAGAAACUUGGAUUCCCGACCAAGGGAUGGACGGCGGGCGAUGAGGAGAGGCUGAGGGUGGAGCCAAGGGAGUGUAGAAGCUUAGGGCGUGAGGGAUUUGGCGGAGGCGGAGGCGGAGGGAGCUGGCCGGAUUUCGCCGGGGAACAGGAACCUCUCGAGUUGGCUGUUUGGGGCAAAAAUGGAGGAAGGCUUGGUUUGGGGAGGCUCUGGCUUGGAGGAUAAGGCCGGCUCAAGGCCUGGGGGUGGUGCAAGGAUAAGAACGACACGACAAGGCGUCGGGGGCACGCUGGACGGGCAUUGGCGGAGCGGCUGUGACGCGGCAGCCAUGGCGUGGUCAUGUGCAUGCGGCGAGGUGCUGCGGCGAGGCACGGUAGGUGAGGUGCUGCAGCGAGGUGCGGCAGGCGAGGUGGAGCGUCGACUGGUUAGCGCGCGGGCGCGGGUUGGGCGAUGGGGGUGGCGCGGGCGAGCUUGCGCCACGGGGCGGGCGACAUGCAGCACGCUCUGGCGCGUGUGCUCUGGCGCAGGGCGAGAACGCGGGACAGUUGCAGGGCCGGAGUUUUGGGGCAAAAUUGCACGCGAUUUUUGAACUAAACCACGUUGGCUCCCUUUACAAAAAUUGUUUUCCUAACAACCGAGUUCAAACUUUACUAAAGGUUUUUGCCCAGAUUUCAAACGGAUUCAGAGAUAAAAUGCGCCAAAGUUCGUAAAAAUUGAAACUUUCAGACUUAGGCGCUUCAGCCAUUUUUGGAUAGUGUUCACUAUUUUAGCUGUGUUUGACCUUGUUUUUGAAAACCUUUUGUGCAGAUGUUGGCCUAGCUCCAAUAAUCAAAGUGGUUAAGGACUUGUAGCACUAAAAAUUUUAUAAAAAGUCUAUUUUGAGUUUACAUUAAAAAUUGUGAGAUAAAGGGCUUCAAAGUUUGGGUUUUUCAUGUUUUUCACAAUUUGGCACAUAUUUGAAUUUCAAGUUUUUGAAAGCCUUCUGCUCAGAUUCAAACAAAACGCCAAAAACAAAAGUUGUUAGAAAAGAUGAGUUUAACAACUCUUAGUUGGACAAAAUUUCAGGUUCUUAUAUAAAAAUUUAAAUUAUGGCUUAAUCAAUUUUUAAGCUCUUAGGGGUCAAAGUUGACCUUUGACUCGGUUAAUUUGCUGCUAAAAGCUUCACUUAGGCUUAAAGAAGGUUUAGUUAACCUAGGGUUGUUACAGUGCACUAUCGGCAUGUGGCCACGGGUGUGGCACAGGCCUGAUUGGCGGCGACGCAGCGGUGACCGCGCCCACAACGUCGUGGUGUCACGGCGCAGCUGCUGCGCGUGCGCGCGGGCAUGAGGCAGUCCCCGACCGCGGCACGACCACGGCGGCAUGCGGGGUCCCGGUGUCCUAGGCCCGUAGCGGCUGGUAGCAAGGUGAACGGCGGAGCUCCUACCAUGGAUCGAAGGCUGGGCAUACGACAAGCAAACAAGAGGAAAGAGAGGGGCGGCGAGGCUCACUGCGGGAAGAUGGCAAAGGCGGGCGGCGUCGAGCGGCGAUCGACAGCUCCGGCUCCUUCAUUAGAUGCCCCUCUUCUUUUUCUUCUCUUCUACUUCCCCCCUCCUUCCCUUUCCUCCUCUUCUCCUACUCCUCCCUCCUCCUCUACUCCUUCCCUCUUCUCUCAUCAGGUGGUCGAUGGCGCAAGGGCGAAGCCCCAGGUGGAUGGCGAGGAGAGGCCCCGAGCGGCUCUACUUAUAGGGGAGAGACGGCUGGAGUUCCGGAGGGAGGUUGCGGCUUUAGGGUUUGGGGGCACAACGUCGGUGAUGUGGACGGCUAGGAUGUGGCAUCGCACGGUGCGGGUGACGUGAUGGCCAUCCGAGGCUGCUAGCGCAAAAGCAAGGGCGCAGGCGAGGUCACGGGGCGCACGUGAGGUGCGCGUGAGCGGGUCCGGCGCAGUAGCGAGAAAGAAAGAGAGGGAGAGCGGGGCGCGGGUGCCGACUGCGGGCUAGGCCAGCUGGCCGGUUAAGAGGCCUGCUGGGCUGGUCGUCGAGCUGCGCAGGCGACGCGGUAGAGCAGGCCAGGUCGGCUGUCUGGCUGGGCCGGGGCGAAGGUGGGUGAGGGUGAGGCGCGAGCGGGCCAGGGCGGUGGGCUGCGGCUGGCCUGGUUGGUUAGGAGGGUUAGAUAGGUUUUGUUUUUAUUUAGAUUUAGAUUUAGUUUGAGUUUUGAAUUAGAUUAAAAAUUCAAACACACACUCAAACAUGAUAUCCACAUAAAUUCUAAAAAAAUCCAAAUCAUUCCACACAAGUUUUGAAAUGGAAUUUUGGGAUGAGAGGAGAAUUUGACUACCAUUUUCAAAUAAGCACACAAUUCAAAUAAAAGUUUUAAAUUUUUGAAAAUUUCACUCAAAUAAAUAUUACAAAAUUCUGGAAUAUUACAAACAUAACCACUUCACCUCGUACCCCGAGAAAGCUAUACAAAGCUUAACACUCCUCAACAUCUGAGAAAUUCGGUUGGAACGAAACUCUAGAUUUUUCGGACUGUGUGAGUCCUCCUUGAUUUCCUUGGUGGCAAAAAUAAAAAAGGAAGUGGCUGCUUGGGUAGGGGCAGGGCAAAAAACCUAACGGAACUUUUAGCGCAGUAAUUUUUUUGUUACUCUCUACCUAUUAGCCAGCUUGUAACUCUUCUUCUUUAUCAAUAAAAUAGGCACAAUCUUAUACCCAUUAAUUUUAAAAAAAGAGAUAAAAGCUAACAAUGUUUUCCAUGGAUGGAAACAUUAACGUAAGAAGAUAUACAAGUAACAACCUAUUUGAGACUUCAGUAGUGUUCAUACUAUACCAUACUAGUAGUAACAGUAGCAUUAAGCAGCCAGCUUACAUUGAACAGCAGAGCACAAUACUUGUGUCAGUAUAAAAAAAGACUUGUGUAAGGCCAGCUACACAAGUUAGCUCGCAUUUCAUAAUUAAGUUUCAGAUUUCGUGCAAGGCCAGAUACUUUAGCACUGCACUCUUGAUAAGCGGCGGUCCGCGUGUUUGGUUUCCUACAUCGAACCAGAUCCUCCAGAAUACAUUCAUCCAGGUUCCAGAAAUAUGCCGUCCAGAUGGCUGAACCAUCCUGUGCGUCCAAAACUCUCGAACCACGCCGUCUAGGACAGGCCGAGCAUGAUCGAGAGGCGAACUAUUCACUGUCCGCCUUCCCCUCCACUCAUUAGUCUUUUAUGUCAAUUUAUUUAUCUAACAAAUUUUAUUUGUUUUCUCAUUGUAUCAGAGGUAAAGUUACCACCUAUAGUAAGGAGGUUACCAUACCCUGAUUCAAUCACGUAACCAAACAUGAUCUUGUACCAUCCUGUAUCAUCCUAUUCAAGUAACCAAAUAAAACCAUGUACCGUCCCAUUCAGACAACCAAACAUACAACUUGUAUCAUAUCAUUCAGAAUCAUUCUAUCCAGGUGAACCAUCCCAUACAUGUUCCACUUCAUUCAAGUAACCAAACACUACCCAAGAGAUCCAUUAUUCAUCAGGAUAAGCUAGGAUCGCAGGGGCUCGUUGCGGCUGUGGGUGUGGACCACCAUCUCUUCCUAGCUACCCGCCGCUGGCGGCCGGCGAGUGCAAGACUGGUAGGUUUAGGUAGUGUUUAGUUACUCGAAUGAAGUGGAACAUGUAUGGAAUGGUUACAUUAAGUAGCCAGCUUACAUUGAACAACAGAGCACAGUACUUGUGUCAGUAUAAAAAAGACUAGUGUAAGGCCAGCUACACAAGUUAGCUCGCAUUUCAUAAUUAAGUUUCAGAUUUCGUGCAAGGCCAGAUACUUUAGCACUGCACUCUUGAUGUACCGAAAGGAAGAUUAACAUAUAAGUACAAUACCGAAGUAAUGACUAUGGAAAUAGGCUUAGAAAUACAACUGGAAGCUAGGUACAGUGCAAUAAACCUUAGUGCCUCAUCAUAGCUCCGUUAGCUUCCAGGAAAGUAUAAUGCUGUAUUUGCAGAGAAAAAAAAAAUCACCUUCUAGUGGUGAUCAAGUACGCGAGAUUCUUGCAGUUGCAAUAGAAACAUCUGCCAAACCGGUCCCAUUUGACCACAAUAGCAGCUGCAAAGCCAACGCCGAAGCCAAGCCCAACGAAGAGAAACAAAACCACAUCAAUAUGACGAGAAGACUUGUGCCCAUGUGCCACACCUGGAGGGUGAGGUGAACUACCACAAGGAAAUUUUGGCAAUUGCAGCCCACACAAUCCAGCAUUCCCUUCAAAUGAGCUGCUGUCAAAUGUAGAGAACUGACGUGACUGCGGUAUCUUCCCCACCAAGUGAUUGCAUGACAAGUUUAGGGAGCCAAGAAAGGUGAGAUCAGUUAGCUCUUGUGGAAUGUCCCCUGAGAGUUGGUUGCAGGACAGGUCUAGUGACUCCAAAUCAGUCAUUGCUUCGAAGUUGGGCUGGAAUUUUUCCAGUGAAGGCAUUGUGUGACAGAUUCAGUACGCGUAGUGAUACAAGGCUUCCAAAUGUUUCAGGAAUAGUACCCUCCAAACUAUUUUUUGAGAAGUCAAUUGCUGUUACGGUAGUCAUUCCAAAUCGCAUAUCUUCCCCCUUGUACAUGAUCUCAAUAGAAUAUUGAUAGAAACGUUCUUCUCCGUGUAAGGUGUUUAGAGUUUCGAGAGUUUUCCCAGAACUAUUAAACUCUGCCAUCAUUGACUUUAACUGCUUGAACCAUUGUGGCCUCAAAGUACCAGAGAAGUUGUUUGAGGCAAGAUCGAUAAUUUGCAAGCUAGGGAAACAUUCCUCACAUUUUGUGUCCCCAACAAUAUCACCUAUGGUGCCAUACAUUUGGUUUGAUCUCAGGACGAGUACAAAAAGCUUGGGAAGCCCCCUCAACCAAGGAAAAGCAUCAGCUAUUUUGUUGCUUCCAAAGUCUAUAACCUCCAAGUCUGUACAGUUAGAAAGGCCCCUAGGAAGCCUCCCUUCGAUCUUAUUGCCAUGUAAAUCUAUCGUCUGUAAAUGACAUCUUGUUGUUAUAUUGGAAGGCAGCAUCCUUUGCAAGCGAUUCUGCCUCAAAUUUAAAACACGUAAGUGGAUAUUUUCUAUAAAACAAGGUGGAAUCGGGCCAUUAAGGUAGUUAUAUGAUAGAUCAAGGGCAUCCAGCUCUGUGGCAUUGCAAAUUGAGGGAGAUACAUGGCCGUGUAUAGGGCCAGAAAGCUGGUUGAAAGAGAGAUCAAGGUGAGUUAAUAUAGGAAGACUGAAAAUAGAUGGUGGAAUCUCCCCUGGAAGGACAAUAGAAAACAUUAAGUUAGAAAGUGUUUCCCCUUCUACAAAUUGAAAUCAGAAGAUGCUACCUUCUAUUUUGUUCAGAACAUGAAUACUUGACCCUUUCUCAAGAAAAGUAAAAGUUGAUAUCGUACCAUAGAAAUAUAUAUCCCAAGUUUAUUUAUUUUAUUUUGAGAAAAUUGCAUUACUAGUCUCUAAAUAAAUGGCCAAAACUUGUGUGGUAACCUCGCCGACCCUUGCACUUGUUGCAAAUUACUUUCCCAACCCCCUCAUCUUUGUUGUGCCACGUGUUAGGCAAUGGUUCGAUGCUGGUUCAACUCAUUAAUUUGCUAAUAGUGGGGUGGGUGAGAUUAGUGUGCAAGUUUAAGGACUACCGGAAGAAUUUAGUGCACCUACGGACCAUAGAAUUUCAUAAUCGUAGGACCCAUGAAGCUGAAAUGAUCCGGACCCAUCAUGGAUCAUAAUUUUAUGGUAUUAUGAUUUAUGAUACCCAGUGUAUAGUCCUGUACCAUCAAAAUGAAUUGGUAAGAUCACUUAUAUAGGAUCCCCAUCCGAACAUCAAAAUUUGUUAAUAUCUGAAAUUAAGUAAAUCCAUGAGUAAUUAUAUAUGUUUCUUCAGUUUAAUUCAACAUCUUUUACUCUUUGCAUGACAUCUGACCAUUAAUUGUUUUAAAUUAUGAUUAGAUAAUGUUUGGAGUUAAGUUGAAAUGUAGAAUUGACAUUGACAUGAAUAAGUGGACUUGAGUUUACAAGAAUUAAUAAAUUUAUAAAAAAUAGCAUUGUAGAUUUCUUUUCAAGAACUUGUUUAACUUUUUAAUAUAUGCAUUUUUUACUCAUUACGCUGCAAAAUCCUCCCCCAAAGUUCUUGACACAAUGUCAAACUCAUUUGUUGUGUUUAACCUCUUGCAAUGAUCUAUAUAAGCUGCCAGCUUUUGUAUAAGAGGGCCGGGGUUAGAGAAGUAUAUCGUGUCAACUGCACCAAUGAAGUUAUUUUAGAGUAAACUAGAGCAAAUGAGAAGCUUUAUGAGCCCUAAUACCCAUUUAAGAUUUCCAUUGUUAAUUAUUUUAGUAUUCAACAUUGAGUCAACUUUUCUAAAUAAAAGUUGAUUAGGCUUUUACACAUAGUUUGAAUCAUAGUUAAAUGAUUUAGAAUGAUAUCCAACUUGAAUCAUAAAGUAUACAUUUAGAUGUUUCACAUAGUUUGGCUUUUCUAAAAGUUAAAUGUUUAAAUGAUAUCAUUUAUACUUCAAUAUUUACAAUUAAAAUAUGGAUAAAUUAUAACUCGGUUUUCCCUAAUUAUUGAUAAAAUGACCCAUGUCAAUAUGAAUGUGUUUUCUAAAUAAACUUUGUCUAGCCCAACACGACAGAUGUAUUAAUUCGAUAAGAUGUGUUCAUCUUUCUAAAGUUAAGUGUGUAAUGGGUAUAAUUUAUACAUGAACAUUUAUGAAUAAAAUAUGAUAAGGUUUUACCUCAGUUUUUGUAAAUAAAGUAUAAUUUGCAUUAAUUCCAACAUAGGUUAUUUUUCUUUCUAUAGUAUCCUUCACAUAUGUUUUGUUAAUUAAAAUAAACUGGGUGUGACAAGAGCAAUCUUGGUUCAAAUCCUAUAUACUGCACAUGUGCAUAUUUUGUGUGAGAAAUUGUAUGAUGUGUGACAGCUAGAAAUUUGCUAGCUACAUAUACCUAACUUUUUAUGCGCGGGUGCGGCUGACUAGCUUCUCCAGAGCAAGCAGACUCAUGCCCCUCCAGGUGUAGUUUGGUCAAGGAGGGAGCAGAGGCGCCGGCCACCUCAGAAAUCUGUCACGGUUUAACUUGUCACUUGUGGCAUGUCGGGCGUAGGGCUAUGUUUUUUUUAACUAAAUAGCACAGAAUGGAUAAUACAGCAUUUUGCAAUCGCAAAUAUGUGUGCGUUUGUGGGUAGGGGUAUUGUUACGUACCGUUGAGAGAAUUAAAAGAAAGAUCCAGCAUUGUUAGCUGGGUCAAAUUAACUAUUGAGCUUGGUACGCUUCCGGAAAAAUUGCAAACUCGAAGAACCAAAUUUGUGAGUUCACCAAUUGCAGCUGGCAUUGGUCCUGAAAACCCACAUGAUACUAUAUACAUGUUUCUCAAAUUUGUGAGUUGCCAAUUGGAGCCGGCAUUGAACCUGAAAACCCAGAAUGCUCGAUAUACAUGUUUCUCAAAUUUGUGAGCUUGCCAAUUGCAGGCGGCAUUGGUCCUGAAAACCCAACAUCCUCGAUAUACAAGUUUCUCAAAUUUGUGAGUUCACCAAUUGCAGCUGGCAUUGGUCCUGAAAACCCAACAUCCUUGAUAUACAAGUUUCUUAAAUUUGUGAGUCCACCAAUUGCAGCUGGCAUUGGUCCUGAAAACGUAGAUAAUAUAUGCAAGUUUCUCAAAUUUGUGAGGUUGCCGAUAGAAGAUGGCAUGGAGCCAUAUGUUGUGCAAUCAUCCAUUGCAAGUGUUUGCAAGCCCGUGAGGUUUCCAACUGCAUGAAGUACUGGCCUAGGGAGGUUGCAGUCUUGGAUUUUCAAGUUUUUCAAGUUCAUGAAGUUGCUAAGUAAGGUAGGCGGUACCCCAGAGAAGUUACAUCCAAAGAGUCCCAAACUUGUUAGGUUUUUGUGCUGGCCAAUCCAUGAGAAAAUUGGACCUAAGUCGCUUCCUGAGUCCAAAUCGUGGUCCAACUCAUUAUCCAAAAAACAAUCAAGGUCCAACUGGUGUAGAGACUCAAGUCUACCGAAUGCAGAGAGAAAAUCCAUAGAAAUUAAAUUCCUUUUAAGACCCAACUCCUUCAACGAUGUGAAAUUACUAGAAGGCGUUGGUAUGUCAUAUACCAAGUUGGUCCCAUCAAGUCUCAAAGUCUCUAAAGAGCUGGCAUUAGAAAAGUUUGGCACAUGGCCUGAGAGAUUCAUAUUAUAGGACAAAUCAAGGACCCUUAGAUUUUUUGAUUGAAAGGGUCUAGAUGGUAACGGCCCCUCAAGAUCUGUCUGAGAAAGUUGAAGCACGGUUAAAUUGGGAAAAUCCAUGAAGAACUCUGGAAAUGGACGACCACUAGGUUCAUAAAAGUUUUCUUGGAGUUUGAUCACAACAAGAGAAUGGAGUCUCGAGAGCGCUUUAUGAAUAGGACCACUCAGGUGACAAUCAGCUAAACUAAGUACCUGAAGUUGAGGAACAUAUGCAGCAAGAGAUGUGCCCCACUCUUCUCCACUAUUAGACAAAUCCACCGAGUCAAGGUAGAGCUCUCUUAAGUUGCUGAGGUUUACCACAAAGGUAUCAAAACUUGAUUCCCAUAAAUAGUUAUAAUAAUCAUAAUAGUUUGGACCAUAAAAACCGAGAGAAUAAUCAAUAUUGUAUGUUGAAAGAUCCAAUGAGAGAAGGUUCACUAGUUUACUGAUGCUAGGAGGUAUCUGACCAUAUAAUCCUGAAUUGGAAAGGUUUAGGUGGGUUAAAAAAGUGAACCUCUCAAAACCAGCAGAACGGAUGUUGUCUCCACCGAUGUCAUUCAUGCUAAGGUCGAGUCGCCGAAGUGAUAUGAGGCUGAAGAGUGCAGGGUCCAAGCCAUGACUUGACAAGCAACGGUUGUUGAGGUCGAGAAUGGUGACAUGGCCAGACGAAGGGUCACAGCCAACACCCUCCCAGAGACAACAGUCGGUACCAUUUCGCCAUGAUGAAAGCCUGGUGGUGGAUCUGUGAAGGAGAAGGACUUCUUCAGCUGGAGGAGCGCCUUAGCUUGGUUUGGAUGGCACAAAAAUGAGACAGGGAGGUGAGUGAGGUUACCACCAUCAGCACGGUGGGCAAUAGAGGUGGAGAGUAGUGUGUGUAGCUGAGCAAGAAAGAGCAGUAACACCCAGCCGAUGGAAGCCAUAGCAACUCAGUAUGAGCCGAUGAUAGGCUUACAAAGAGGCACAAGGCAGAUACAUAGUAAUGCGUGACAGAUUGUUAUGCAGCUUCCAGCUGCUGUCAAGUCUUCGUCCAUUAAUAAAUUAAUUAAUUUACGAGUACCAUGGCUAAGCUGUACGCAAUUGCGACACCUGAGGAGACUUGACUGUACCAUGGGCUAGCUGUACGCAAUUGCUACACCUGAGGAGACUUGAUUAGCCUUUCGUCAAAUGCUGUUGGUAUCAUCCACUGCUACAACAGUGACCGGUAAUUGGAAGUCUCACUAUAGCAAGACUUCCAAGUCAACUAAGCCGGCCGCUACAUUCUGAGGAAGGUGGAAUUGAAGAUCAAAUCAAGUUGGGCGUUGGGAUGAAUUAGUCCGCACUCCGCAGAUAACAACAUCGAAUAUGCUGAUCUGAUGAUGUGCUUCAUUUUCUUUUUGGUUGGAGUGGAGCGGCAUCAAGAUCCUACUGCUGUGGAAAACACUGACUUGACUCGUUUUAUCUCGCACAAAACGUGGCUGAAGAUGAUAGUGGUGCUUAAAGAAUCAGCGAGAAGGAGCAAGUAAAAAUGCAGUUGAGCUGCAGCUGAAACAUGUCGCGACGUAUUCCAGCCGCGGUAGUUCUCGUCUUCUCGAAGAAGACGUUGCAGUGUUCACGUCUAGAGCUCAUCCAAUCCAUAGCGUUCCUCCGGCCGAACCGUGCGAUACGAAGGAGACGUCGCGUCACAUGCAUGUUCCUCAGGUCGCCUUUGCCUACGACCAAUAAGACGAUGACACCAGAACCUUUUUGUUUUUUUUUCUAAUCAGCAGCUUUCAAAGCGGGUACCCGCGGACAGCGCUGACCGUGUCAAAUUUGGCGAGCAUUAGCCGCAGUUGCACUCGUCCACCACCACUGAUUGCUGAAGCUCCCUACAAUACAGGGUAAGGAACAUCUAAGAUCUGAGCAAGUAAAGUCAGGAUAUUUAACUAUUUGUCAUUCUUACGGAUGGUGCUCCUUCAAAAACAACUCUAACGAAUUCCUACAUAUCUGUCAUUGAAGAAAGAAUUAGUCUAAACUUUUACCAUUUUUGCAGAUGUGGUGAGCCACGUCCUCGUGCUAGCGUGAAUUGAGCUGGCAAUGACCAUAGUGCCCCUGCCUCCCUCACCUUAGCCAUCCCCUUCCCUCUAUCCUGCCACACCUAUUGCUGCAUGGUCUUUCGUUGUUGUGCGGCUCCUCUGUGGUACAUCGCAGGGGAGGAUACCACGACUUGGAGGUGCCGGGGGGGAGGAGGAUACCGUGUUGAUGCGCAAAUCUAGGUGUCCACUCCUUCAUUGAAGGAUAUCCAAACACGGCCUAUUCACAGACAUGGCCACUUAACUUUCAGCUUACAUCUCUUGAUGUGUAAUAUGGCUCUGUUUGGCAUGGCUCCAACUCCAGGUUUUGCUGCUCAACUUCGGCUGGAGCUAGCUUUGCUUGGAGUUGGAGUUGGAGUUGUGUGGAUGGGAUGUUUGGUAGAAGGGUACCCAGCUCCAAAAAAAGAGGAUUUUCAUAGUUAAUUGCCAUUUUUGCCCCCUGGCCCCACAUGUCAUCCUCUGUAAUACCAAUUUUUUUCCUUUUUUGUGAGCUUAUAUUCUUCCUUGGGACUGAAUCAGCUCGUCUGCUCGCCCAUGGCCCGCGAGGCCUGGCUCGAUUCACCCUACCCAAGCUAGUAACCAGAUAGAGUCAGCAGCGCACCGGAUGGGGGCUAGCAGUGGCAAACAGUUCUAGGUCGGCAGCAGGCGGAUCACAGGACGUUGCCGAUGCACGGGAUAGAGCUUGCGGCGUGUAGAAUGGGCGCGGCGUAGGAUGGGGCCAGCUGGCGACGUGCAGGAUGGGGUGCGCGGGGUGGGGCCAGCGGCGUGUAGGAUGGGUGGGCGGUGCGCGGGACGGAGCCACCGCACAGGAUGGUAGUGGUGUUGGAUGGGUUUAGCGGCGCGCAUGAUGAGGUUGACAUGUAGGACAAUGGCGGUGCGCAAGGGGAACGAUGGCUCCAGCCCUCACGCGCGAUGGCGGAGGCGCAAGGUGAUGGUGACGGCGCAUAGUUGGAUGGCGGCAGCGGCAAGGAUCAAGGAGCAGCGGCACGUGGGCUGAGGGUUGGGUCCUGGGCUAGGGGCGGCACAUGGGUUGGUAGUCACGAGGGAGAUGAAGGUUGUGGGAACAGAUGAAGCGGGGGGGGGGGGAUAGAACCGAAACAUUUUCUUGUGUAACCGACGGUAGUGGUGGGUAAGUAUCUUGUAACUCCACGUCUAGAUACGUUUCGCAGUGUUUUGGAUCUGUGAAAGUGGUGUUCUACGAAAAUGAACUAGAACUCCAAUAACUCCAUGAAGUUAGACUGCUUCAUUUUUUUUUGGAGUUGGGGUGUUUGGCUGGCUUUAUUUUUUGGAGUUCGGGUAUUGUUUUAUUUACAUGGCUUUCCUAUAUAUCUACCGAAAGAUAAUUACUUAUAUAUCGCCUGAUGUUUGAGACUGGUGCAGUGCAAAUAGACCAUGAAGACUGUGGGGAGCAAGAAAUGCAUGCACUGACUACAUACGUGACCAUGGAGUUGGACAAUGACACGUGUCAUCAACUGAAAUGUUGGACGUGGUGGGACAAGUGGGUGAGAGUGGCUUGUUUGAAUUUCAAUCUUUAAAAGAACUUUAUCUCUUAAAUCACAAGUUAUUUUUAAAUCUAUUUAAUUUGAACUGUGGCAUUUCUUUGAAUCGAUUCAACAAAUAAGGUCCAAUGAAAUAUUUUAAAUGUUUUUUCAAAAAAUCAAAUAUACUAGCUCAUGUUACAUAUACUAAUUUAAUAUUUUGAAUAUACAAUUUCAACAUUGUAAUUAAAUUGAUUCAUGUUUUAUAUAACAUGUAAACAUUUUGAAAUAAAAAAUUUUGAUCUAGUUUUUCCAAAAUGUUGACUUAUGGUUUGAAAAUUGUUGAAUAUAGUUGUUUCAAAUUGUUGAUCUAGUUUUUGAAAAAUGUGAAAUCUAAUGUUUUUGAAAUGUUGAUAUAUGUAUUGCAAAAUGCUGAACAUCAUUUUUUCAAUGUUGAUCUAGGUUUCAAAAAAAAUGUUCAAUCUAGUAUUUAAAAAAUGUUGAUCUAGGUUUUGCAAAAUGUUGAAUAGAGAUUUUUAAAAUGGGGAUGUAUGUCCGGCACAAUGUUGAAAAAAAAACAGAGUUGGAAAUCAAUAUACAUGUGUGAGACCAGAUACACAGGUUAGCUCACACUUGACAAUAGCGCAGGUUUUGUGCAAGGCCAGAUGCUUGAGCACAACACACUUAUUUACCCAAAAGAAGAUUAACAAGUACAAGAAGUAACAGCAGAAGAAAGACCAAAGUAUACCGCAACACCUCAUCAGAUCACAGAUCCUUCACUUUCACUAGAGCAUAAUUCAUUCCUUCGAAAGUCACACCUUCCAGCAGCGUUCAAGUUCUAGAAACUCUUGCAGUUGCAAUAAACCAUCUGCCAACCCGAUUCCAUCUCACCAGAAUAGCAGCUGCGAAUCCGACACCAAAGCCCAACCCGGCGAAGAGAAACAAGACCACAUCAACAUGAUGAAAUGACUUGUCUACCUGUGCAACACCAGGAGUGUAAGGUGAAGCGCCAUAGGGUAACUUUGACAGCGGUGGCCCGCACAGUCCAGCAUUUCCUUCAAAUGAACUGCUGUCAAAUAUAUGUGCAGAACUGACGCGAUUGCGGUAUCUUCCCCACCAAUUUUUUUUGAAACUGUAGACCCGGCUGAGAUUAUCGGACUUGUAUUAAUUAAUAGAGAAGAGAGUCACAGGGCCUAAGCCAAAAAUAAAGGAAAAAAUAUAUAUUGAAAUUACAAAUUGGCGGUGUGAAACGGCGAUCAUUCGUCGAUUUGGCAGAUAGAGCCUAAGUGCCUUGCUCCCACUAAAAUCCAACAUCGCGCCUCCUCCUUGAUUUUGCCGAGUAGUUGGUCGAGGCUUUUGAAUUUUUGUUGAAAAACUCUAGCAUUGCGCUCCUUCCAGAUUUCUCAAGACACCAGAAUGAUCAGUGAUCUGAAACCCUUCAGCGGGGUGCCACUCAUUGACCCUAGUUGUGUCCACCAUUGGCUCACAGAUGAAAUUGUAGUCCAAUCUCCUCUAGGCGGGAUGUGUGCAGCCGUCCACUCAAAUAUUUUGUCCCAGACUCGUAGAGCAGAUGCAAUAAUAUUUCGUCGUGCGAGUGACAAAGCAUGCAUACUUUUUGAUUGGGCCAUCCUUGCGUAAUCAAGCGAUCUUCCAUCCACAGUCUGUUUUGAUAGGCGAGCCAUGAGGAGAAUUUGCACUUCGGUGGUGCCCAUGUUCUCCAGAUUAGGUGCUCCAUGUCCGAGGGUAUUGAAGAUUGGAACCGCACCAUGUAUGCCGAAGUUGUUGUGUAUUCACCGUGCUUGGUCAGAUUCUAGGUGAUGGAGUUUGGUGUUCCCGGGUUGAGCUAGAUUGAUCUUGUUCCGGCUCAAAGGAGAGUCAAUUCUGAGAGAUGUGUCGUUGAUGAUAUGAUGGCCACAUUGAUGUCCUAAAUCCACCUGUCGUUGGUUAUGGCAUCCUGACCGUUCUUCUCUUGUUUUUUGAAAUUUUAUACACCGACGGCGCAAUAUUUCUUAGCGCUUCCCCCUGCAGCCAUACCGAGUCCCAGAAUUUGGCCUUCUCCCCAUCUCCUAACGUGAUGGUCAUUGCAGACGCGAACAACUUUUUAUCCUUGUCGUUGUACGGUGUUGGCAUACCGACCCACGGUUUGCGUGGUUCCUUCCAUUCGUGCCAUAACCAUCAUAGUCUCAAUGCUCGUGUGAACUUCUUUAGAUGCAGUAUUCCUAGGCCACCAAGUUUAGUCAGUUUGCAUGCUGUGUGCCAUGCCACUUUACACUUGCCGCCGACAAUCUGAUCUGCACCAGUCCAGAGGAAACGCUUCCUUCAUUUGUCUAUUUCUUCCAGUAUCGUUGCUGGGGCGUUUAGGGCAGAGAGGUAGUAGAUCGGUUGUGAUGAGAGGACCGCCUUGACUAGUGUUCUUCUUCCCGCUGGGUGAGCAUCUUGCCAGCCCAGUUGGCUAAUCUUGCGUUCUCUUUGUCGGAUAAUGUCUCAAAGUGAGCCUUUUGUAAUCUGCCUAGUGUAGUCCUAGGUAUUUGACUAGGAAGGUUGCUCUUGCUGCUGGGAAGGGGGCUAGAAUCGAAUCCAGCUCGAGUCUAUUGCAACAUAUGGGUGCUACCGAGCUUUUCUGAUUGUUAGUGAUUAGCCCGUUGACUUUGCCAAAUUUGUCUAACAGCUCUUUGGUGUUCCGAACAUUCGCAGUUGUCAGAUUAAUGAAAAUUACCGCAUCGUCCGCGUAUAACGAUAGGCGUAAGCGGGCACCACCGCAUCUCCUCCACCUCAAACCAAACCCUAGCUCCAAGCCGCACACGCUAACAUCGACACCCGAGCCACCGCAACCCUAGCUAGCCACACGCCGUCGUCGAUCCGUGCCGUCGCUGCAUUUCCGUCGCCAAGAAGACCCCCAGGAGCUUUGCCGCAAGGUGAGGAAGCCCCUGGUGUGGCUCUUGUGCGCUCCCAUGCCUCUCUCCACGCGCACGAGCUCGCCGGAGUUCGGCAAGCUCGGUUGGGCCGCCUCAUCGAGCCUCCGGCCGCCACUAGCGCCCAAUCCUCCUCCUCAACACCCUAGAUCAACUCUUCGUGUCUGUAGCUUUCUCCAGGGCCAGAUCCUAUUGAAAAUUGUACCUGGAAACUCAAUUCUGAGCAAAGUCCAGCAUGUCGCCGCCGCGUGCCGCUCGCCUCCGCCGCCCGCGCACCGUCGAUCUCCUCUCGGUAGCUGCUAGCCGUACGAUCUGCUUUCGACAGCUCAGAUCCAAUCUAAUCCGAGUCAAACCAGCCGCGUACCGGUCAAACCCCAUGCUGCGCUGUUCGUUUUUCUAAAGAGUCCCUGGGUUUCGAGGUUUUUGCACCUGAGGUCCAGCGUAGUUCAAAGAUCAUUAGAUCUAGGUCCUUUUUCUUCUGUUCUAGCCCCUGAGCUUUUGCAAAAUAGUGCCCACCAUCCUAGAUCCUCUCUUUUGCGCGUUAAACCUUUGGUUUAUCCGCGUAUUUAUGUUUUAGCCCUCGGUUUCUCCAAGCUUAGCUUCUGAAAGUUUUAAAUCUUUGCCAACAAGCUCAUGCACCUUGUUUAGUGCAUAUCUUUAGCGUUUUAGGUCCGUUUUCAGUGCUUCCUGUGUCUAUGAGUUUGUCUUUACGCAUAGAUUAGUUUUAUGAUCUUAUUUCUCUCUAUUGUUACUGAUUGAUGUAAUGUUUUCUUAUUUUAUUCCUUUGCUUGCUUGUAUGUGAUCGUGUGAUGGGUCAGAAGGACUGCAACUCGAGGGAUUCGGAGGUCAAGACUUUGAAGACUAUGAGCAGCUGGAGCAAAUCCAAGAAGCCAAGUUGUGCCCCUGUUCACAACUAAACCUAUGAAACUUUUUACUUUCCUGUUCAAUAACAUUUAUGCCAUGCACUUUAAGUUACAAACAUAAUGGAUCCUAACUAAGGAGUGACUAGUUUUAUUCCCAGUAUAUUGAUCAACCCGGGCUUACAUAAUGUUGGGUAGUACAUGCUUAGUUUCUCAACUUGGGUAUGGUGGUAUUAGUGAACUUGAUGGUUAAACUUGUUUUAUUUAUGCUGUGCUUUUCAUUAACACAAGAUCACCAUGCUUAAAAUUGGAACAUGGAGAACCACCCGGGAAAACAAUACAACCACAAGAACUAAAUGGAUCUGGUCUUGGCUAAUUAAUUAGAGACUUUAGUCUGGGGUAAUCUUACCGAAAGGGCAAGAGGGGCGGUGGCAGAUGGGGUAUAACCCGGUCCUCUUGUGAAGUGAGCUUUGCUAAGAUACUAUGCCCACUAGGGAGGUUUAUACUCUGCAACUGAUCUGGAAACCUUAGCGGGUUACCGCUUACUAGGGGAUCUUUGUAAAGACCUCGUAGCGUCCCUAUGCAAUCACACCUCGGUAGUGUGGUAUUGUGCCUAGCCCGCACAGCAUGGUUGGGUCUAAAGUUCUUUUGAACUUUUACGCGACUUGUGGGUAAAGAUGUGCAACCUCUGCAGAGUGUAAAACUGAUCGAUCAGCAAUGCUCACGGUCAAGAGCGGCCUGGACCCUCACAUGAUUAAAUUAUCGGAAGUUGAAUUAAAUUAUUGUUAUUUAUUUCUGUUAUCUUUAUUUAUGUUCAUGCUUAAUGUGGGUGGUAUAAACUUACAUUUAGUAAAUGCUAAUAAAACUUGACCAACCAAUUAAAAUGCUGACUUGCUAAUCAACCUUAGCCUAUCCUUGAACAGCCUUACACUACACAUUCCUCACGCUUGCUGAGUACCAACCAUAAGUGUACCCACCCUUGCUAAAACCGCUACUCAAAAUAAGUCAACGAUGUGGAGCUCUUCCAAGAUUGGGAGGAGUACUAGGCGUACGUGUUUCUCCAAUCAUCUGCCUGUGAAGUCGCCGUUUUCGUUGAAGAUCCGCUACGAUAAUAAUAUUCUUUUUGCUAUUCAGUUUAAAAGACUAUCGGUCAUGUAAUAAUUGUAUACUCUCUCUACGUUAUGACAUUGUCUUUGUUACUCACUGAAGUCGUCGCAUGUGUGUAAUUUGAUCCCGGUGCACAUGUAAUUUAUGCAUUAGUUUUGCAUUUAAAAUUGGGUGUGACAGAGAGAUACAUGGCCUUUUAUAUUGCUUCUGGACAUGCUGAGAUAUCUGGUGUCCCUAAGAUAGGAAGCCCAGUUGGGUGGGACGGAAGAGAAUCUGUUGUUGGAAUAUCCCAAGAAAGAAGCUGAUGCGUUUGGCAUUGGGAUCUGCCCUAAAAGCUUAUUGAAACUAAGAUCAAGCACUAGUAGUGAUUUACUAAAAGGGAGAACAUCCGAAGCAAGUUGCAUGCCCGUAAGCACGUUAUGCGAAAGAUUCAAAUAAUAAAGGCUACUACUGCUCCAUGUCUCCCAGAUCCGAUUUGGUAUAUCCCCACUGAUUUUAUUAGAUGAAAGAUCCAAAUAUUGUAUAUUUUUAAGACGCAUCAAAGAUGUUGGGAAUCGAAUUAUAUUGCAAGACGCGAGCCCUAAAUAGUAAAGUCUGGCCAAAUAGGUAGCCAAAGGAUUAUUACCAUCUGCAUCCGUGACAUGCAACUCAUUGUAGGAAAGAUACAAACUGGUGAGAUCACUUAAUCUCCAAAAAUGGGAGAGGUUCACGGAACCUAUCAACUUGUUCGAGCUAACAUCUAUAUGUACCAAACUUGUUAGUUGAAAGAAGGCCAUGGGAAUAAAACCUGACAGAACAUUGUUGCUCAAGCGCACUUUCGCCAACCGUGAUUCUGCCUUGUCAAAGCCAUAUAUGGGGCCAGAAAGUUGGUUGUAAGAAAGAUCCAGGACACUUAAUGCAGGAAGACUGAAUAUAGAUGCUGGAAUCUCUCGUGCAAAGACAAUAGAAAACAUUAAGUUAGAAAGUCUCCUCUUCUAGAAAUAUCUGAAUUCAGAAAAUGAUGGCUCCUAUUUUGUUCAGAACAUGAUAAGUUAUGCCACUGAUACUGUACCAGCGAAAAAGCUCCCAAGCCUAGUUAUUUUAUCCUUAGAAAAUUGCAUGACAUGGACUCUAAAAGCCAACACUUUAUGUGGUUACACUUAAAGAGUGUUUUGUUUCACCACUCAGUCCAACUGCAGAACGUGCGGCUAGCGGCCUUCACGGAGGAGCAAACUGGAGCGCAAGAGGAGAAAAUCACCAGAAUCAAGAGAGCUGGGGUAGCAAAUCGCCCAUUUGUUCCUGUUUUGUUGGCGUGCUGUUUAUGGGUAGUGUUGUUUAUUUUUAGGUGUAUGCAAAAAGUAUUCUUGAUGAAAUAUGUUGCAUCACAUAUUCUAGAAUAAAAAAGUGAAAAUAUUGGUGCUCUGUUGAAUUUCAAUUAUAUUGCUGGAAUUCCUUCCUCCAUUUUUUUCUUUUUCCUUUUCUUCAAUUUUCAAUUAUGUUUGAUGGAAUUUCUUUGAUUCAAAUUCGACUAUAAUUUAUUGAGCUUCAUGCACCAAUCGGUUGCACCUAAAGUCUUAACCCGAUUUGGAAGGACGAUAGUUCUAUUAUACUUCAACAUAAUUAACACUCAAAUUCCAAGGAAAACCACUUCAAAUCCCAACAGCCAAGUGGAGCCACAUGGGUAUAGUGGGGAUUUAGGACCUCAUGUUAUACUUGUGCAUUUAACAAAGGUUAGCAACUCUAUUAUAUUUUAAGAGUUUAGGAAUCUAGAUGACUUCAAGGAAAAAGUUCAGAGAUCGAUAAUCAUUAGGAAUAGCCAGACUUUUGGUCCUACAUCGAUUCUUUUUUUCUUAAGCGGCUGGCACCAUUACACUGCCCGACAUAUAUUGAUAGGGUAGGAGGUCUUACAUCCAUUCCACUUGUACAGCAACUAGUGUAACUCAAGGGCUAAACAAUGUGCUCCAAAAAUGCUUGAACAAGUAAACACAAGCCUGAGCAUAUAUUGGGGCCGUUCGGUUGAGCUGGCUGCUGCUGUUAAGCAGCACAGCUGAUCAGCCGGCCAUGCAGCUGCUACAGCAGCGCAUCAGCUAGGCAGUGGCGCAUCAGCUGGGCAGCAGCGGCUGCAGGCAGCUACUUUUGUACCCAGCGAUCAAGUCAAGUUUUGAAAACAAACAAUGUUGUAAACUCAGUUGGAACUGGAUUAUAUAAAAGGCAAAAUUCAAUGAGCAAACAAAGGUCACUUUAAACAAUCAUUGAAAGAGCAAGUACAAAUAUUUUUUGAUUGAGGCUUCAGAAUAUAAUUGCAACAAAUUACAGUACAGAACCACAUUGAUAAUAUUCAGAUGACUAACCUAUUAAAAUAAGAUCACAAAUGCAUACCAUAUUUCAUGAUAAUGUGACCAGUGAAUCAUUAAUUCAUCUAAAAGACACAUUUUUUUUCAGCUCCUUCAGAAAAAAGAAAUACCGUGACAAGCAUUGCCGUCUCAGCUCCUUGAUUGUCUUUAAAAGUAACGUAGGCAAGCAGACAAACAGAGAAAUAGGCCCAAUAUAUUGACUAAAUAUAUGAUACAAGCACAACCACAUAUCUGCAGACAGUGAUAUGAACCAAAUCACCAGAAGCGCUAUCCAUAACUCUCAAACACCUCAUUUUAGUUUCCAAGACCUGGGCACCCUGAUAACAGUCUAGUCUAGCACAAAAUAAAUGGCAUGCAUAUUGAACUCAAGAGUACACAGGGCAUACAAUUAGAACAUUUUAGCCCUACCCUACAAUAGUUGAUCAGUGCUUUCUCAAGUCACAACAACAACAAAUUAGAAAGAAAUUGAUAGGUUAUAUUCAUAACAACAAAAUAGCAAAUUGAGAAAAUAUCUCCGUCAUGUCAACCCAUAAAGUCCCGCUGCAAUCCAAUCACGAACUUUACUAAUAUCAUCGUUGGCAGUAGCGGCAAACCAAUCUGAUGCAGGAUCAUUUUCAUCACUUGUCCUACUAAGAUAGGUCCCAUGAGCAAACAUGUCAGCACCAACCAUUCCCGGUUCGUUGUUGUCCAAUGCAAAAUUGUGUAGCGCAAAGCAUGCAACAAUAAUCUUUGAUUGCUUCUCCAUAUUAUAUAACGGUAUACCUCUUAGAAUCUGCCACUUAUUCUUUAGCACUCCAAAAGAUCGUUCCACAACAUUCCGAAGGCACGAAUGAUGGUAGUUAAAAAUUUCAUUCAAAUUCUCAGGACCUUUGGCAUUAAACUCCGAUAAAUGGUACCUGCCCUUGCGAUAUGACGCCAUAUAACCCUCACGCAGUGGGUAACCAGAAUCCACCAAAUAGUACUUUCCUACAUAUCAACAUUGUUAUACAAAUAGCAAUUUAGAUUGGCACUCCCAUAUGUUGCAUACUAUAAAACUUACAAACAACAUAAGAUCACCUUGGGGUGGGUGAGGGAAAUGCUCAGCUUGGUUUAAAGCCUCCCUCAAAAUAGCAGUGUCAUGCACAGCACCCUUCUUCCCCGUAGCGACAAAUGUGAACCUCAUGCCCAUGUCACAAACGGCUAAGACAUUCUGGCUGGUGAACCCCUUUCUAUUGAUAAAAUCAUCAUGUGCGUGCUCAGGGACUGACACCGGAAUGUGGGUUCCAUCUAUAGCUCCUAUGCACCCAUCAAAAUAUGGUGAGAAUUGAUGCAGCUUAGGAUGCACAUACCUGAACAGUGGAUCCAUUGGUCUAAUAAUAGUACGUGCAAAAGAGACCACGGCAUCUAACACUUCACCGAACUUCCGACUCACGGUGUCUAGUGACCUACGAAAUCUAUCCGACAUUUGUCUCUGGCAUUGUCUUGUGCCACAUGCCCAUAGGAACAUCCCUAAUGCCUCAACUGAAUCACAUUGUCGUGUGGAUUUUAGCCCAUGGUUGGACACUAAGAUUGAAUGCAACAACUGGAAUGCAGAUGGAUGGAGACGGAAAUUUUUGUAGCACUUCUUACUGUCAGCAAGGUUAAUAGCAACCCAUUGACGCCCAGUCAACUCCUGCAAGUGCAACGGACCAUCUUGCAUGCCACAUGCACUUGAGGUAGACGAUGCAUACGCAGCUAACACACCAAUGGUUGCACCCAUGUACCACCAUGUAGACCCCUCAUCGUUCAACCUUGCUGGUGAGGUGCUGGUGUUGCUCGAAUUUUCGGAGCUUGACUUUCCUUUCAUUUUCAGACCAUAACAGUGAUCAGUGGUCCCAGCUUCUGUAAUCAGCGAUCUGGAACAAAUCUGAUUCUUUGUUAAGCCUAGAUAUGCUAGUUUCAAGACGACAUAUAAAAAGCAUGCCAUGUUUUCUUAUCUAAGAAUCUCUAAAACAAAAUAAUAGCAUAUUCAGUACCCAUCUUUUAACAUGUUGUGCCCCUUUUCUUUUCUUUCAAAAAUCCUAAGUACUUAAAUAUGGAAAUAUGAUUUCAUUGCAUACCUUUACGAUCCAUUUGACCUUCACUUGUUGAUAGCCACCUCAUUCAUCGUGAAGACCUUCAGGCUGUAAGGUUGUAAACAAGAAUUUCCAAAAUGUUAAAAACAACAGUAGCAGCAUCAUACUCAAGUGGAACGACACAAAUUUAUAUGGAUUAGUAGCAUGAAUAAUCAAGGUCUAACACAACAUAAUUCACAUUACAAACAUGAUGCCACACCAUGCCAUAGUCACAGUACAAAUACACACAUUCCUAGGUAGAUGCAAAUACAUUGUAAUCAUGGACCGGUAUUACUUCCUCUUGACAUUAUCCCAAGUCCAUCGGAGCCAUGCAAUCCGGUUCUCUGAAGCGGUAAUGCUCCUAUAAGAUGCACGUCGGGCUGGUGAUCUAAACAGCUCAGUAGCUAUGAAGUACAACUCAGACCCAUUCGGUACACCAUCUUGUUCGACAAGGUGCAGCAUUUCCGUAACCUCCUCUUCCUCACGGCUGAUUAGAUUUCUUUCAUUCAUAGUCCUUUGAAUCAUGCUCUCAGAUAUACGCUCGACAUAGUACUCCAUGCUCUUAGUUCUCUUGGGUGAUGGGCUAUCAACAACAUGCUCCUUUCCGGACCUUUGCGACACACGACCCACACUAGACCGUCCAACAGUGUCCUCCAACCAGUCAACAUUUUCAUCCACCAUUGGGUCAGGGGUGUCUUCACUUCCACAGCUUGGUGUUCUAUCUUCAAUUCCACCAACACACAACAUUGGACCGCCUUCAAUGUCCGUUGUCCCGAAAAGAGUGGUUAACUCAUCAUAGAAUGGAAAUGUCUUGCCACGGAAAUAUUUGUUUGCCUCGUUCUCCUAGAAGUCAUAAAUAGGAAAUAUGUAAGCAUGAGGGCAAUCCGAGGUCAAAGCCGAAGGUAAAUGAUAGAAAGCCAUAAUUAUUAGGACAAAAAGUAGGUAACUCAAUUCGGGCUGCCCACCAUUCAUCAUCGCAAUCAAUGGUGCGGGUACUGUUGUUCCACCCGGUACCACUCUUGUCCUUUAGUUUCCUCCAAUCCUUGUAUUGCCUCUUAAAGGCAUUAAAUUUGUUCUGAAGCUGUUUGCAGGAAUAUUUCCUGCCCAUCUAUUGUUUGAAAUUUGUAUACAGGUUGUGCCAACCUACCUUGGUUAGGCCCCUUUUGUUGUAGUUGAGCUUGUUCUUCUCAUCAAUGCAAAGGUCUAGGAAUAUUUUUGUAGUGUUAUCAUCCCAAUUGGCACGACCUGCAUCCAUCUGUGUGCUACUUUGAAUUAUAUGCCUUCCUAAGUACAAGGUGCUACUUUGAAUUAUAUGCCUUCCUAAGUACGAGGUUUGUAUGCCACACACGCAGUAGCAAUGACAACAUGCAAGAUACGAAUCAACAUUUAUCACAAAGGGAACAAAAAAGAUGGAACUGAUGCUUGCCUCAUUGUGCUUACGUCUUGCAGGAGUUGUACACAGCAGGAACCGAGGGGCUUCAUGUGGAGACCAUGACGAUGUAGAGGAGUUUGCCAGUGCUGCUGCCUGUGGAAGUUUCUUUUUUUGGCACACAAGGAAUGCUCUCCUUAGCUAGAGUCGUAUUUACUACUGUAAAAAGAAUAUAUAAAGUGAGAAAAAUUUAAAAGUCAGCCUAAACAUUGUCAUAUUUUAAUGCAGGAAGUAAAUAGUAAUGAGCAAAAAAAAAGAAGAAUAAUAUUUACUGUCAAAAGGGAGGAGAGAAUUUACAGUCACCUAAUUUUUGCAGGCACUUCCCAAUUCCCACCCACUGAAUGUUACUGAGUGGAUUUAGUGGUUUCUAUCACUAAAACUAGCCACUAACAAGAUGAAAGCAGCAGCAGUGCAGAUGCAAAAUAGCAAUGCCCGUGGUGGUGAUGGCCGCAUUUGUGGCACUCCAGAGUAGCAGCAGUGCAGGUGCACCGUCCAGUUCAGUCAGAUAGAUGAGCGUCAGUUGAUUUCCGAGGGCAAGGCAGAUCAAGCUGGCAAUGCAACAUGCAGGCAGAGGUAGCCAACAAUGCAGCCCUUUCAAUUAGAGGUACUGGUCAGUGCAGCUGACAAAAGCACACCAGUAGUAUGCAAGUUCAGAGGUGGUCACUUGAGUUUCAGAUUUGGAACACUUUUGCCUCUUUCUAAAAAUGAGCAGUAAGUAAAAUUGGUGCAAUGGAUUGUUUGCCUGGCGUCUUACUGCCUAUUCUAGCAUAAUUGACCUGAACGCCCCUAAGGUUGAGCAUAGCUCAUGUUUGUUCUGAAUACAGGGAGUCAAUAAGUCUUAUAUAUUUUGUGUUUGCUAAAUAAAAAUUAUAUUACAAUACUACCAAAUGCAUAUAAAUAGAAAGAUAAUAAAUUAACCAAAUGAUAGAUCGGUCUAGUCCGAAACAUCUGUUGGAAACACGCCGGAGUAACUCCGAAACGUCUGUUGGAAACAUGCCGGAGUAACGACUCCCAGGUCGCCGGCGAGUCUCCUGGCCAAAGCACAGGGACACACACGCACACACAGGUAGACACUGAAUUGGUGCUUGCUAACUUGGCCCUCUUCCUUGGCCUUUAUGCCUUGUAUUUAUAGACUAUUACAAGGAAAGUAAUCAGGGCUUCAAUCAGCCCGAUGCACACAGCCACACAAUUGCUAACUGUCUAUUUGCCAGGGCUGUCAUGGAACAUUACAUUUCUGUAGAUGAUCAACAACCAUUACCAUGAGUUACCAUUACAACAAUAUGCUCCUGUCGUCCAACAUACACAAGAUGCACUUACAGUACAGAGCAGAAUAAUGGGAAGCCUUCACACUUCACACUAGUGUAGCUAACAAAAUUGAAGGCACAUGAGAUCUUACUGCCUACUCUACCAAAAUUGACUCAAUUACGCACGAUAUAAGAGGUUACUGCCUAAUGUAAGGCAAAAGAGAUCUUACCCCCAGGUUCUCUGUUGAGAUGCACAAAAUCUAGCAGCAUACAAAUGUAGAUCGAGAAUGGAGAGGAUUGGCGGAGCUGGGUGGACCGGCGAUGGUGGGACGGAGCGGCGGGGCGGAGGUCGGCGGGGGCGUGGCUGGCCGGCGCCGGGUGAGGGGCGGAGCUGGAUCGGGCGCGGACGGUGGGGCGGAGAGGAGGGGCAGAGAGGAGGGGCCGCGACGGCGGGGCGGAGGCCGGCGGGGGCGGGGCUGGCCGGCGGCAGGGGAGGGGCGGAUGUAGGUGGGGCGUCGACGGCGGGGCGAAGAGGGGCGGCGACGAUGGGGCGGAGUCUGGCGGGGGUGGAGCUNNNNNNNNNNNNNNNNNNNNNNNNNNNNNNNNNNNNNNNNNNNNNNNNNNNNNNNNNNNNNNNNNNNNNNNNNNNNNNNNNNNNNNNNNNNNNNNNNNNNCGGCAGGAGGCCCGAAAUUCAAUCUUCCCAUCGGAAUCUGGGAAAUGUAAGGCCGCGGAAAUGGGCCAGAGUCUGGCGGGGGUGGAUCUGUUUUGCGGCGGGGGAGGAUUGGAGCUGGGUGGGGCUUCGAUGGUGGGGCCGUGCCGGCGGGGGCGGGGGCGGCCGGAGGCGGACUGGGCGGCGGGCGCUGUUCGGGAGAUGCAGGACCUGGACAGGGAUUAAGUGCAGCUGUUCGGCUGCCUUGCUGGGCUGUUGCUGUUGGGCCGCAGCCGAACGGCUAGGCUGCACAGCAACAGCUGCAGCCGCCCAAGUAGCUUAAGCGAACGGGCCCAAAAAAAGACACGGGAGACAAUAUUCACUAGUAGAGAAUUCACCUUCUAUACGUCCCAUUUUGUCCCGGUUUAAAGUUGGCCCGGGACAAAAGGUUCACCAACCGGGACUAAAGCUCGAUCACUGGUGGGGGGCUCACCAACCAGGACCUUUUAUCCCAGUUGGAAAGGCUAGUGGAAAAAAAAACCCUGAGAGGCCUUUUAUCCCGGUUUGAAACAUCAACCGGGAUAAAAGGGUCCCCACGAGUUAAUACAAAAAGAUUGCAUCCCCUAUAUAGUCAGAUGUGCUGUGUAGGUGGGAUGGCAAGGAAGCUACGCGCGAGGGUGGAGGUUGCGGGUUCGAAUCCCACGCAGUGCGCACGCGCAUAUUUUGCGUGAAAAAUCGCGUGACUUGUGACUUGCGACGUGUGGGGGGCCCUCCCGGGAUUUCUUUUUUCUUUUUUGCAGCGGGGAUAAAAGGGGACCCGGGACAAAAGACCCCCCCCCUGUCUCGGUUGGUUUAUCUCCGGAUGGAUUUUCGGAAGAUUUGCAUCCUAGCAACCGGGACUAAAGGCCAAUUCUCUACCGGUGAUUAUUGUUACCUUGGAGAGAAUUAAAUGAAAGUUCCAGCAAUGUUAACCUAGUCAGAUUAGCUAUUGAACUUGGUAUGCUUCCAUAAAAAUUGCAACCUUGAAGAACUAACCAUUCCAACUCACUAAGCUGGCCGAUUGCAUAAGGUAUCAACGACCCAAAAUUCUGAUGGCCUAUUGGGCAAGGUGUCGGAGACAGAGAAUUAUAACCAAGAAUACGCAUGGAUUUCAAAUUAGUGAGGUUACCAAUUGCAUCCGGUAUUGGUCCUGAGAACCCACAAUUAUUUAUAUACAUGUUUCUCAAAUUUGUGAGUCCGCCAAUUGCAGCCGGCAUAGGCCCUGAAAACCAACAAUCAAUUAUCCACAUGAUUUUCAAUUUUUUUAGUUUGCUGAUUGCGGUCGGCAUUGGCCCUGAAAACCCAGAAUCAAUUAUACCCAUUUUCCUCAAAUUUGUGAGGUUGCCGAUAGAAGAUGGCAUGGAACCAUAUGUUGUGCAGCGAUCCAUUUCCAGUGUUUGCAAGUCCACGAGAUUCCCAAUUGCACAAAAUACUUCCCUAGGGAGGUUACAAUCAACCAUUUCCAAGCUUCUCAAGUUCUUGAAGUUGCUAACCAAGGUAGGCGUUAUCUCAGAGAAGUUACAUCCAUAGAGUGCCAAAUUCAAACUCAUUAGGUUCUUUUGCUGUCCAAUCCAUGAGAUAAUUGAUCCUAACUCAUUGAGUCCAGCGUGAGGUCCAACUGGCACAGGGACCUAAGUCUACCAAAUGAAGAGAGAAAAUCCACCGAUAAAUUCCCUCCGAGACUCAAAUGCUUCAAGGACUUGAAAUUAUUAGAAGGCAUUGAUCUGGCAUAAGAAAAGUUGGUCCAGUCUAGCCUCAAAGUCUCUAAAGAAUUUGGAUAAGAAAAGUUUGGCAAAUGCCCUCCGGAUUAUUGGACAAAUCGACAACUCUUAAUUUUUUUUUAUUGGAAGGGUUUGAUGGGGAACCGCCCCUCAAGAUAAAUACUAGAAAGUUGAAGCACAGUUAAAUUGAUAAAAUCCAUGAAGAUUUCUGGAAAUGGACCGGCAGUUAUAUCACCAUUUCUUUGGAGGUUGAUCACAACGAGAGAACGGAACCGCGAGAGAGACUCAUGAAUAGGACCACUCAGGCUGCAAGUGGCCAAGCUGAGUAUCUGAUGUCGAGGAACAUGUGUAGCAAGAGAUGUGCACCACUCUUCUCCACUGGUAGACAAAUCCACACUGUCAAGAUAGAGCUCUCUUAGAUUACUGAGGUUUGCCACUAGGGCAUCAAAAUCGGGUCCCCACAGAGAGUUAGAAGUGACAAUAUAGUAGGAGCUGUCGGAUGUGUCAUAAGCAUCAUCAUCAUCAUCUUCAAAGGACUGGAAAGAUCCAACGACACAAGGUUCACGAGUUUACCGAUGCCAAUAGGUAUCUUGCCACACAAGCCCAAAUUGGAGAGGUUAAGGUGAGUUUGUUGGAAAAAUAACGUGGUGGUCAAAAGACCGAGAGGAAAAUGGGAAGGAUAAGAUUGACGCCCGACUCCGACUCCCUCGCGCACGUCCACCCCGCGCCUCGAUCGGAGGUGCAACCGAACAAUUGGUUGCGGCCCCGAGCGACCCGGCCCCGAGCGACCCAACUCUAUAAGAGAAGGGGGCCGGUGGGUUUGGAACAUGCCAACGCACCAAACCCUACUCACACCCCCUACAUGCCUCCCGAUCACAGUGGCGUUGGAGUUGCUCGAAGGCCGUCGCCACACCACCAUUGCCGUCUGUGGACAGAAGAGGUGGAGACCUGAAGGGAGACGCAAUCUACUCCGAGCUAGUACACCUAUGGCACCCGUCAUCCCGGCCUCGUCCACGACCCUAAUGGCCGGAUCGUCACAAGCAGUGGCAGCUGGUUGUACUCUAACAUCUUCAUUGAGUGGUGUUCAUGUUCUAGAUGUGCAAAGAUCCUGUUUUAGUUAAGAUUAAGUAAUGUAGAUUCUUACAUUUGGUAUCAGUUAGUCAAUCCCAUCUAGACUUGGAUCCUAAGGCUGUGUAGAUUGAAUCUUAGUGUGCAAUUGAGUUGAAUUGUACUGGUUUUCUAUGUUCUUGAUCUACACAGUAGCUUUCUAGUACGAAUUGCUAUGCUAUUAGGCUUAAUCUUCUUCAGCUACAUGUCAAUGUUCAAGUUUUAGUUCACUGACUUGAUCUGUUAAGUCAGAUUAGACCAAAUUAGUUCUCAGUUAGCCUAAUUCCAUGCCUAAGCUACUAGAUCAGUUCUUAAUUAAGUCUAAAAUCAAGGUUAAUUAAGUCAAUUAAGUUAGUCUCUAUGUUUAAGUUCAGUUAUUUAGGUCGAGGUCUACUGUUUUCCCCAAACCCCACUGUCUAGCUCCAAUCUGUGCAAUUAAGUCCUCAAUCAGUAAAAUUGGACACGCAAAAGCAUGUAGAAGGAGAGGAAUUGGGCGAAUUUCAGGUCGAAUUAAGGAAAACCCAAAGAAAAUCCCCAUCAGAAAUCCUAACCCUAACUCAAGGAUAAGAACUUACCUCGAAUCACGACGGCCGCAUAGGGCAUGAUGGCCGCUGCGUGUGGAUGCCGGCGUGCACCUCCGCUGAGCCACACCGGCCAUAAGCACGCACAUGAACAAGUCAAGCCGCGGGCCCGGAUGCGCCUCGGUCUCCUUCCCGUGACCCAACCCGCGGCAUCAGAUCCUCCACGCACGAACCUGUCGACGCCGCGGCAAGCUUCAGGUUAGCUCGCCAUCACCGGUCUUGCGGCCGACCGCGCCUUCUGCUCAGUCACCCCCUACCAUGGAAAAGUGCUCCAGUGGAGCCCCCUGACGGCGCGCCGCGCGACUUGGUCGCAUGCACGCGCCGGUGGGAGGGCCCGCAGAGGCAUGGGCGCAGGGUGGCGGCGCAGCUCAUCGGCGGCUGCUGCUCGGGGUUGGGGCAGAAGCAGGCAGAGAAGAGGGGAGGGUUGCAGUGGAGACAGGCAAAAAUGGCCUAGGGUUCGGGAGAGGCGCAGCGCUCGCCGGUUUUGUCCCACCGAAACUCGCGCUCCGCCGUCGGAUGCAACGGAUGGCUUAGAAGAGCGCGGACAAGCGCAGCGCGCUGUUGGGCCAGAUUGGCGGCCCACCCAUUGGCUGCUGGGCUUAGAGUCUAGGCCGGCGCGAGGAACCCGGCAUGGGCUGUUAGCUGGGCUUACUCGGACCAUGAGAAGGCGCGGGCCCACUUAAACUCUGUGUGGCACGUGCUCUUUAGGGCCAUGAGGAAGGAACGCCGUGCGCCAUCGUUCUUGCACGAUUGGGCUGCCUGCGAGCAGGGCUUGCGAAGGUCGUUAGCUAGGCGCGGACUGGUUGUUUUGCGCUGGGCCGAUUUCGGCCACUAGCGGGCUGCUGCUUUUUUGGCUCGCACGGGCCGUCAGAUCGCUGGCAGGCCAGCGGGCCAUUUUGCGCUUGCAUCAGUUGGGCCGUCAGUUGAUAAGUGCGCACUUGGGCUAUUUCGGGCCAAUAAGGGGAGGUAGCUACGGGCCAAAAGUUGAGUUUGCGCUGGUUUUAAGAUUGAGCACGGUCCACUGUUUCUCCCAUUUGUUAUGCUAAUAAGUGUCUAAGUUGCACAUAGUUAAAUAAAAUAAUAUUCUGAUUAAAUUGAACCAACACGAAAUUUAUUUCACAAUUAUUUAUUAAGGCAUGCAAUUAAUUUCUGACCAAUGUUGAUAUUAAUUUGAUAUGCAUAAGUGUUUUAUUUAAGUUUUAAGUUAUUUUGCUUCCGCCCAACAGUGAUGCGAAAUUAAUUCAUGUUAUUUUAUUUAAGUUUUAAGUAUUUUGCUUCUUCCCAACGGUGAUGCAAAAUUAUUUCAUAUCAUUUUAAUUAUGUCUUUGCUUCUACCGAAUGGUGAUGCAAAGUUGUUUAUGUUUUUAAUCGAGCCAACGCAGAUUAAAUUUAUUACUUAUUAUUGUUAUCAUUACUAAUUGAAAUUCUCUCAUUUACUCAGACUUGACUCCAUCAAGCAUCAUAAGCUAUGUCAACAGUACAGAGAAGCUUGGAGGAGACAACUUCACUAAUUGGAAGAACCAGAUUGGAUUGGUCCUAUGCAUUAUGGAUCGGGACCACUUCAUGAGGGAGAAUCAUCCUGUUGCUCCGACUGCUCAAGGGGAUAAUGAUAGUACCCUUCCUGAGCGCACUGCUGCCUAUGAGAAGGAAAAAGAGCGGUAGGAGCGAUCAAACAGGGUGGCCCUAAUGAUCAUGGAGCGGACCAUAAACCUUGCAAUAAGGGAAGCUAUUGAGAAAAAUCCCAAAAGUGUCAAACAUUUUAUGGAGAAGGUUGAGGAGUACUUCAAAAGCUUCAGUAAGGCUAAUGCUAGCACCCUCCUGACUAAGUUAAUGAACACUAAGUAUGAUGGGCAAGGCAAUGAAAGGGAGCACAUCAUGAGCCCCGUUGACCUAAGGGAUAUGCUCAACGACUUGAAUUGCCCUCUUAAUGAUGAGACACUGCUUCACCACAUCAUGCUUUCGCUGCCCUCAGUGUUUGAACCCUUUAAGAUAAACUAUAAUGGCAGCAACAUGAAGUGGGAUAUUCCCACACUCAUCAUGAAGUGUUCUCGGGAGGAAGAAAGGCUCAGAUCAGAGAAAGGCAAUUUUGCCAACCUCAUCAGGCAUGAGGUAAAUAAGGGAAAAAAAUAAGCAAAUUGUCCCUUUUAAGAAAAUUAAGAAGCCUCAUCAACCUUCUCGUAAGAAUGAUGGGUCAUCCUCGUCUAAGGGUCCAAAAUGCCAUCAAUGCGUGGCCUAUGGGCACAUCAAGAAGCACUGUGAAAAGUUAAAGGAAUGGUGCAUAAAAAAUGGUAAUGAUGACUUUAUUUCUACAGUCGAUGAGUCCCUUUAUGUUGAUUUUUCAUUAAGUACAUGGUGGAUUGAUUCUAGGGCAACCAUUCAUAUUACUGAUUCCUCACGGGGAUUACAUGGCGCACAGACUAUAAGAAAGGGGACUCGCGCCGUUAAAGUUGCCAAUGGAGUUGAAGCUGAAGUUGAGGCUGUUGGAGAUCUCACUUUAGAACUUAGUAGUAUCUUUAGGCUUCAUUUAAGUAAUGUUCUUUAUGUACCAUCACUUAAGAGAAACUUGAUUUCUAUUUCAUCAUUAGAUUGUGAAGGUUAUUCCUGCAACUUUGGGAACAACAAGUAUGUAAUAAGUUUUGACAAUAAGAUUAUUGGUCAUGCCCCUUUACAUGAUAAGCUUUACUUGUUGCCUCUAAGUAUUAAUUCCUCUGUGACGAAUGUAAGCGAUGCCAACCAUAAGCGAAAGAGAAACAUUGAGACUUCGUCAAAAUUGUGGCACUUCCGCUUAGGCCACAUCACAUUUCGAAGGGGAGAAUGGAGCGUCUCAUUAGAGAAGAGAUACUUCCAAAAUUAGAUUUCUCUGACUUAGAUCAAUGCGUUGACUGUAUUAAGGGAAAAUUUGCAAAACAAAUUAAAAAGGAUGGAGCUAAGCAGAGUUCAGGAUUAUUAGAAAUAAUUCAUACUGAUAUAUGUGGUCCAUUUAAUGUAAGAUCAGUGGAUGGUUAUAAUUAUUUAAUUACCUUCACUGAUAAUUUCUCCCGCUAUGAAUACAUCUAUCCCAUACUCGAAAAGUCUGAAGCACUUGAUAAGUUUAAAAUCUUUAAAGCUGAAGUAGAAAAUCAGCAUGACUAAAAGAUCAAAGUGGUAAGAUCAGAUAGGGAAGGGGAGUAUUAUGGGAAACACUCCACAUAUGGACAAAUUUUGGGACCCUUUGUCAGAUUUCUCCGAGGUAAUGGUAUAGCAGCUCAGUAUUCCAUUCCUGGUGAGCCUCAGCAAAAUGGUGUUGCUGAGAGAAGAAAUCGCACCGUUAUGAACAUGGUGCAUAUUAUGCUAUGUAACUCUACGCUGCCAGUGAGUUUGUGCAUGCAAGCUUUAAAGACUGCCGCACACAUUAAUAAUUGUGUUCCUAGUAAGUCAGUCCCUAAGACUCCUUAUGAGCUUUGGACUAGUAGGAAGCCUAUAUGAAUUAUUUACAUGUAUGGGGCUGCGCAGCUGAAGUAAAGAUUUUUAAUCCACAACUUGGGAAAUUAGAUCCAAGACUGAAAGCUGUUAUUUUAUUAGAUAUCCAGAAAAGUCAAAGGGGUACCUCUUUUAUUGUCCUAAGCAUACCACUAAGUUUGUGGAGACAAGGCAUGUUGUUUUCUUAGAGGAAACUGGAUGCACUGAGGCUAGGAAAAUUGAUCUUGAGGAGAUUCGAACUUAUGAGCCGUUACCCAUAAGAUAGGAUUAUCAUACUCCUAUGCCAUAUACCACAGUUACAUCUCAGGUGGUGGAACUUCUAGUAGAAAAUGUGGGAGUAACAUCUACCUUAAGUGAUAAUGUAGAUGCACCUUUGAUAAGUGAGCAUCAAGGUGAGGAUGUGGUAGAACCUGCUGGUGGAUUGCAAGGGGAGGCAACUGAUGAGCCCGAGGUGAUUCAGCAGGAACCUGCUCAAGUAGAAGCACCACAGGAAGUAACACCACAACAUCUGAGAAGGUCAACAUGUGAGAGGAAGUACACCCGUUUCGAUGAGUAUGUGUACAUAAGUGAAGAAGGGCACAACAUGGGGAAGGUGGAUGGUCCAAACUCAUUUAAGGAGGCUAUAAUUAGUGAACACUUGCAUAAGUGGAGCGAGGACAUGGAAGAAGAGUUGAAGUCCAUGGAAGCAAAUAGAGUAUGGGACUUAGUAGAAAUUCCUGAAGGAGCCAAAACAAUAGGCUGUAAAUGGGUCUACAAAAUGAAAUAUGACUCUAAAGGGAAGAUCAAAAGGUUCAAAGCAAGACUCGUGGCUAAGGGCUUCACUCAAGUAGAAGGAGUCGAUUAUAAUAAAACCUUAUCGGCUAUCUCAAAGAAAGAUUCAUUUAGAAUCGUUAUGUCUUUAGUAGCUCAUUAUGAUCUUGAGCUACAUCAAAUCGAUGUUAAGAGUGCGUUCCCUAAUGGUGACUUGCAUGAGAAUGUAUACAUGAAGCAACCUGAAGGUUUUGUCGUGGAAGGCAAGGAAUAUUUGGGAUGCAAACUAUGAAAAUCCAUUUAUGGAUUGAAACAAGCAUGCAAAAAAUGGUACCUUAAGUUUGAUGAAGUAAUUAAGAGAAUUGGCUUCAUUGAAAAUAAGAAAGACAACUGCAUAUAUGUUAAGACUAAGGGGAGCUCUAUAAUCAUCCUAGUGCUUUAUGUGGAUGACAUCCUAUUAGCAAGCAGCGAUAAGAACUUGCUGCAUGAGACAAAGGGCUUUCUCUCAUUGAACUUUGAUAUGAAGCACCUUGGUGAUGCCGCUUAUGUCUUAGGCAUUGAGAUUCACUGAGAUAGGUCCAAGGGUGUAUUAGGACUCUCUCAAAGAGCUUACAUAGAGAAGGUCCUUGAAAGAUAUAAUAUGCACCAAUGUUUAGGCACAACUGCUCCAAUUGUCAAGGGCGAUAAGUUUGGGUCAUUCCGAAGUCCUAGGAAUCAAUUAGAAAUUGAUCAAACAAGAACGAUUCCUUAUGGUUCAGAUGUCGGAAAUAUAAUGUAUGCACAAGUGUGUACACGCCCUAACUUGGCCUUUAUAAGCAGGAUGCUUUGAAGCUAUCAGUCUAAUCCAGGAAUAGGCCAUUGGGAAGGAGUUAAGAAAGCUUUGCGUUACAUGCAAGCACUAAGAAUUACAUGCUAACGUAUAGGAGAACUGAGAAAUUAGAGAUAAUCAGCUAUUUCAGAUACUGAUUUUGAGGGUUGUGUUGGCACAAAGAGAUCCACAUCAGGUUAUGUCUUCACACUUGCAAAUGGCGUUAUAUCGUGGAAAAGCUCCAAACAAACAUUAACAGCUGCAUCGAUGAUGCAAGCUGAGUUUGUGGCAUGUUAUGAAGCUAUGGGACAAGCUGUAUGGCUUAAGAGUUUCAUCCUAGAAUUAAGAGUGGUAGACAGCAUAAGUAGGCCACUAAAAUUAUACUGCAAUAAUAAGUCAGUAGUUUUCUAUUCGAAUAACAACAAGUCAAGUGAUGCUGCAAAGCACAUUGAGAUUAAGUAUCUUGAUGUGAAAGAUAGAAUCCAAGAUCACACCAUUGAGUUAGAGCAUAUAAGUACUAAGAAGAUGCUUGUGGAUCCAUUAACAAAAGGCUUAUCUCCCAUUAUAUUCAGUGAACAUGUUGCCAGCAUGGGAUUAUCGGAUAGCUUGUGAUCUUGGAGGGUCAUAAGACAACUGCCUCCCAUCAUGAUAGGUAGUUUUAUACAUUGUGGACAACUGUGUCAUAGUGGGAUUUUAAUCAUCAUUGUCACACAUUAUCUCCCUGCAUAAUGCUGCUUUAAGAAUGGCAUAAAUUAUAGGCCUUUAGACCAAAGGGGAGAACGUUGGAAAAAUAACGUGGUGGUCAAAAGGCUGAGACGAAAACGGGAAGGAUAAGAUUGACGCCUCCCGAUCACGGUGGCAUUGGAGUUGGCCAAAGGCCGUCGCCGCACCACCAUCACUAUCCAUGGACAGACGAGGUGGAGACCUAAAGGGAGAUGCGAUCUACUCCGAGCUAGUACACCUACAACAUCUGUCAUCCCGGCCUCGUCCACAACCCUAAUGGCCGGAUCUUCACAAGCCGUGGCAGCUGGUUGUACUCUAACAUCUUCAUUGAGUGGUGUUCACAUUCUAGAUGUGCAAAGAUCCUGUUUUAGUUAAGAUUAAGUAAUGUAGAUUCCUACAGAGUUAACGAAGCCAACCUCUCGAUUCCAGUAGUAGGGAUGUUUUCUUAUGGCAUAUCUUGUGCCCCACUAACAUCACUCAUGCUAAGGUCAAGGCUAUUAGGCAAUGUAUAGCCGUAUAUAGCUGAUUUAUAGCUUUCCAUGUAUACUGAUUGUAUUCCUUGUAUACCAAACCAUAUUGGCUAUAUAAUAGAGGUCACCCCCCUCAUUAGGGUUCGUGGUGUUUUCCCAAACUCUAUCUAUCUACAUGGUAUCACAAGACCAGGAUCAAUCUGACAGGGACUUUCCUUCCGCUCCACCUCUCCCUGACGCGCCUAACCCUAGGUGCAGCUCCUGUGCGGUGGCGCUUCUCCCCUAGGCUGGCGCCCCUCCCCACCUCCCUUCCUCCCAUGGCCAAUGAUUCCUCUAUCGAGUCCUCCCUGUCCGGUGGUGGCCUUCUGUCCACUGGUGGCCCCAGGCCGGUGCCUGGCGAUGGCUCCCUGCCCAUCUCCGGUGACACCCCCCCCACUGGACUUGAACCACUGGGCGGCUAUGGCACCCUCCUUGGCACCGACGAUGGCCCUGCGUUGCCCCUUGGUGGCGGUCUUCUCCUCCACCAGGCGCCGUCGGCCAUCAUCCACCUGUGGCGGAACCGCCCAGAUUUACUUAGCUAAAGCACCAUUAAGUCACCUGACAUGCGAUCUUAUGCUUUAACCAAGAUAACUCGGCAGUCCGUUUAAUUUCGUCCGAUAAACCACUACACAGGACCGAGAAGCAGAGCUCACACGAAGGUGAGUGGUUCCAGAGAUUUCAAUAGAUCACCCAACUUAAACAAGUACCUUAAUUUUACAAACUCGGGUUCGAAAUUCCACAAAGUUUUACGGAGUUCUCAAGCAGCGGGAAAAUAUAAACCAACGGAAGCUAGCGUCAGGGGUCGGAUGUCACGAUGAGGCCGACCAUGACAUCAAUGGUCCCUAUCCUCACCGUCCGAGAAGGGAUCCCACUCGAUCGUCCACUCAGGAGGAAGCUGGGGAGGCCAAGUGCCAACAGCAGCAAACUCAGGAGCUUCAACAUCACCUGAAAAGAUUGUCACAACAAGGCUGAGCGACUACGCUCAACAAGACUUAACCGACCGUUGGGAACUACUCCACCAACUUCUAGACAUGCACGGCUCUUUGGCUGAGGGGUUGGUUUUGCCAACGCGACUAUAGUAGGUCCUUACUUUCAAGAUUUUAGACACAGGUUCUACUGUUGUUUAUCAUUCUAAGUUAGUAGCUAUACUAAUCAGGCAAAAGUUUCCAAGCAAUUUAUGACAAGCAUACAGGUUAACAUCACCAUCAAGUUCCAUUCUUACUUAGUGUAGCAUAGUGAUCAAGCAGUCCCAAACUGUGAGAGGCAGACGAAUUGAUUCGAAUAUCUUAACCAUGCAUGGUGAACCUAAUCUCACGAUAUCCGCACACCACAAAGGGUCGCUUCCUCUGUCGGUCGCACCCAUCAAUCCCUUGACCCGUGUCGAGCCCACUUCUCUUGGUACAAGGCUCCACAGACCCGGCCUCUGCCGUUCUGUGACCGCACUUGUCACCACAUGCGGCCGGAAGGGAAACUCUAUUCCAGAGACAGUGGAUCGAACCGCUCAUGUCCUGGUUCAAUCAGGUACUAGGCUUCCCCAUCCCAUACUAGAUAUGAGAUUAGUACUUUCAAACACUUGAUCGCGAACACCAUCACCUUUCGACCUUAAACCAAUUUCAUGUAGACAGACGGGGCAAUCCACCAACCACCAAAAUAGUUCACAGAGCCCUGCCCCCUCCAUCGUCCUUAUAGUUGUAACAAAAAGGAGAGCAAGCAACUCCUAUAACUCGCGAGUGACAGGGAAUCACUCGACUUUUACCGAGUCAUGUUAAGCAUUGCAACUACUCGGCCUAUCAUACUAGUGUUCAUAUCAAAGGGAACUAAGUCAUGCAUCUAUGGUUUCAAACAACUCCUGAAACGUAAAUGCACUUACAUACAACAGAAGGCAUGCGCAAGUUUAGAAAGACUGGGUGAUGCUCGGGGGCUUGCCUUCAAGUGGGGCGGAAGCAAACUAAUCUUCAACACUCUCGGGCUCAGCUCCUGCAGGCAGCUUAGCUACAACUUCAUCUUCGGGCACCGGGUGCAGCUCGUACGUGCCGUCGGCGAGGUUCAGCUCUACACGGAAUGCAAUGCAAGGGUGAGACACAGACGGUGAUUUCAACAACACUUGCAAAGAUUUAGCCCAAAAACUGUAGCAAAACUACAGGAAAAGUGUGAAACCCACGUCAUUGGAUUUUACUCAGAAAGAGGAUUCCAACCCAAGUGAUCUCACAUUUUUCUGAUUGUUCCCCGAUUUAAGAUGGAAUUUCCAAGCCUCUGCCGAUUUAGAACAAGAUAAAAGAGUCGGGUCAGGAAAAACUUGCAAUCUGACCCUUAGACCUAAGGAAUAACUGUACCGGGAUCCUUAGAUUUAACACAGAGAAGUCCUCAAAAUUUUACACAGAUGCCCUUGGUCAAAAGAAAAAGACAUAGCCGAGCCCUCGGGCGAGGCAGACAGGGGUCGGGCGAGACGGACAGGGGUUGGCAGCUCACCUUUGGUCCUACUGAUGAAGUCUUAGGGUUGGCAAGAAGCAAGCUCAGGCGGAACGACAAAAGGCGUUAAGUUUCGGGCGGCGGCGACGUCUGGCGGUGCUCCGGCAGUGGUGGUGCUUCUUGCGGACAACAAGCAAGUUUUAGCGCUGCACGAAGGAAAGCGAAGCGGUUGGCGGGGUCGGCAAGGCAGGGUGUUGGACGGAAGGGGGAGCUCCACAGAGAGCUCAGGCGGCGGUGCGUGAGCACGAAACAGAGGAGUGUGUGGUGGAGAGUGCGCUAGAGGAGAAACCAAGCAAGCAGUGCGGCAAGGGCAAUGGUGGCGAAGAGAACUCCCGUAAGAGGCUCUGGUACCCAUUUUAUAGCUGUGCGGAAGUGAACGAGAUCGAGCAGUGUGAGGAUAAGAUCGAGGGAGAAGAGGAGUGCUCUACCGUGGCGGCGAUUGGUCGGUGUCUCCAUUGGCCGGAGAAGCGGAGCUCCAGGGAUAGGAUCCUAUGGCAUUGGGCAAGGAAGACAGUGCUAGGCAAGCGCGGUUUUGCUGAGCAGAAGGAUUGGUGAGGUCGAGCGCGUGCUUGGUCGCGUGAAGCGCCGGAUUGGGUGCGGCGACUCGGUAUUGGCGGACAGGAGAGAGCGAGGUGCACUUCAGGCAAGGGCGCCGUAGGCGAGGUGACAGGGCGAGCGAUGCGAUGCGAGCAUGCGUGGAUUAGCGACUCUGCCGGGGCACACUACUGGCGAGGCGGGGGAAAGGAGUUGUCACUGCCUGCGCGGCGAUUGGCGAAGACGGCAGCGUCGCGGGGCGCACGUGGGCAGCGCGAUUGAGGUUGACGGGAGGGCCGGAAGGUGUUGGGGCGCGCGGCUGGGGGUCCAGGUGAGGCGAUGCGCACGGGAGGCGAGGCGGUACUGGCGCGGCAGCGGCCAAUCUUUGGUCACAGCGGCGGGUAGUGUGCCUGGCGCGACUGGCGAGGUCUCAGGCGAGACGAGACGGGGCGGAGAGGUCUGCAGGGUGCUUCUGCGCGCGAUUGGGAAGGAGGUGCUGAUCCAUCUUGUCGCGGCCGGCGACUGGGUGAGGCGGCGCUUGCCGGUGAGGUCACGCCAUGCGGCGGCAGUGCUCCGAAACAGGGCGCACGCGCGCUCUGGCGCUCUUUGUCCGAUGGAUCCGCGGGAUUCCUUGCCGGGCCCAUCUUCCAGCCUCUUGAUCUUCCGAUUUCCAAACUGCACCACAUUGACUCCCUUCACAAGGGUUGUAGAACACAGGCUAAGGUCCAACUUUUGUAAUUGGACUGAGUUAAAAAACGCGGUGGAUUUGGAGAUCCAAAGCUCCAAAGUUUGGAGGAACAUUGGUUUCAGGACUUAGAGAAAAGCGGCGGUUUGGCUGGUUUUCAAGGGUCAGGACUGAUUUGAGCUGCAGAUUUGGGAAUCUUCUGAGGCGAAUUGGACCAAUGUCCAAUUAACAAAGUUGUGGUAGGAACUUUGUUCUCCAACUUCUAUAAAGGGUUUUCUUGAUGUUCAGUUCAACUUUCCAAAGAUAAACCUUCCUUAAGGCGCUAGGUCAGGCUGAUUUUCCAGACUUAGCCAGAAUGGCUGAAGGAAGUCUGAGUUGACCAGACUAGGGGGCUUGUCUUAAGAUUAAACUCGGCUGAUUUAAAUCUAGGUCGUUACACCACCCCUACGCCACGAUCUCCGUCAAGGCUCACAUCCCCAUGAUGUUGACGAUGAAGACCUCCAGCUACUCCAAGUGGGUUUCCUUCUUCAAAUCCAUGUGUGGCAAGUUCGGCCUCAAGUCGCACAUCGACAGCACCGUGACGCCCCGUCCUGAUGACCCCGAUUGGGAUCAAGCGGAUUGCUGCGUCCUCUUCUGGAUCUUUGGCUCUAUCGUGGACCUCGCCAUGGAGGAUGAUGAGCAGACCGCCAGGGCCCUCUGGCUCACCAUUUAAGGCCUCUUCCAUGCCAACAAGCAAUCCCGGGCGAUCUUCCUCAGCUACGACUUCCACUCCAUGACCCAGGAGGACUCCUCCAUCUCGUAGUACUGCCAGCGCAUGAAGAACCUCGCUGACACCCUCCGUGACAUUGGGCAUCCCAUUCAAAACUCCCAGUUGGUCCUGAAUCUUCUCCACGGCCUCAACCCGCACUACUCCAACACCACCGACGACAUCGGCAACUCCCCCGCCGGCUUCCAGUCCUUUGCCCAGGCUCGUGACAUGCUCACCUUGAAGGAGCUUCGCCUCGUCAACUUGCUGCUCUACGUCGAUGACAUCAUCCUCACCGCCUCAUGUUCGACGCUCCUCCACCACAUCAUGGCUAGUUUUCAGUCCGAGUUCGCCAUGACGGAUCUUGGUGAUCUUCAUCACUUUCUUGGCAUCUCCGUGACGCGCUCCCCUGAUGGCUUGUUCCUGUCCUAAUGACAGUACACCCUGGACCUCCUCCAGCAUGCCAGCAUGGCUGAGUGUCACUCUACGACGAGUCCUGCUGACACUCAUGCCAAGCUCUCGGCGACCGACGGCAACAAGCUCAAGGAUGGCUCUAAGAAACCGCUGGAAGUUAAAUUCAACAAAAGUUCAAUUCGAGAAAAGUUCAAUUCAAGAAAAGUUAAAUUGUAUCACCUCCCCAGGACUUUGUUCUUUUGUUUUUGGUUCCCAAAGCACAAUUUCAUUAUCAGCACUCUGCAAAUCCAAGCUAGCAUAGAUCAGAUUCCUCAUUAUACAGGAACCAAAACUGGCACUGGGAAAAAAAAGGUUGAAAGACUGAACCCAUGCACAGUACAAGAAUACAGGAUCCAGAUACAGUGGUAUUUUGAAGCAUCAAAAGAAUGACGACUGUACUACUACUAUAGCAGCAAUUUGUAUCCAUUUAAGGGAAGGAAUUUCACCUCUGACAGGAUGAAGUCACCAAGCCAUCUUGUACAAUCAACAUAGUUAGAGUGUACUGCAGCAAUCAACACCUGCAAGGAAAGAAACAGGUUGGUUUGAUGGCAUGAGGAUUAAACACCAACAGUAGUUUGCAAAGGAAUAGAUCUAAGAUGAUUAUAGAUGCUAAACAUACCGGAAACUGGACAUAUUUUGUUGGAAACUUUGAUGGAAGGUCAGUCCAGGAAUAUGAUUUGUCAACAUAUUGCCAAAAUUCUGUGACAACAUUGGGAAACUCUAUCAAUGAUAUGCAGCAUGCAAAUGUAAACAUGAUGCUACUUUGAAGUAGUUUUCCAACCUUUCAUUGACCAGAUUUUCACAGUGUUGUCCAUGCCACAACUUGCAAAACGCUCAAUAUCACUAGGGUGGAAGUCCUUCAGCCAAAAUAAUGUAUUUUGGUCAGUACAUUUAUGCCUAACGUAAUGGAAGUACAAAAGCCGUAGUAGUCACCAGGACUAUAUUUAUCCCUGAUGUAAUGCUCAAUAACAAAUAGUAACAUCAGAAGCUGAAAGAGUGGUAGCUUCAGGGCACUUUGAGCAAGUAAUAUUCUGAAACAAUACCAUAAGAGGAGGCAGGAGCUACUUACAACACUCAACACUUCAUUGCGAUGACCUCAAGCUCCAGCAAAUACCAAGAUGCAGAUCCCUGUAUGGACAUUCCAUAGCCUAACAGAUUCAUCCUAUUCAAUAAUGAAUAAUGCCAUAUGAAACAGUGUCAGAACAAUUAUAACAAAGUACAUUCAGCCUAAGAACAGGUUAUCUGCUAACCUUGCUUGCAGAAAUGAUGAGCGAAGGCUUCAACGCUUGAGUCCUUAUCUCAUUUAUUGAGUCACCAUGGCCAGCAAAGCUCUGUAGAAUUCCAUAAACAGAAAUAACAAAUAAACACGUGCACAGUCUAAUUCAUAGGAUAGGAUAGUAUUUAUUGGCAUGCCCUGUCUCGUGACUAUAUGUAUAACGCCAAAAUAGAUACACUAGGUUGAACGUGUCUUGACUAUAACGGACAUGCUGAAGUAUCCAAAAACCAGAAUCUUCUGUGAGCAAAAGUUACAGUUUGCUAGUGGUAUUAAUGCAUAGCAAACAGACAAUUCCUUAAUCAAACCAAAUUCAAAUGACCUUCUGGAUCGGAUAUCAUAGAUGGUAUCUGUCAGGUAAGCAACUGAUGUACAGAUUUGUGCAAAUGAAGCUUCAUUCAAGUUUGACGUAGUAACAAAGACAAGGCUAGGGGUACUAUACCUUAGCUAACUUCUCCGUAGCACAGUUGAUGACCCGAAUGAUCCCAUUGCCUCCUGCUGCUCAAUGACUCCAUUCUUGGUGACCAGUGUGGCAUCCAAUGUAUCAAUCAGCUCUUCCUUCUUCUUGAGCAAGGCGUUCUUCUCCUCUAUCACCCUGUCCCUAGCCUUCAGUGCCUCCUCCAUCCGAACAACUCUCACCUCCAGCGUGACAAUCCUCAGCGAGUCCCUCUUGUCGUAGGUGUCCGGUGCAGUGUCCACCUCGUGCUACAGGCGACGGUUCAUCCGGUCCAGGUCAGUCAAAUAGUGCUCAAGUCCCAUUAUCUUGCCCUCAAGUAUGGCGUUGGUACCGAUGCAGUUGUCCCAACCAUUGUGAAGUACCUCCACCUCUCUGUCAUUCCAGAACAGCGCCAAGUCCUGAGCGUGAAUACAGCGGGAGGCCACGCAAAACUUCUCGUUGGGCUCUGCAUAUGCGUCCUCGUAGUACUGAUGGACUAAACUCUCGAAAUCCCUCAGCCCACGGCAAGCCCUGGUUAGGCAACGGUAGGGAGUCUGAGCCAACCUGUCACGGAGCUGCGCAUGCACCUCACACACAGCCCUUCUGGCGGCAGUCCGGUGAGCCGUUGACACUGACAGCUCAAACCCAAGUAGAAGAAUAAGCAAAGUCUAGUCAGAAAUAGCGGUAGUCAACAGAACUGUCCAUAACCAGUGGACACGGAUUAUAGCUACAGCUUUAUACACUCUGCAGAGGAUGUACAACUAUACCCACACGGAUGGAGUCUAAACGGUGGCGAUCCGUCGAAACCCCACCUAACAGCCGGAGCCCUAGUAGGUGGAUAGCUCUGUCAUAUUUCCUCGAGUCUGGAAUCAUCCUUAGCUGCAGGGCACGCCGUCACCAGUGAGCACCUCGAAGCUAUGAAACCUACCCAUGCCGGGGUGUAGUCUGGUCAAAGCAAGCCAACGCCUUGAACUCAUUACAUGAUCCUCCAAUCUGCCUAGAGGCUGAGCACUAUCCACCACUAGUCUCGAACCGAACUCUGCCCAUAACGUAAGCGAGCGGUAUCUACGUAAAAUAGUUGCUGUGACUAGUGGUAAACUGACUCAGUGCUUAAGCGGCUGAGAGCGAGCACUCUACUCCACAAGUAUGUGCCGAAACACAUGCAACAUAUAAGUACGCUACCUGCUCCUCAGUAACAAACAAGGUACCCACCACAGGUACGGGGUAUAGAGAGAGUCCAGAAUGCUCUCUCCUAGCAAGGCACUCCUUAGUACCAACCAUGGCGCUCCCGCCAAAACAUAUCAAGGAGUCACACUCACCCAAAACUCAAGCGAGAGUGUUCAAUGAAUCCUAUCACCGAAACUGUGGCAUAUGCCCAUCCAUAACUCAAAAGCAUGUAUAUGGAUAUAUGAGCGGUGGACUAGCUAGGGGUCUGUAGCUAGUCCACAAAAGUAGGUAACAAGGAAAACAGAAUACAAAAUUAUCAAGGCAUGGCUAAAAAUAUUGGCUAUGCAAUCCAACAUCAUCAAGCAUCAUAAAUAAAGCACCAGCAACUAAGCAUGCAUAUGAUCUAUGUGAUUGGGAGUGGCAUGACACCUUGUCCGUAGUUGUUUGGAUCUUCCUCGGCAUAGUCGGAGUCUUGAGGGUCUUCUGGGUCGUAGCUCGAGUCUGAACAGACCAAGAUAUGACAUAAAGUAAAUUAAAUGGCAUUACAACUAGGAAGAAACUCCAAGAAAGCCAAAUUUAGUAGAUCCAAAUAACACCAAACUAGUUACAAACAACACGGGCUCCAUUUUACGAAUUUAAUGCAACUGGUUCCAUAUUUUUCGCAGUUAAAAUGAAUUAGUUAUGAAUUUUUUAAGAUUAAAGGAUUCAUUUAAUUAUUUAAAUAAUUUUAGAAAAUAUUUAUUAUUACAGUGACAUGUGCCAGCGCUUGGUUGUGCCAUGUGGGAGCAUAAGAGUGCGCCACGUGUCUCCUAACGCCAAGCUAACGUCAGCGUUGACCGGUCAACAGGGCCCCACCAGUGGGCCCGAGCCUCGGACAUGUCAACGCCUCGUGGCUCCACGUGGCAGCCACGUGGCACUGCCACAUGGCGCACACGUGGUCGUCCCCAGCUGGCCGGGAUCCGCGCGCCACCCGCGUGUGGCCAUGGGUGUGGUGCAGGCCUGAUUGGCUGCGACACAGCGGUGACUGUGCCCACGACGUCAUGGUGUGGCGCGACGUCACGGCGCGGCUGCUGCACGUGUGCGCGGGCAGGAGGUAGUCCCGGCCGCGGCACGACCGCGGCGGCGUGCGGGGUCCCGGGCCCGCGGUGGCUGGCAGCGAGGCGAGCGGCGGCACUACAACCGUGGCUCGAAGGCUGGGCAUACGACAAGCAAACAAGAGGAAAGAGAGGGGCAACGAGGUUCACUGCAGGGAGACGGUGAAAUUGGGCGGCGUCGGGCGGUGGUCGACAGCUCAGGCUCCUCCCUCAGACGGCCCCUCUUCUUCUUCUUCUCUUCUACUUCCCCUCCUUCUCUUUCCUCCUCAUCUCCUACUCCUCCCUCCUCCUCUACUCCUUCCCCCUUCUCUCACUCGGGUGGUCGAUGGCGCAAGGGCGAAGCCCCGAGUGGAUGGCGAAGAGAGGCCCCGAGCGGCUCUACUUAUAGCGGAGAGGCGGCUGUGUUCCAGAGGGAGGUUGCGGCAGCACUUUAGGGUUUGGGGGCGUGGCGUCGGUGAUGUGGAUGGCUAGGAUGUGGUGUUGCAUGGUGCGGGUGACGUGGCGGCCAUCCGAGGCUCCCAGCACAAAAGCAAGGGUGCGGGCGAGGUCAUGGGUGCGCACGCGAGGCGCGCGUGAGCGGUACGGCCGGAGGAAGAAGGAAGAGGAACAGGGGCACCUCACAGGUGGGUCCGGUGCAGCAGCAAGAGAGAAAGAGAGGGAGAGCGGGGCGCGGGUGGCGACUGCGGGCUGGGCCAGCUGGCCGGUUAUGAGGCCUGCUGGGCUGGUCACUGAGCUGCGCGGGCGAGGCAGCUGAGCGGCGCGGGCGAGGUGGCUGAGCAGGCCAGGCCGGCUGUCUGGCUAGGCCGGGGUGAAGGUAGGUGAGGGUGAGGCGCGAGCGGGCCAGGCCGGUGGGCUGCGGCUAGCCUGGUUGGUUAGGAGGGUUAGAUAGGUUUUGUUUUUAUUUAGAUUUAGAUUUAGUUGGAGUGUUGAAUCAAAUUCAAAAUUCAAACACACACUCAAACAUGAGAUCCAAAUAAAAUCUAAAAAGAUCCAAAUCAUUCCACACAAGUUUUGAAAUGGAAUUUUGGGACGAGAAGAGAAUUUGACUACCAUUUUCAAACAAGCACACAAUUCAAACAAAAGUUUUAAAUUUUUGGAAAUUUUACUUAAAUAAAUAUUACAAAAUUCUGGAAUAUUACAAACAUAACCACUUCACCUCGUACCCCGAGAAAAGCGAUACGAAGCUUAACACUCCUCGACAUCUGGGAAAUUUGGUCAGAACGAAACUCUAGAUUUUUCGGACUGUGUGAGUCAUCCUUGAUUUCCUUGGUGGCAAAAAUUAAAAAGGAAGCUUAAGUUUUGUAGGUCUUUUGGAUUAAACCAACUUGGUAAGCUAUCACCCCAAAAGCCAUGGACAUUCAAUUCUCUCAUGAGGGCACAAGCCAUCGAUCACUUCAUUCUCACGUGGUGUCGGCUCGAAAACUCUGGGAUUAGUUCGCCAGUUCAGCUCUAUUUCCUUGAGGUAUUUCUUGUCAACGAGUCUAGCCUCAGCAGCCUGUUCCUUGCUCCUCACAGUAUGAAUAGAAUUAAUGCAUAGCAUUCCGCUAAGCUGAUUCAUGCCCUUCAGCUCACCAAUUGCCCCCCUCCGUGCUUCGACUGUGAAAUAUCUCAAGUUCCUUUAAUAAGUCAAUAGAGGCUUUUACUGGAAGUGCUAGUUGACGCAAGUUGAUUAGCUUUGUUACAUCCUGACGAAUUGUUCUCAGACAUGAACCAAAUGCAACAACAACUUGUAGGCUGUUAAGGCACCAGAAUUUCGAUGGCACUUCAUUUAUAUUGCUGUAGGAUAUAUCAAGAUAUCGGAGGCUAUUCAACCCACAUAUGCUUUGGGGUAGACUUUUCAGCUUGCAACCUUUUAGGCUCAAAAACAGGAUGUUAGAAAGCUGACUGAACCAGGUGAUCUCAACAUCCAAUUCGGUACCAAACCUAAGUGAACGCAGUUUGUUCAAAUUUUGAAUGUUUGUCAUUGUGCCCAAGGACUUACGUACCAUCCACCUCGAUUGACAUGUGGCGAGGUUUAUUUGUCAUUCCGCUCAAAUCUUUCAUCGAGAAACAUUCAUGGAUAGAAACAUACUGCGCAGUAUCAUGGAUCAGGUCAUGCAUUACGUAUUUAUCUUGAUUAGGGAACUUUGGAUCAGUUUGGAAAAGACACCUGCCUCUCAAAUCAUCCAAAUACUUCAUCCCGACAUCUUCAAGACGCUUGCUCACUUGUGGUGAAACAAAGCCCUCUGCCACCCAAAUGUCAACGAUCUCAUGUCUUUUGAAGCUAUAAUCUUUCGGAAAUAUGGAGCAAAAUGCAAAGCAUCUCCUAAGUUCAGUUGGGAGGUACAAGUAGCUCAGUCGAAGUGCUGGUAAUAUGUCGCUAUGUUUUUGUUCUUGCUCCCAUAAUUCACUGUCCUUGAUAGUCCUCCAAUGUUGCUCAGUCAGAUUACUAUUCAACAAGCGUCCGAGAGUUUUGGCAGCCAAAGGAGUACCAUGCAACUUAGAGGAAAUGCUCUGACCAAUCUCUUGUAAGCGAGGAUAUGACUCUGGGCACUCUUUACCAAACGCACAUUUCUUGAAAAAUUCCCAAAAUACACCAGCGGGCAAUCCUUCGAGCUGGAGAGGCUUACAACUGCAUUUGGACCAUGCGGUGACAUUCUGAGCAAUGUUUUUGUGUCUUGUAGUCACUAAGAUCAUGCUACCUUCAAGUCCAUUCUUCAACGGUGCAUAAAAAGACUCCCAUUGUGGUAAUUUCCCAAAUAUCAUCCAGCACCAAAAGGAACUUUUGGAUCUUCAGCAUGUGCCACAGAUCUGCUUCAAGAACACCCAAACCACAAGACAAGUCGAAGUUUGGCUGGAUGAUGAUCUCCUUUUUCAUCCUUUCAAUGUCAAACAGGUCCGAAACACAGACCCGUAUCCUUACAGUAAAGUGGCCUUCACUCUUUCAUCACUGUCGAUGAGCUGAGCCAGGGUGGUCUUCCCCAUCCCGCCAAUGCCAAAAAUUGGCAAGACAGAAACAUUGCCACAGUUAGCAGUCUCAGCAAGCCCUGCACUGCUGUUACUGUCAAAGUUAAGUCGCUUGGCUUUGGAUGUAGAUGCGAUGGCGUCAUGACUUGCUGCUUCUGUGCCUUUUCCUUUAGACCCUGCAGAUGUACUGCCCAUAGUGAGUGGCAUGCCCAUUUGUGAGAUCACCUGAUUAAUUUCGGCAGCACGAUCAAUCGUCAGAGUCACACCCAGCAUCUCCAUCACUUGAUCCCUUUCCGUGUCACGCGGUGAUGAGUUCAUUCGUUGUUGGCAUGCAUGACCUGCACUGGCUGAACACGAUCAAGACCAAUCAAGCAUAGCACUUCUUUAACUUCAGCCAUAACCUUGUGGAGCUGAUCUUUGGUGUCCCUUAUCCUUUUUACUGCUAGCAUGGACGAGAUGUUUGGCAAUAUUCAGAGAGGAUGAUGACACGAGUUGACCUGCCCUGCUCCGGCUGGCGUCCUCAAUCUUGUGCCGCAGCGCCUGGUCCUCGAACUCUCGGUGGAGGUCCUCGGCGUCGUAGGUGGUGUACUUGUGCUGCAAGAGAUGGGCCUCCACCAUGCCCCACUCGCUGCGACUGAUGAGCAGCUUGGUCUUGAGUUGGUCCAGCUCGUUUUCCAGCUGGGUCGGCGCUUGGCUCAUGCUCAUCCCGAAUGACAGGAUGCCUUGCACGGUGUCCAUGGUCGCGCGCGCUCCUAGAUCUUGGUGCGUUGGUGGAGCUGCUCGUGAAGUCGUGAUGAUGGUGCUCCUCCUCCUCUUCCUCCUGCUUGGCACAGGGGCAGAAGGGAGCGAUUACCUGAUGAUGGUGCCACCGAUUACUGGCCUUCGCCCUCCCAACACCGGACUGGUGAUUUUCACCGGAGGGAUCGUAAGAGAGAUCGGGCAGAGAGGUGUAGGAUCAAAUUGCGUGUGCACCCAACGUGGAAUGGCGCUGGAUAUAUCUAGCUACAUGGUUGCAUGCCCUGCCGAUCUGGGCAAUCGGUAUUGCAUUUGCAGAUUUGCUUCGGUUUCAUCGAUGAUCCCUCCGGCGUUGGUUUCUUCGAUCGGUCCUGUCUUGGGUUCCAUCGAACUUGAUCGAGCUGUCUUGAGGCCGGCGGAGUAACUAAGAGAUCCAUUAUUCAUCGGGAUAAGCUAGGAUCGCAGGGGCUCGUUGCGGCUGCGGGCGUGGACCACCAUCUCUUCCUGCCUGCCGCCGGCGGCCGGCGAGUGCAAGACUGGUAGGUUUAGGAGAGGAAAGGCCAAAAGGCGUGAGCUGUGAAGGAAUGGACCUGGCAACCGGGUGCGGCUUGUGUUGUAUCUUGGGCCGGUUGGGCCGAGUGCAAGUUCCGGGGCCUCCUCGGUGGUGGUUUUGUUGGCUGCAAACUGAUGAGGCCUCGUGCCUUGGCUGCGAAGAAGACGGCUACUCAAAAGCAUUUCUCCCCCAGCAGCUUGAAACGGUCGCCCGCGGACAGCAAGCAAGCGUUCGCGAGCCUGACCGUGCACUGUACAGCACAGGACAGGGAUCCAUGCUUUCCGGCAACACCCAUCGGCGCCAGGCUUACCCACCAGUACACCUGGCACCUGCUGGCUGUCCAGCUCCAAACCUCUCCAUCACAAGACAGAGGUCGUCAAUGGCUUCUUCGGUUUGCAACAGCACAGUGGACAAGAAAAGCAGGGGCAAAGCUACAUUGGGCUAGCCGAGUGAUUAGUAACUAAUUUUUACCACUUGUGCACUCCCUAACCUCCAAUUUCGUGCACCACUGUCUGGCCCACCAACAACCUGCAGCCCAGCAGUUAGCAUAGGCCAGCUUUCAGCAACCCAUCAAGCCCACGAUGCACUAUAGGUGCAUGCAGCUGCGGGCCUGCCGCAUCCGCCCGCGUGCGUUGCACGUGACAAGUCCUCACGGAGAACACGAAACAAUCGUCCGCGAAGCCCGCUCGCUCGCCCAAACGUGAGAACUCAUCGUAGAAAGGCGGCGGAAGAGAGGGAGGCGGCACUCGCGCGUCGCCGUGUCGCACCAUCUCCAGUCGCUGCGGUACGUCUCCUCGCCGGAAUCAGCACCCCCAACCUUAAGCGAUCAUCAUCAACUCCUAUUUUUUUGUUUCUCUCCAUUGUUGCACUGCACAUUCUUCUAGCCUCCCCUUUUGCUCAAGCCCACUCCACUCGAAUGGUACACAAUUAUUUUUCUCACAUGUGCUUUUGUGCCAAUCAGCUUCUUUGAAGUAAUCCGUUAGUGUUUCAAUUUCAUGGUUACUUAUUCUCCUAUAUUCAAUUGAAUUGUAGGGUUAGGGUUUGCAAUUGGGGUUUUACUUCUACAAAUUGCAAUGAAAGGGCAAAGGAGAAGGAACUUAGGAAGGAUUCAUUGAGAUUUGAGACUCAAGAAAUAAACAAAAAUCAUGUCAAGUAAGUUUAUGGGUGUUUGGUCAAUUAAUCAUUUAUUUUUCUUCCCUUGAUUCUUGAACAGAUGAACAUGAGAAGCAUUAAUGUAACUGACAUUUUAAAAAAAUGUGUUAUAUGUGUGUUUAUGGAAAGAUGGUUAAAAAGAAAAGCGCCAGAUGAUGCUAACAAUUUUUGGUAAUUCUCAUCAGCAAAACAACAAUAUUAAUGUUAAUCCAAUACCACCAGCUCCAGAAGAUAUCGAUUGGGAGGAGGAGAUCCAACUUCAUCCUGGUAAAAGAGAAGAAAUACGUUCUUGUCACCCUAAUCUUAGAGAAUCGGUAAGAAGAAUGUACUUGGCAAAUGAGCCUUGUCAGCUCGCACUCUUAAUUUUUCAUCUACUCGGAUUGGGGAUAAAAAUUGAAGGUUUAAUCUUGAAUGGUUUGAUGAAUUUGGAAACUGGCUUGAGUACAGUGAGUCUACCGAUAGAGCCUACUGUUUUACCUGUUUCUUGUUUAGAGACCCCACUAAGAAGGAGGCUGGGUACAAGUCAUUUAUUUUAGAUGGUUGGAAUAAUUGGUAUAAUAAAGAAAGAUUAAAGGAGCAUGUUGGCAGUGUUGACAGCUAUCACAAUGUAGCAACGAAAAAAAUGUGAUGAUAUGUUGAAAAGAGAAUAGCACAUUGAUGUUAAGUUACAUGAACAGCUUGAGAGUUCUAAGAAUGCAUAUUUUGUUCGACUUAAUGAUGCAAUUGAUACUAUCAGAUUGCUACUCAAGCAAGGACUACCUUUCCGGGGGCAUGAUGAAUCAAAGACAUCCUUAAACAAAGGGAACUACAGGGAAGUUUAUGAUUGCUUAGCUCAACAUGAUGCAGCUUUAGCCAAGGCAUUGACAAUUGAUGCUGCAUAUAAUAGUAUUUUGGUAUCUGCUGACAUACGGAAAGACAUCAUCAACUGUUUUGCAGAUGAUAUUUUACAUUCUAUCCUUGGAGACAUUGGGAAAGAUGUAUUUUGCUUGCUAGUUGAUGAGUCUAGAGAUGUCUCUUUCAAAGAGCAAUUGGCAGUGGUGUUAAGAUAUGUUGAUAAAUGUGGAUUUGUGAACGAGAGCUUUGUUGGUGCUAGCAAUACGCAAGGUGAGUUCAAUGGCUUAAAAUCUUUGAUCAUGAGAGAAAAUAGUAGUGCAUAUUAUCUCCGUUGCUUUGCCCAUUAACUUCAAUUAGUGGUUGUAGCUGUUGCUAGAAAGCAUACAGGCAUUGCUGAAUUUUUUAACAAUAUCUCUAUCUUAUUGAAUGUGGUUGGUGGAUCUUCAAAGAGAAGGGACAUGAUUUGAGAUAUCAAUCUCAAAGAAGUUAGUAAGGCCUUAGGCUGUGGGUUACUUAGUAUCGGGACAGGAUUGAAUCAAGAACAAUGUCUUCAAAGACCUAGAGUCUCACUAUAAAUCUCUUAGAAGUUUAGUUAAAUUCCAAAUAAUUAUCAAAGUGCUUGAAUUUGUGGAAAAGGAAGGCAGGGAGGGAAAGGCAAGGGUGUUCUUAGAAAAGUACACUCAUGAACGGGAUGAAUGAUACACGAGUUCAGCGUCACCUAGUCAAGCCGGAUUCCAGAUUCCAUCGUACUGACACUUGCUGCGCUGCUUUGCUAUCUAUUAAUUCUCCUCAAUCUAUAGUAACAGAUAACAACUCUGUCCGCAGCAUGAUAUGGAAAUUUUCUCACACUGGCGGGUACACGAUGGCUUCAGCCUAUAGAGUGCAAUUCAUUAACUUCACCAAAAAAACACAAAUCUGCGCAAUCUGGACUUCUUGCCCCUCUCCUAAAUGCAAAUUCUUCGUGUGAUUAAUCCUUCAUAACCAUGCUUGGACUUUGGAUCGGCUUGCUCAAAGAGGAUGGCCUCAUAGCCCAGCUUGCCCCCUCUAUAAACAGAUAAUGGAAUUCUCUCUUCACCUGCUGGCCAAGUGCAGAUUCACUAGGAAAAUUUGGAGUCCUCGUGGCUAUUUAGACAAAGCAGCCAGUACUACACCCACUGGAAUGGGAACAAAGCUACAAUACCUUGGAAUGGUGGACCAACAUUGAAAUGGACCUGAAUUUUCAUUUCUGAGAAUUCAAGCCUACGCACCUCCGUGAUAGUUCUAGGAGGCUAUCACGUGCGAAUCCAUGUCUCAGAUAGUACAAAUUCAUACCAACAUAGAAAUAUAAAGCAACAACAUAGUACCAUAUCAUAAAUAUCAUAAGUAACAAGUACAUCUCUUCGGUACAUGCCAGAACAUGUCCAUCAGGAUUGAAUCAGAAAGGUAAAAUAUCUAUGCAGCGAAAGCGUAAGCUACGGCGAACUCCAUCUCCAGAGGCGACUCGAGCGAAGGACCAUCCCUAGUCUUCCUAUCCAUCAUUGUCGAAGUCGUAGUCGGGCUCCGACCCUAAAAAGCCACCAUCUACUCGAGAAGCGGGUAGGCCAUGUCAACUCCCAAAAGGAGCAAGCUAAGGAAAUGGGGGAAUUAUACUAUAUGCAUGAGUAAAACCUAUAUAUGGUUGUAGAGGUGUAUGCAACAGCAGCAUCAAUCAAGGAAGCAGCAAAGCAUUACCAUCUUCGAGGUCAACACCUCAAAUAAGGAAGUUGGCACAAAUCACCAGAUCCUUCGCCCAUGGGUCCAGCAUCCAACACACUAGUCGAUGUGAGAGCUCCCUUCCCUCACAUCUCAAUGGCAAACUCCAGCCUAUCUCAAAAAGGGGAGGUAGAAGAAUAAGCAAAGUCUAGUCAGAGGUAGCGGUAGUCAAUAGCACUGUCCAUAACUAGUGGAUAUGGACUUUAGCUAUAGCUUUAUACACUCUGCAGAGGUUGUACAACUGUACCUGCAUGGAUGGAGCUUGAACGGUAGUGAUCCGUCCAAACCCCACCUAACAGCCGGAGCUCUAGUAGGUGGAUAGCUCUCUCUUGUUUCCUCAAGUCUGGAACCUUCCUCAGCUGCAGGGCAUGCCGUCACCAGUGAGGACCUCGAAGCUGUGAAAUCUACCCACGCCGGGGUGCAGUCUGGUCAGAGCAGGCCAACACCUCGAACUCCUUACACGAUCCUCCAAUCCGCCUACAGGCUAAGCACUAUCCACCAAUAGUCUCAGACCGAACCUCGCCCAUAACGUAAGUGAGCGGUAUGUACGUAAAAUAGCAGUUGUGGCUGGUGGUAAAUGACUCGAUCCUUAAGCGGCUGAGAGCGAGCACUCUACUCCACAAGUAUGUGCUGAAGCACCUGCAACGUACAAGUAUGCCACCUGCUCCUCAGUAACAAACAAGGUACCCGCCACAAGUAUGGGGUAGAGAGAGAGUCCAUAAUGCUCUCUCUCGGCAAGGCACUCCUCAGUACCAACCAUGGCUCGCUCCUACCAAAAUACAUCAAGGAGUCACACUUACCCAAAACUCACAUGAGAGUGUUUAAGAAAUCCUAUCACCAAAACCAUGGCACGCCCAUCCAUAACUCAAAAGCAUGUAUAUGGAUAUAUGAGCGGUGGACUAGCUAGGGGUCUGUAGCUAGUCCACAAAAGUAGGUAAGAAGGAAAACAUGAUAAAAAAUUAUCAAGGCAUGGCUAAAAACAUUAGCUAUACAAUCCAACAUCAUUAAGCAUCAUAAAUAAAGCGCUAACAACUAAGCAUGCACAGGAUCUAUAUGAUUGGAAGUGAUAUAAAGCACUAGCAACUAUACAUUGGCUUGCCCGUAGUCGUUUGGAUCUUCCUCAACGUAGUCGGAGUCUUGAGGGUCUUUCGGGUCGUAGCUCGGGUCUGAACAGAACGAGAUACGAUGUAAAGUAAAUUAAACGGCAUUACAUCUAGGCAAAAAUUCCAAGAAUGCUAAAUUUAGAAGAUCCAAAUAAUACCAAACUAGUUACAAACAACACGGGCUUGAUUUUAUGAAUUUAAUGCAAAUGGUUUCAUAUUUUUCAGAGUAAAAAUGAAUUAGUUAUGAAUUCUUAAAUAUUAAAGGAUUUAUUUAAUCGUUUAAAUAAUUUCAGAAAAAAAUUAUUAUUAUGGUGACACGUGUCAGUGCCUGGUUUUGCCACAUGGCAGCACGAGAGUGUGCCACAUGUCUGCUAAUGUCAGACCGGUAACGGUCAACGUUGACCCGGUCAGUCAACGAUGACCUGGUCAACGUUGACUGUCAACUGGGUCCCACCGAUCAGCAGUGGCCCCACAGGUCAGUGGGCCCUGCCAAUGGGCCACCAGUGGGCUUGGGCCUCGGACACGUCAUCGCCUCGUGACUCCACGUGGCAGCCACGUGGCCAUCUAGUCGACAUGGCACUGCCACGUGGCCGUCCCCAGCUGGUCAGGAUCCGGUGUGUCAACUGGAUCCUGUGUGCCACCCGCAUGUGGCCACGGGUGUGGCGUAGGCCUGAUUUGUGGCGACGUGGCGUGGCGGGGCGUGGCGGUGACUGCGCCUAUGACGUCGUGGUGCAGCGCGCCAGCUGUGCGUGCGCAUGGGCAUGGGGCAGUCCCCGACCACGGCACGACCGCGGUGACAUGCAGGGUCCCGGUGUCCUAGGCCCACAGUGGCUAGCGGCGAGGUGAGCAGUGGCGCUCCUAUGGCGGCUCGAAGGUCAUAUGACAAGGAAACAAGAGGAAAGAGAGGGGUAGCGAGGCUCACUGCGGGGAGAUGGCGAAGGCGGGCACUGUCGGGCGGCGGUCGACAGCUCUGGCUCCUCCCUCAGAUGGCCCCUCUUCUUCUUCUUCUCCUCUACUUCACCUCCUUCUUCCCUUUCCUCCUCUUCUCCUCCUCCUCCCUCCUCUUCUGCUCCUUCCCCCUUCUCUCACUCGGGUGGCUGGCGGCGCAAGGGUGAAGCCCUGGGUGGAUGGCAACAAGAGGCCCCGGGUGCCUCUACUUAUAGCGGAGAGGCGGCUAGGGUUCCGAAGGGAGGGUGCGGCGGCGCGCUUGGGUUUGGGGGCGUGGCGCUGGCGACGUGGACAGCCGGGAUGCGGCAGCGCACGGUACGGGUGGUGUGGCGGCCAUUCGAGGUCGCUAGCGCAAAAGCAAGGGCGCGGGCGAGGUCACGGGUGCGCGCUCCCAUGUGGGAGUGUGUGCCAGCACGGACGGGGAGGCGCGCGUGAGCGGUACGGCUGGAGGAAGAAGGAAGAGGAACAAGGGCACCUGAUGGGCGGGUCCAGCGCGGCGGCGAGAGAGAAAGAGAGGGAGAGCGGGGCGCGGGCAGCAAUGUGCGGGCUGGGCCAGCUGGCCGGUUAGGAGGCCUGCUGGGCUGAUCACCAGGCUGCGCAGGCGAGGCGGCGGAGCAGGCCAGGCUGGCUGGGUCGGGGCGAAGGCGGGUGAGGGUGAGGCGUGAGAGGAUCACGCCGGUUGGCUGCGGCCAGCCUGGUUGGGUAGAGGGUUAGACGAGAUCCAAAUAAAAUCUAAAAAGAUCCAAAUCAUUCCACACAAGUUUUGAAAUGGAAUUUUGGGAUGAGAAGAGAAUUUGACUACCAUUUUCAAACAAGCACAAAAUUCAAACAAAAGUUUUGAAUUUUUGGAAAUUUCACUUAAAUAAAUAUUACAAAAUUAUGGAAUAUUACAAACAUAACUGCUCCACCUCGUACCCCGAGAAAUGCGAUACGAAGCCUCAACGUCUGGGAAAUUUGGUUAAAACGAAACUCUACAUUUUUCUCGGACUGUGUGAGUCCUCCUUGAUUUCCUUGAUGGCAAAAAUUAAAAAGGAAGCGGCUGCUUGGGUGGGGGCAGGGAAUACUUGUGUCCCACCUUACAUUGAACAACAGAGCACAAUACUUGUGUCAGUAUAAAAAAAAACUUGUGUAAGGCCAGCUACACAAGUUAGCUCGCAUUUCAUAAUUAAGUUUCAGAUUUCGUGCAAGGCCAGAUACUUUAGCACUGCACUCUUGAUGUACCGAAAGGAAGAUUAACAUAUAAGUACAAUACCGAAGUAAUGACUAUGGAAAUAGGCUUAGAAAUACAACAGAAGCUAGGUACAGUGCAAUAAACCUUAGUGCCUCAUCAUAGCUCCCUUAGCUUCCAGGAAAGUAUAAUGCUGUAUUUGCAGAGAAAAAAAAUAUCACCUUCUAGUGGUGAUCAAGUACGCGAGACUCUUGCACUUGCAAUAGAAAGAUCUGCCAAACCGGUCCCAUUUGACCACAAUAGCAGCUGCAAAGCCAACGCCGAAGCCAAGCCCAACGAAGAGAAACAAAACCACAUCAAUAUGACGAGAUGACUUGUCCCCAUGUGCCACACCUGGAGAGUGAGGUGAACUACCACAAGGAAAUUUUGGCAAUUGCAGCCCACACAAUCCAGCAUUCCCUUCAAAUGAGCUGCUGUCAAAUGUAGAGAACUGACGUGACUGCGGUAUCUUCCCCACCAAGUGAUUGUAUGACAAGUUUAGGGAGCCAAGAAAGGUGAGAUCAGUUAGCUCUUGUGGAAUGUCCCCUGAGAGUUGGUUGCAGGACAGGUCUAGUGACUCCAAAUCAGUCAUGCUUCCAAGUUGGGCUGGAAUUUUUCCAGUGAAGGCAUUGUGUGACAGACUCAGUACGCGUAGUGAUACAAGGCUUCCAAAUGUUUCAGGAAUAGUACCCUCCAAACUAUUUUUUGAGAAGUCAAUUGCUGUUACGGUAGUCAGCAUCCUUCCAAAUGGCAUAUCUGCCCCCUUGUACAUGAUCUCAACAGAAUAUUGAUAUAAAUGUUCUCCGUUAUUGAUAGUUAUAGUGUCUAGAGUUCCGAGAGGUUUCCCAGAACUAUUAAACUCUGCCAUCAUUGACUUUAACUGCUCGAACCAUUGUGGCCUCAAAGUACCAGAGAAGUUGUUUGAGGCAAGAUCGAUAAUUUGCAAGCUAGGGAAACAUUCCUCACAUUUUGUGUCCCCAACAAUAUCACCUAUGGUGCCAUACAUUUGGUUUGAUCUCAGGACGAGUACAGAAAGAUUGGGAAGCCCCCUCAACCAAGAAGGAAAAGCAUCAGCUAUUUUGUUGCUUCCAAAGUCUAUAACCUCCAAGUCUGUACAGUUAGAAAGGCCCCUAGGAAGCCUCCCUUCGAUCUUAUUGCCAUGUAAAUCUAUCGUCUGUAAAUUACAUCUUGUUGUUAUAUUGGAAGGCAGCAUCCCUUUCAAGUGAUUCUCCCUCAAAUUUAAAAAACUUAAGGGGGUAUUUUCUAUAAAACAAGGUGGAAUCGGGCCAUUAAAGUAGUUAUAUGAUAGAUCAAGGACAUCCAGCUCUGUGGCAUUGCAAAUUGAGGGAGAUACAUGGCCGUGUAUAUUAUUUUUGGACAUGCUGAGAUAAAUGGUGUCCCGAAGAUAGGUGGUCCAGUUUGGCAGAAGGGAAGAGAACAUGUUGUUGGAAUAAUCCAAGACUUGUCCUGAUAAUUUUGGCAUAGGGAUCAUCCCUGAAAGUCUAUUGAAACUAAGAUCAAGCACUUCCAUUGGUGUAUUGAAGGGGACAGCAUCCGAAUUAAGUUGCAUGCCCGUGAACAUGUUAUGUGAAAGAUUCAAAUGAGAUCCCCUCGUCUCCCAGAUCCAAUUUGGUAUAUCCCCACUGAUUUUAUUACAUGAAAGAUCCAAAUACCAUAUACGGUCAACAUGCCUCAAAAAUCUUGGAAGUUGAGUUAUCUUGCAAGAUGCGAGCCCUAAUUCAUGUAGUCCAUCCAAAUAGCUGGUUUCCACUGGAUUAUUAUCUUCUGAGGCCAUGACAUGCAACUUAUUGUAGGAAAGAUGCAAAACAGUGAGGUAAUUUAAUCUCCGAAAAUGUGCAAGGUCCACGGAACCUAUCAAGUUGUUUGAGCUAACAUCUAUACAUACUAAACUUGUUAGUUGAAAGAUGGCUUUGGGAAUAAAACCUGACAAUUCAUUGUUCUUGAACCUCACGGUCUCCAACUGUGGACCUGCCUUGUCAAAGCCUUGUAUAGGGCCAGAAAGCUGGUUGAAAGAGAGAUCAAGGCGAUUUAAUAUAGGAAGACUGAAAAUAGAUGGUGGAAUCUCCCCUGGAAGGACAAUAGAAAACAUUAAGUUAGAAAGUGUUUCCCCUUCUACAAAUUGAAAUUAGAAGAUGCUACCUCCUAUUUUGUUCAGAACAUGAAUACUUGACCCUUUCUCGAGAAAAGUAAAAGAUGAUAUCGUACCAUAGAAAUAUAUAUCCCAAGUUUAUUUAUUUUAUUUUGAGAAAAUUGCAUUAGUAGUCUCAAAAUAAAUGGCCAAAACUUGUGUGGUAACCUCGCCGACCCUUGCACUUGUUGCAAAUUACUUUCCCCAGCCCCCUCGUCUUUGUUGUGCCACGUGUUAGGCAAUGGUUUCAUGCUGGUUCAACACAUUAAUUUGCUAAUAGUGGGAUGGGUGAGAUUAGUGUGUGCAAGUUUAAGGACUACCGGAAGAAUUUAGUGCACCUACGGGCCAUAGAAUUUCAUAAUCCUAGGACCCAUGAAGCUGAAAUGAUCCGGACCCAUCAUGGAUCAUAAUUUUAUGGUAUUAUGAUUUAUGAUACCCGGUGUAUAGUCCUGUACCAUCAAAAAGAAUUGGUAAGAUCACUUAUAUAGAAUCCCAAUCCUAACAUCAAAAUUUGUUAAUAUCUGAAAUUAAAUCCAUGAGUAAUUAUAUAUGUUUCUUCAGUUUAAUUCGACAUCUUUUACUCUUUGCAUGACAUCUGACCAUUAAAUUAUUUUAAAUUAUGAUUAGAUAAUGUUUGGAGUUAAGUUGAAAUGUCGAAUUGACAUUGACACGAAUAAGUAGACUCGAGUUUACAAGAAUUAAUAAAUUUAUAAAAAUAGCAUUGUAGAUUUCUUUUCAAGAACUUGUUUAACUUUUUAAUACAUGCAUAUUUUUACUCAUUACGCUGCAAAAUCCUCCCCCAAAGUUCUUGACACAGUGUCAAACUCAUUUGUUGUGUUUAAGCUCUUGCAAUGAUCUAUAUAAGCUGCCAGCUUUUGUAUAAGAGGGCCGGGUUAGAGAAGUAUAUCGUGUCAACUACGCCAAUGAAAUUCUUUUAGAGUAAACUAGAGCAAAUGAGAAGCUUUAUGAGCCCUAAUACCAUUUAAGAUUUCCAUUGUCCUUCCUACCCUGUCAAAUGAACACUCAAGCUCAUAUAGAAGUGACAUGUGUGGUUGUUGCAUCAAGAAGGAACCUUAAGGGAGGAUUUUGCAACAGGGUUAGGCUUGUGGGUUCGUUAGGCCCUUCACACAACGUGUGCUUGGAGUAUUGCUUGAAAUGGAGAGAGGAGGUUUGGGCAUCAAUCACUCCCCCAAGUGGCCAAGUUGAAACCAGGAGCAGCACUGUGACAGAAUAAAACAGAUACCAACUUUUCUCACAUGGGCCUCGACUUUUUUUCCUAGAGUCACUCGACAUAGUAGAGGCCUUAAUGCAACUAUAUUUCUUUUAGGGGAUAAUUGCAACUCAAGAUGACUACUAGGAGCAUGAGACGUGCACACAUGCGUCAGUGGCAAGCUUGCACCUACUCUGAGCAGAGGAGGGCGCAGUUGGAGCUUGCAAGGCCCACGGUGUGGAGCACUGACGCUUAGGGAUGCAAACAGGCUAACCCAGAUAUAGGGCUGAAUCAUGUUGGCAACUGUAGCAUAGACUAUAAGUGGGUUCGCAGGCUAGCCUGCUUGAUUUGCAGCAAUAUAUUAUGGUGGAGGGAUGCCCUUGACCUGUUACAUGCCUUUACAAAUUAAGAGCAUGUUAGGAGAUCCUUACUCCUCAAUCCAACUACCAUAUUGGGAGGGUUAACAAAAAAUAGUGUUCCAGCAGAUUUUUUUUACUUUUUUCCAUUUCACAAUAGUUAUUAGGAAAAACUAAUAAUCCACCCUAACUUAUCCUAAAAAAAGAGUAUCUCAAUAUGGUAGUUUGGAUUGUGAUUAUUGGGGAACUGCAAAAACAACUUUUCCAAUAACCAUAAAAGAAAUAUUGGGACAUUUCCAUUACCUUGUUAUUAGGAAAAAUUGAUUGGAAAACUGGUGAAGAUGCUCUAAGGGAUCCUCAAGUUGGCGUGCGACUGCGCACGCGGUGGGGGGAGCACAAGCAGCCCAAUAUGACUUAAUUUUAGCCCAAGUUAGGUUUAGUUGUGACCAAACUAACAUCCAUGUUCUAUUUUUUUCCCUUUCUUCAUUCUUUUGGGUUUUACAUUCUCUUGUCCUUUUCUUUAAUUAUUUCCUUUUAUAUUAUUCUGCAUAUUAUUUUAUUUCCUUUAUAUUUAUUAUUUGUUUCUAUUAUUUGUUUCGUUUUCUUUUCUGUUUUCCUUUUCUACUAGGAAAUUCUAACUUUUCAUUUAUUUUAUUGUUUCCGUUUUUAUUAUCUUUUAUGCUUCUUUUAUUUUUUAUUUUUAGUAACAAUUUUUUGUAUAUUUUGUUUGCUAGUAAGAAUAAUUUAUUCAAUUAGUUUUCUUUAUUGUUUCACUCUAGCACUACUUUAAAAAUCAUUUGUGCAUACGAUCAUUCUAUUUUUUUUUACAACGGUGCUUAAUAACAACCGUCUCUAGCAAGGGUUCCAAAAAUACAAGUAUUUAUAGAGGUGGGCCACAUAAUUAAGUAACUGUCUGAAAAUCAAUUUGGAAGGCACACCACCUAAGCUGCUACUACUAGAAAUUGACUUCUAGAGGCAGGCCUAAUAAGCAACUGCCUCUAAAAUUGUAAACAACCAAUUUUAAAGAAAAAUAAUAUUCUUUUUUAAAUGAAGAAGAAUGAAGACAAAUUUACUAGCAUAACUAUAGAGCUCGAUGACAUCUAAAAUUUCAUAGUUCAUAACCUUUUCAUGUAAGACUAUUUACAAGCCCAAAUAAAAUUCAUCACCAUUUCUUAUAUUUAUUUUUAAAAAUAAAUUAUGAUUUCCAAAAUGGCCUUGGAAGGAGAUGUGCUCUUCAAAAAAGUUGUAGUGCAUGACGAGAUCUAAAAAUUUGUAAUUGAUAUUUUUUUUCAAAUUUAUGAUCGUUAGAGUGUCAAAUGCAUAGUACAAUAUUCAGAGAAGUGAAAUCAAAAGAAUCCCUUAUAUAGUUAAUAUGUGUUUCGUAAAGAGAAAACUACGCGUGAAGAGACGUGUCGUACCAUGAAUUUUUUGGAUUUCAGGAUAUGACUAGAAAUAAUAAUUAAACAAUAAUUUUCAAUAAUUUUAAUUUUUUUCAACAUUUAUUUUCUUGAGAGGAAAUUUAGUAUAGGAAAAUGAUUGGUUAUUUUUUCUAAAUUAAAUAAAUUAGUUCUUUGUGUGUUGCAUUCAUGCCGAGGCAUCUUGGUGUUUCAUGAGUGCAGACAUUUUAAAAAUGUGUUUCUAUAACAUUUAGGUUCUUCUAAGAAUUUUCCAAAUUUUUCUAGGAUCUAUUGUCAUUUUCGUAGAGCUAAAUAUUUUUAUUAUAAGGCCCUAGAAUCCCUUUCUUGAGUUCCAAGUAUUUUAUUUGGAUUCAUCGUGUCCCAAACUAUCUCUAUAAAUUUUCCUAGGAUUUUAGCUUUUUAGAGUACUUUUUGUGGUUUCAUUGAUUUAUCUAGAAUUUUCUAGAUUUAUCUUUGCACGGGAAACAUCUCUAAAAAUGAAAUAGAAAGAAAUCCCCUUUUCUUGAGGUUGGGCUCAUGGGACCGACCUGCUCUAGCCCAGCAGCCGGCCUGCCAGGCCCAUCUGAGCCCUGCAGCUCUUGGUGUCCAUGCCGGACACAGUAUGGCACCACCGCCUCCCCAACUAACUUGGGUGUGCAUGCCACGGCUCCACCCCUGCCCCCAUAAAUAGCGAAGCCGCAUCCCCUGCUUGCCAUGCUGCCCCAACUCGUGCAUGUGCUGCGCCUCGCCCUUGCUCGCGCAAGCGCUGCCAACCGCCGGAGCCGAGCUGCGCCGCCACCUCGAUCUGCCAGACCCCGGCGUCCCAAGACCAAGCCGCCACCUCCCAGAGUUGCGCCACGACAGGCCGCCUCCAACCAAGGCAUCCACUACACCAAAAAGGCCACUGGAGCAACACUGCCUCGCCUCGCAACGCCAAUCCGGCCGCCGUCUGUUGUCCGCUGCCAGCCAAAAUUCCAACUGGAAUCUGUCCACCCCGCCGCUGGUGAGCACCUCCAUAGAGUCCCCUCGACCUCCUCUUCCAAUCCCCGUCCUCGCGACCGGACUGCCCCCAAUCCCGCUGGUCAGAAGCCAGCCACCAUGGCCAUUAGAAGCUCUUUGAGCUUUUGUGAUUAGGCCCCUUGGAGAUCUUGUAAUGUUUACAAGUUUUCCUAUGUCUUGCUCCUUGUACCGUGAACCCCAUGGACUUUAUCUGAUCCUUGCAAUCAAACCAAGUUGUAAUCUUUAUCAGAUCUAACCUCGAGCCUUAUCAAUUUCGCGAGCACUCUUUGAUGUGUCUUGCAAAUCUUCUCUGCUAGCCCCUAUUGUCUAGGGUUAAUCACGAUUAGACCCCUGCAGCUUGUUUCAUCGAUCCUUUGUUUUAGCUCCGUUUAACCUCGUUCUUAUUGUGUUAGGUUGAUGAUAACAUAAAUUACACGUUAGUAAUGAUGGUUUCCAUCAUGCAUGUUUUUGAAAAUAAAUUUAAUAUUAAUUUAUUGAUGCCUGUUAAACAUGUCUUCCUUAAUUAAAAUCUACAUAGAGUUAUACACCUCUUUUUAUAAUCAAUGUUAAUUCGAUUAAUGCUUACUUCAUAUAUUUUUCUAAAUAAAAGCAAAGUAGAGCUACACCUCGGUUUUUCAUAAACUAAUGUUAAUUAUUUUAAUAUUCAACAUUGAGUCAACUUUUCCAAAUAAAAGUUGAUUAGGCUUUUACACUGGCUUUUAUAAAUAAAUAUUAGCUUGAUUAAUACCAACAUGAUUAUGUUUUCAAUAACAAUUUGAUCCACUUGAAUCAUAAAGUAUACGUUUAGAUGUUUCACAUAGUUUGGCUUUUCUAAACGUUAAAUGUUUAAAUGAUUGAUAAAAUGACCAAUGUCAAUAUGAAUGUGUUUUCUAAAUAAACUUUGUUUAGCCCAACAUGACAGAUGUAUUAAUUUGAUUAGAUGUGUUCAUCUUUCUAAAGUUUAGUGUGUAACGGGUAUAAUUUAUACAUGAACAUUUAUGAAUAAAUCUUGAUUAGGUUUUACCUCUGUUUUUUAAAUAAAGUAUAAUUUGCAUUAAUUCCAACAUAGGUUAUUUUUGUUUCUAAAGUAUCCUUUACAUAUAUUUUGUUAAUUAAAAUAAACCGGGUGUGACAAGAGCAAUCUUGGUUCAAAUCCUAUAUACUGCACAUUUGCAUAUUUUGUGUGAGAAAUUGUAUGAUGUGUGACAGCUAGAAAUUUGCUAGCUACAUAUACCUAACUUUUUUAUGCGCGGGUACGGCUGACUAGCUUCUCCAGAGCAAGCAGACUCAUGCCCCUCCAGCAGGUGUAGUUUGGUCAAGGAGGGAGCAGAGGCGCCGGCCACCUCACACAUCUGUCACGGUUUAACUUGUCACUAGUGGCAUGUCGGGCGUAGGGCUAUGUUUUUUUUUAACUAAAUAGCACAGAAUGGAUAAUACAGCAUUUUGCAAUCGCAAAUAUGUGUGUGUGUGGGUAGGGGUAUUGUUACGUACCGUUGAGAGAAUUAAAAGAAAGAUCCAGCAUUGUUAGCUGGGUCAAAUUAACUAUUGAGCUUGGUAUGCUUCCGGAAAAAUUGCAAUCUUGAAGAACUAACCAUCUCAACUUAUUGAGCUGCCCAAUUGCAUUAGGUAUCAACCCAGAAAUCUGACGACCACUAAUUUCCAUGGCUUCCAAGUUAGUGAGGUUGCCAAUUGGAGCCGGCAUUGAACCUGAAAACCCAGAAUGCUGGAGGUACAUGUUUCUCAAAUUUGUGAGUUCACCAAUUGCAGCUGGCAUUGGUCCUGAAAAAUCAGCACCCUCGAUAUACAAGUUUCUCAAAUUUGUGAGUUCACCAAUUGCAGCUGGCAUUGGUCCUGAAAACCCAGGAUUGUUCAUAUACAAGUUUCUCAAAUUUGUGAGUUCACCAAUUGCAGCUGGCAUUGGUCCUGAAAACCUAGCACCCUCGAUAUACAAGUUUCUCAAAUUUGUGAGUUCACCAAUUGCAGCUGGCAUUGGUCCUGAAAACCUAGAUGAUAUAUACAAGUUUCUCAAAUUUGUGAGGUUGCCGAUAGAAGAUGGCAUGGAGCCAUAUGUGUUGCAAUCAUGCAUUUCAAGUGUUUGCAAGCCCGUGAGGUUUCCAACUGCCCCAGAGAAGUUACAUCCAAAGAGUCCCAAACUUGUUAGGUUUUUGUGCUGGCCAAUCCAUGAGAAAAUUGGACCUAAGUCGCUUCCUGAGUCCAAAUCGUGGUCCAACUCAUUAUCCAAAAAACAAUCAAGGUCCAACUGGUGUAGAGACUCAAGUCUACCAAAUGCAGAGAGAAAAUCCAUAGAAAUUAAAUUCCUGUUAAGGCCCAACUCCUUCAACGACGUGAAAUUACUAGAAGGCGUUGGUAUGGCAUAUACAAAGUUGGUCCUAUCAAGUCUCAAAGUCUCUAAAGAGCUGGCAUUAGAAAAGUUUGGCACAUGGCCUGAGAGAUUCAUAUUAUAGGACAAAUCGAGGACCCUUAGAUUUUUCGAUUGAAAGGGUCUAGAGGGUAACCGCCCCUCAAGAUUUAUCCCAGAAAGUUGAAGCACGGUUAAAUUGGGAAAAUCCAUGAAGAACUCUGGAAAUGGACCAGCACUUGCAUAAAUGGAGGUUUCUUGGAGGUUGAUCACAACAAGAGAAUGGAGUCUCGAGAACGCUUUAUGAAUAGGACCACUCAGGUGACAAUCAGCCAAACUAAGUACCUGAAGUUGAGGAACAUAUGCAGCAAGAGAUGUGCCCCACUCUUCUCCACUAUUAGACAAAUCCACUGAGUCAAGGUAGAGCUCUCUUAAGUUGCUGAGGUUUGCCACAAAGGUAUCAAAACUUGAUUCCCAUAAAUUGUUAUAAUAAUCAUAAGAGUUUGAACCAUAAAAACCGCCAGAAUAAUAAUCAGUAUUGUAUGUUGAAAGAU